CUACUUGAAUCGGAUAUUUGUAAUACCAACUAAGAUUUAUAAUACUAAUAAAUCACAUAAUAUCCCCAGUUAUUUUUAUCUCUUUUUUGAAAUUCAGAAAUAGUAAGCGAUUCCAUAAGGGAUUUCUGAAGUAAGUUAUUUAUCUUAUUAUGUUAUUAUUAAUCAAGGAUUUCUUAUAUAGCUAGAACGACCCUCACAAAUUGCGAAUACUAAUUUAUUAAGAAUUAAUCGGAUUGAGGAUAUGGCGUCAUCAUUCGCUGGAAUUGAAAUAUCUGCGAGAUCGGGGUCACAAUUUGUAUCGGUUAAACAAAUUGUUGGAAUUCCUAAAGUAAUACACUCUCGCAGGGCCGUAUAUUCUUCGUGCUGAUCAACGAUGAUUACAAUAUCGGGUACCCCUGUCAUAUAUUUAAUCCCGCCCAGAUAUGUUUGCAAGCGAGAUAAUUGUCUUUUAAACAUAGCUGCAUCUCUUUUCGGGAGACGGUUGAGUCUCCCUGUUUUUUGUUCCAUUCUCAAGUCCCUGAACUUACGAAGUCUUGUUUCUAUAGUGGACCAAUUCGUUAACAUACCGCCAAGCCAUUUUUUAUUAACAUAAUGACACUGGGCCCUUAUUGCAGCCCACUCUACUGAAUCAUCUCCUUUAUUUUUGGUACCAACAAUUAAGAAUUAUUUUUCCCUACUUGCUGCUUCAAAAACUAAAUCACAAGCUUCUGAUAAAAAACGAGCAGUUCGUAAGAUUUGUAAUAUGAAUACCCUUACGCUUUGCAGAGAUAUAAGGCAUCAUUUUAGGAUUCCAUUUCCUAGUACCAUGACCAAAAUGAACUCCUGCCUCUAUCAUCUCUUCCAAAUUUAUGUUCCAAUAUCUUCUUGUCAUUUCUCCCUACAACCUCCCCCAUUCUUUAAAAAAGAAAAGAUGAGGAAUCUUGAACUGAAAUAAAUAAUUGUUCCGACAGAACCUUCUCUUCUACCGUAGAUUGGACAUAGAUACACAACCCAAACCAUAAUUCUUUUUAUAACCAAAGCAAAUAACUAUCCCAAAUGCAGAUAGCGAAAGAGAUGAAUCCGUUGUUAGAAUCAUUAAAUCCUAUAAAUGAUUGUUUGAGUAUGUCGUGAAAUUUUUUUGAAAGACAAGAAUCAAAUAAUUUUCUAUGGUGGAACAAAAUAUCUCUCAUCUCCCCCUCGAAUAGAUUUUUUUUGUUUCCAAAAGAAUGUUGUUAUGUUGUUUUGAAGGAUGCACUAAUCCCUUGAAUCCAGUACCAACGGGUAUCACCCCUCUUUCCAAAAAAAAUAACGUUCUCUUUCAGGCCUUUCAACCAAUCGAUACGACCCCGGAGAGCCGCUUUUGCUAAAACUCGAGUAGUUUCUUGAAAACUCGCUUCAGAUAUGAAACUUUGAGUAUUGAGAGAUGCUCUUGUUAUCCCCAAUAAGACGACUCGGUAACAGAUCGCGUCUUCCAAAGCGCGACCCAUUCGUUCUGCUCGCAACAAUCCAAUAAGUUCUCCGGGUGAAAAAACAUUAGACAGUACAUCUUCUGAAACCAACACUUUUGAUGUUAUUUGACAUACAAUAAUUUCUAUAUGCCUAUUAUGAAUCUGCACUCCCUGGGAGCGGUAAACCUGUUGGAUUUUAUUAACUAAAGAGAUUCGGCUUCGCGCUAUAGUUAGCUCAACACCAAUCAAGAAUCGCCAAGGAAUUCCAAGAAUUUUUGUUAUACAUUUGUUCCAACCCUCAACCCUCUUUUCUAGAUUCAUGGAUAUUGAAUCAAUUAAACGCACUUCUAACACUUGUUCUACUUUUGGAAGACCCUGUGUUAUAUCACCAGAUCUCGAUUUUUCAUAUAUAAAUGUAACUAAUGUAUCUCCUUCGUAAAGGGUUUCGCCAUAAUGGCCAUGAACGGUUGCUCCGGGGGUGGCCAAAUAAGGCUUAGCUGAUCGUAUCACUAUCGAGUCAACUUGAACAAGUAUAACUUGACCCGAUUUGAGGGGCGGUCCAUUUUUGGCUAUACAUACAUUUUCACAAAUAAACUGUCCAAGACUAAUUAUUUUAGAUGUCUCUUCACAAUAAUUGUGAUGGAGAAACGACCAAUUCAAAUUGAAUGGAUUUAAAAUAAUGUUACGACAUGGAUCGGGAUUAAAAAUUUUUCCAUUUUCAUCCAUUAAAUAAUAUUUAAAUUGUUUCACUUGAAAGGUCUGGUUUAAAUUUUCAAGUUGCAAAUAGUUAGUUACUAAGAUCUGAUUAUGAGUUAUUAAAUGGUAAGAUGAAUAAAAAUUCUCAAUUGGAAGGCAUGUUCCUAAAGGGCCCAACGAAUUCCUAAUUGGAAUUAGGGGAUCUUUUUUAAUUGAUUCUUUUAUCACACUGUGAUAUUUUACAUCCUUGAAUGGCCCCAUUCAAGAACAAUUGGCUGCUGACAAAAUUAUCAACGACUGACAUUCCUUAUUUCUAUUCAACAACGUAUGAAUAGUUUCUUGAGGUUGGUUAAGAGAUUGUUGAAUUUUUACCUUUGAAUAGGAAUAAAUGGAAGAAAAUGGGUUGAUAUUGGUACAAUCUGAUCCAUUAUCAGAGAGCAAUUCUAACCCCAACGAAUCAUUCUUUUUUUCGAUAUACGAAAUAGGGGGUUUCACUAAGUUAAUUCUUAGGAAAUGUCAAAUCAAACCAUUUGUGGUUGUUUCAACAAAAGAAGCACGGGCUUCUUCGCAAGAAGAACUUUUUUUGUCUUGGUUCCAAUUCAAUAUUAAACAAGUCUGAACUAAUUGAAUACUUUUGUCAGAAAUUCCUGGAAUCGAUUUGCCAUUUCCAUAAAGGAUAUAAUUGACAAUUCGAAGUUGCACAUUAUCCCUUUCCUGCAAUGGAUUCGGUAGAAAAAGGGCUGCUAAAUUUAUACCGUCCGUUAUUUCAUAUGUGACGACAGGUCGAACUAAAACAAAAAACCUUUUCUUACUAGGUGUAAUCCGUUAGACAUAGACCCAAUUUUUUACUUUUUUGGAUUCCUUGAAAUUUCUUUUUCCUAUUCCUGAUGGUAUCAAAACGCCGGUAUGUCUGGAUAUCUUAUCUGUCUCUCACACGUGACUCGCUCGUAUAACGUUUGAUUAUUUAAAAUUAAAUAAUUUUAUCAAUUGCAAAGAUUAAUAAUAAAGUGUAAAAGUUUAAGUCGCUUUUUAAAAAUCUUUCACACUUUUAAUACUAUCAUAAUAUAAACAUAAACAAAAUACAUAUAUAUUUUACUAUCAAAAUUUUCAAAUGGUUGAUGAAACAUCACUUUUGCGUUGGCCAUAUAGUACCUCUUUUCCUUGUUGUCACAUGCUAAGAGAGACACAUCAAUUUGAACUAUAUUUGUGUUAAUAUUAUUUUUCUUUUUUUUUUAUAUUUAAAAUCUUCCCUCAUUUUUAAAGUCAAAUAUUUACAAAAUCAUUGAUAACAUUCUUAUUACAUACUUAAACUUUUAAAAAUCUGUUAUUUCUUAAAUUUUGCUUAUACUAAUGGUUUUAUAUUUAUUUCUUGAUUUUUCAAAUCUUCUUAAAAUCAAACUUAGUUGAUUUGGAAUUUUUAAACUAAUGAAAAAAAUAUUAAUUCAUUAAUUUUGAUUACUUCUAAUAAGGAAAGAUUUUAGCAUAAAUAUAUUCAAAUAAUUUUUAACUCUUAAAUUAGGCAAAAAUAAUGAAAUUCUAUUGACUGCGAAUAAGAAAAGAUUUUACCAUAAAUAUAUUUAAUUAAUUUUCAACUCUUAAAUAUUAGAAAAAAUAGUGAAAAGAUAAUUUGUCUAAAGCAAAAACUUUUAUUGAAGGGUAAAAAAUUUAAACAACAUUUCUAAAUAUAUAUAUAUAUAUAUAUAGUGAUGAAAAAAAUAAAAAGUUUGAAGGUAAUUUAUUUUUAAAUAUAAAAAAAUUAUAUCAUUAUUAAUUUAUAGAGAUUAAAAAAAUAAUUUAAUUUACUAAAACUUUUAUUAUACAUGAAAAUUGGAGAUGAACCAAAUCACAAGAAAUUAUUUAUUAUCUUACCUUAUAUUUUCGUCCGAAACUGUUUCCAUUGAAUUUAUAACCUUCUAUUCAUGUAGCAAAAAACUUUAUGAUUACUUCACCAACUUUAUAUGCUGAUUGAAAAGAAAAUAGUAUUAGGAACAAAGAGAGUGACAUUGGAUUACAGAGUCCCAUCGUUAUGAGAAGGCACGUGCAGUUUUAAUUCCAUCAUCAGCAUUUUCUCCGGCUCAAAUUACUAAUCAAGAUUAAAUAAGAUCAUAUUAAUCAAUUUAUAUCUCUUAUUAAGAAUUAAUGUCUAAAAGAUCAUUGAACUGUUAGAAUUAUCUCGUAAAGUCACUAGACCUUACUUUUUAUCAAAAGUCACUAAACUGCAUUUAUCAUUUAAAAGAAAAUGACAUAACAAAAUGAAUUAUUUAUUGCCUUCUAAACGUGGGAUCCUAUAUUUAAAAAAUAAUCAUUCCUUUUCAUUCCUAAAUAAGUGUAUGGCUAAUAACUCAACAAUAGUUUGAUCAAAAAUUUUCUAUUAUGCUCUUAUUCAAAUUAUCAAAAUUAUUAAUUUAAUUUUUUGUUAAUGUAUUUAACUAUGAGUAUAUUGAUAAAAUUAUUUUAAAUUUUCUAGAAAUAAGAAAUUUAUUAAAAUAUGUGUCCAUUAUAACAUGUAAAAAAAAAAAAUGAAGGGAGUAUCUAAGUUUUCCUUGCCAUCAUUCUCUCUCUGUCCUGUAUUAAUUGAUCAACUUAUUAAUACAUAGCUUAAAUUAAGUGAAUAGCUUAAAUUACUUAUUCACUUAUUAAACUAAAAUAAAUUAAUUUAAUUUUUUUAUUUUAUUUUUUUAUAGUUAAUACUCUUUAAAAGCGUAAAUUUAUACAGUUGUAAGAAUGUGUUUUUAAGGGUCUUUUUUAUUAUAAUUUUUAGAAAUUCUAAAAAAGUAAAAGUGAAUAACUAUUACUUCCUUCGUCUCAUUUUAUGUGUCAUCAUUUUCUUUUUAAUCCGUCUCAAAAAGAAUGUCAUGUUUCCUUGUUUGGUAAAUAUUUAAAAACACAAUUACACUUUUACCCUUAUUAGUCUCACUUGGCACAUUUUUUGAUAAAAGACAAUUUGGUAAAUAUUAUCAAAUUUUUUCUUAUUUCUUAAAUUUCGUGCCCGGUCAAAUGACGACACAUAAAAUGGGACGGGAGUAUAAUUUGAGGGAGAAAUGUGUGGUUUCCCUCCAUCUUCCAUUUAUAUCUCCUCAAAUAAAAAAAGAAAAGGACAAAUUCUACAGUAAAAUAAUAAUUUUUGUUGGUUUUCCAUGGAAGUCCCUCCAAAGAAACCUCAUUUUUUCAAACCCAUUCUGCCAGGUUUCAAUAAUGGCCUUGUGAGUAGUACUACUUUUAAUUUCUUCAUUUAUUCUUUAAUAUAGCAGAUAAGUAUCUGUUAUAUGUAGAUGUAGAGGUGAAAAGUUUAUCAAAGAAAAUGAACAUCGAUCUUAUGUACUAUAACAAUGCAUGCAUCAACUUUAUGUAUUAUUAAUACUUUUUUUGGUGUUUUUCAAGCUGUGUACUUAUUCACUCUAUUUGGUAUUAUGUUAUGUAUUACUAAUAUAUGGUAUUAGCAAUAUAAAGGGUCAUUUGGUAGAGUGUAUUGAAAAGCUAAUGUAUGCAUUAGUUUAACGUGUACUAUCAAUAACUUGUUUGGUAUACUUUUUCACCCUACGCAUUAGACACCACAACUUGUCUCUAUUGUGCUAGUUGAACAGUCCAACUUACAAAAUGACCAUCUAGACACCUCCAAAAAUUUAUGUGUCUCGUCUGUGUUUGGUGUCCACGAGACACAGUGAAAACAAGUUGUAUUGUUUGCCAUUGGAGAGUAAAUUAAGUUGUCGUGAUGUACAGUUUCAAAGUUGAAGUGCUAACUUGCAAUGUAUCACUCAUGCUAUGUAUUGCAGAAAGUACCUAUUGGUUUCUUGAAGUAUUUGAAGGGACAUGACCAUGUUGAACAUGUUGUACUGAAAAGGGCUGGCAAGAAGUGGUUGGUGAAGCUGAACGGACGACGAUUCAAAGAUGGAUGGGAAAAGUUUGCAGAGGAACAUGAUUUGCAGUUAGGAGAUAUGUUGAUUUUCAGACAUGAAGGAGACAUGGAUUUUGAUGUUUCCAUAUUUGAUUCAACUCGUUGUGACACAGAAUAUGCAGAGUAUCUGCAAGAAAAAAAGAUAGGUGAACUUUUAUGACGUAUCUAAUUUCUUAUGCAUCUCCGUUAUGUCAAUUGAACACUCCAACUUACAAAAUGAUUAUCUAGACACCUCCAAAAUUUAUGUGUUACGUCACCAUUAGGUGUCCAUGACUUAUGCUAUUAUUUAUUGCACAGAUUAAAUUUUGUUACAAGAACAAAGUUAAUGUGGUCAUUUUUGAGGUUUCGUAUAUAUACUAUACUGCUUACACGAUGAAACACUUGGCGUGACUUAGCGUGUGAAAUAGCAAAAACAAAGUGACUUUUUUGUUACAAAACAAGGAAAAUCGACUUUCUUGCAUAAUUUUUAUUGGUUGAGUGAACUUCUGAGUAAUCAACUGAGUAUUCGAGUAUCAGAAGUAUCAUAUGUCAUCUUUCUUACAUGACUUUUUUUUGUGUAAUUAACUAAUGUAACAGAAAAAACGAAGCCCAACGUCAUGUCACCAUCCAAGGUUGUUCCCAGUGUAGGAACUGUCAAGGGCUUGCAUCUCAGUCACUCUCAAUUUGUUUGUACCAUGAAAUCCUAUAACCUUACAAAGAGUUUUCUGGUAAGUUAUCGAAACUAAAUUCUACUUCCAUUGUCAUACUCCACAGAAGAAAAAAAAAGUAUAAGAAAUCAUUUUAUUAUGAGAAAAAACUCAAAAGUGUGAAGCAUGCAAACUUGUGUUUAUGUGAAACGGGUUAUAAACUGUUUCAGUGUGUUCCAAGACCAUUUGCGAGGUUAAACGGUCUCAAGAACAGGAGAUGUACGAUAAUGAUAAAUGACGAGCAAAGGUCAUGGACGUUUAGUUUAUACUAGUUUAGUGUACGUGCUUCUUUCACGAUAAUUAAUAAAAUUACAUAUAAAAAUAAAAUUAUUACGUAAAAGGUAGCAGUUAAAUGUAAAAUGAAUAUUAUAUCUCUUUAAAUAAGAUACUCCGUAAAUAACUAUUGUAUGUUAUAUAUAUUAUUAUCUGUCGUGUCUCAUCUAAUCUUUUCAUUUUUACAAAUGAUUUAUUGAUUUAUGUUCUUUCUUGUCACUUUAAUUAUUUUAUCAUGGUAAAAAUUUUAUUUUAAUGUACUGUCAUUACAUAAACAAUAAACUAACUCAUGCACUAUCAUUCUUUAAAUUUACACAAUAUUCAUGUAUGUUUUAUUUACACAUAUUUCUUAUAGAAACUAAAUUGUCGUACUUGAUCUUCCACAGAGGUACUAUGGUUUGUAAUAAUUAACGGAAAAAUAGUUAAAUUAGGUAUACAAUUCAACUAAUCUCCAUGAAAAGCUCAAGAUCUUUUAAAGUUUCUUCAUUGAUCCUCUCCAAAUCUUGACUAUUUUUAUUAAGAUAUGAUGUUCAAAGUUCAUCAUGAGGUUUGCUUUGAAUACCAUAGCUUCUUCUUGCAAAUUAAUAAUAUUUUCUCCUUCCUUACCAAUAUUAUGUUUCUUCUUUAUAGCAUCUCUUAAUUGUUUAUGAGAAUUGAGAAAUAUGUGAACCAAUUUAAGAGAAAAUUGGUGUUAAAAAGGUUUUAUAAUUAUGUUAUAUAAUAAUUGGGGAAAAUAAUUUACUUAAGGUUAAUUUUAAUGAAUAUAGUUCUUAAACAUUAAAAUUCCCUACGUGAUUCAAUAAGGAAAUUAAUAAUCAAAAUUUCAAUUAACUUCAAAAUUCUGACUAUUAUGAAUAAAUUUUCCUUGUUGAAAAACUUAAUUUCUAUAUUGGAAUUGCAACAAUUAAGUUGCAUAAGAAUUGCAACAAUUAAGUUGCAUAAGUCUAUUAUGAACUUUCCAUAUAUAGUAUAUGGAAUGGUUGAUCCAAUUCCAAUUUUGACGUGAGUUUAUUCAUUAAAAUAAUAAAAAUUUUAAUAAUAAUUUAUUUAUAUAACUAAUAAAAAUGUAAAUUAAAUGACUUUUUUUCUUUUAUAUUUUAUCAUAUAUUCUUCUCUUAUCAUUUAUUUUAGGAUUCUAUAAUUUUUUAAAUAUAUUUUCUUUUACCAUAUAAUUUAGGAUUCCUUAAUAAAAUAUUAUAAAAAUAAUAAUAUAAAACUUUAAGAAAAUAGGUUAAAAGACAAUUUUAUCUGUUGUAAAAUAUUUUAACGAAGGGCAAAAAGUACAAUUCACUUUUCUAGGACUUCAUACUUAUAAUAUAUUAUAGAUUCCUGUAGCAAUAUCACCUACAUUGGAGGUGGAUGGCGAAACUUCUGUGUUGCAAAUUGCUUAAAGUAAGGGGAUUGCCUAAUGUUUGAGAUAGUCACCAAUGGAGAGAAGCCUAUGUUGUUACAUGCUCUUUUGUUUCUAUGCACGCUAUGAAAGCGUUGUGAGAUUCUUGAAAAUGUAUCUCUAUACCUUUAAUUUUGAUAUUAUAAAAAAUUAUGCAGGUAAAUAUUCCGAAAAAGUUAAUGAAGCAGUUGGUGAUGAACAGACAAGGGAAAAGAGCGGGGUAGAAUAUGAUGUUUUUGGAUCUAUAUGUUAUAUGUAGUACAUCCAUGUUCCGUAAAGUGUACUUUGAUUUUUUGUUCUUCAAAAGCCAAAACUGUUUCUUUCUUUCUGUAGAAGGAUCCUGUCUUGUUAUAAAGCUUCUCUUCGUUGCUGUUUUCGUUUUCAAAUGUAGUUUCUAGUGCCUGAAUUUCUAAAAGUACUAGAUAUGAAUUUCGUCAGUUUAUAUUAGUAGUAUAUAUCUCUUUCUGUUUUCAAGUUUUUGUGUGUGUCUUUCAAGUGAUCUAUUCCAUCCACUUGUUAUUCUUGAUAAAUUUGCAAAAUUUGAGUAGAUGAUGUUCACCUUGUGGACAUGGCUGAUAGAGGCACCAUGUUAGCCUCUCUAUAGGAGGGUUGUACGACUAUCUUCCUCCGCGCCAUACUUCCUUCAUGGUUGAUUCUACCUUAAUAUCAUAAUCCAUGGUGGAUCUCCCUUCCCUGUAAUGUUGGUACCAAACAAGUUUGUGUCAACUUCUGCCGUCACAUUUUGAAUGUCAUGUCUCUUACAUAGACCAAGUCCAAAAUUCAUUCAUUGCUCUCCGGCCACCUAGUUAUUUAUUGCAGUAUAGUUUUGAACAACUAAAUUUACAUGAAAGAAUAAUAUAGCACAAUCUUUCGUGAAAGUAGAAUGUUAAUUGUCAGUGUCUGGUAGUCAGUCACCUGAACCUAUGAAGGCUACCAAUGAAAGGUAUCAAUAAGAACCAAAGAUUUCACUUGGUAGUGUUUCACUUCUUGCCGACUUGGCAUUCACUUUUGUAGUGAAAUCAUGGAUUUUUUUUUUUGUCAUCUUCUUCAUAUUUGAGAAGCGCCUCAUCAUCAUCAUAAGCCUCGUUAUUUCUUAUUUCUCAUAUUUAGUUAUAUUAUUACAAUUACACAUCAAAUAUAUGCCGCAGAUCCAGUAACAAAAGAAUAAUUAUGCAAAAAAUAUUAAAUGCAUGUAUAAAAAGAGUAAAGAAAGUCGCUUUUACCCUUUAAUCACGUAAUUUUUUCAUUUAAAAAAAAAAUAGAUUUCACAAGAAAGUGGUCCUUUCUCCUUUUCCGGGUAAUUUUUUCUUUUCUUAAUUCGCCUACUAUUAAAUAUAGAUAUUUAAUUUCUCUCCAAUAAAGAUUAAGUAACAAUUCUUUUUAAAACAAAUAACCUAAAUAUCCAUCCAUCCUUGCUAAUUUUUUUAAUUAAUAGAAGACAAUUUUAUGUUUAUUUGGUCUAAGUAUUUCUUUUAAAGAGAAUGUAUAUAUUAACUGAAUAUUUAUUCUUAAAGUGAAAUUUUUCAAUGCAAAUUUAAAUUAAUUUAAUUAUAAAAUGAAUUAGUCGAAUUCUAAAUCAUAUAUUCAAACCAAACAAAUCAAUUCAGACAUCUUUUCCAUGAAGCAGCCGAUAUUUUUUUUUACCAAAACUUAAAGAGACAAUGUGGUCAGCAACAAUGAUUCCAUAUAAAGUAUUACUAUAAUUACUUCCUCAAAAUAAAAUAUAAAAAUCUUUUAUCUCUGACUAAUUUCUUUGGAAAAGUUUUGUAACUCUAUGGGUAGAAGAUUCAUUUUUUCAUGUCAAAAAUAUAAUAGCAUCCACAUUAUAAUUUAUUAAAAAGUCUUGUUUAAAGGAGAUUUUUUUCCAAUAGGUUGCAUACUUUUUAUUUUUUAAUAUUAGUUUAUAAUAUGUUGGUCGUUUGACCAAAUCAUAUUAAUAACUUAUUUUUUAGUAUGUUUUUCUUUUUAUUUGAAUUAUUGCUUUUAUAGUUUGUAAACUAAUAGUUUCUGCAUGACACUCUAUCAAUUUUAAACUCAACAAGUGGUAACAGAGUCAACGAUCCUAUGGACAUCAAGAUUGAAGAUUAGUCCAAAGCAAGUUGCAAUCAAGUUGAUGAUAAUGAAGAGGUUAUUUUGAUCAAGAGAGUACAUGCAUAUGUCGAGAAGAAGUUUCAAACAAAUUUUCAAUAAUUUUGCUGCUAAUUCAUCUUUAAAAUCAAAGUAUAUUCAGCUUCUUUCAAUUCAUGCAUAUACUUUUAACGCAUGAGUUCCAUUUUUAAUUUGUGCUCGCUUUUAAUGCACAAGUUUCUACUUUCAAUCUUGUUCACUUACAACAAAGGACUCCAAUAUUUUUAAUCGAAAUGACUCAUAUAUUUUUAACCCAAAAGGGCUCCAUUUUAAGCAGCAAAACAAUAGUGAUAAAAAUUAUGUGAAAAACAAAAACCAUGCAGAUGAAGAAGGUGGAUCAAGUUUUGUCAAGAAAAUCAAGCCAAAAAGGGAGAAGUUUGUUUAGGAUUUUGCCAUGAUUUUCUUAUCAAAAUUGAGUUCACUUUUCUUGGAAUGAAAAAAGUGUUACUAUAAUUACUUUUACUUUUCUUGAAAGUAAAAUAUAAAACUCUUUCAUAUUUGGCUAACCUUGGAGGAGUUUUGUACCUCUAUAAAUAGAAGAAUAUCCUAUUCUCAUAUUAAAAACACAAUAUCAUCAACAAUGUAGUCACUAAAGAAUCUUGUUUAAUUAGGAGGAGAAUUCUUCUAAUAAGUUCUAUACUUUUUUCAAUAUUAGUUUAUAAUAAGGCUGCCAAGUGGGUCGGGCCGGGCCAACAUGAAAACGGCUAGUAAAAAAUAACCAGGUUGUGGGCCGGUCCGGGUUGGAGUUAAGUGGGCCGGGCCGAUCCACGCUCAACAGUAAAAUUUAUAAAAACAACCCUAACCCGGCCCACUUAACCCAACCCGAUCAAACCCACCUAAACCCGGUUAAAAAAUCGAUCAAACCCGGUCAAAAUAUAAAAAAAAAAACUUUUUUUCAAUAUACAUUAUAUAUACCCACCUAUAUACAUUAUAAAUACGUUAAACAAUAUAUAUACACUAUAUAUAUAUAUAUAUAGUUAUAUACUAAUUUAUAAAACAUAUACACANNNNNNNNNNNNNNNNNNNNNNNNNNNNNNNNNNNNNNNNNNNNNNNNNNNNNNNNNNNNNNNNNNNNNNNNNNNNNNNNNNNNNNNNNNNNNNNNNNNNNNNNNNNNNNNNNNNNNNNNNNNNNNNNNNNNNNNNNNNNNNNNNNNNNNNNNNNNNNNNNNNNNNNNNNNNNNNNNNNNNNNNNNNNNNNNNNNNNNNNNNNNNNNNNNNNNNNNNNNNNNNNNNNNNNNNNNNNNNNNNNNNNNNNNNNNNNNNNNNNNNNNNNNNNNNNNNNNNNNNNNNNNNNNNNNNNNNNNNNNNNNNNNNNNNNNNNNNNNNNNNNNNNNNNNNNNNNNNNNNNNNNNNNNNNNNNNNNNNNNNNNNNNNNNNNNNNNNNNNNNNNNNNNNNNNNNNNNNNNNNNNNNNNNNNNNNNNNNNNNNNNNNNNNNNNNNNNNNNNNNNNNNNNNNNNNNNNNNNNNNNNNNNNNNNNNNNNNNNNNNNNNNNNNNNNNNNNNNNNNNNNNNNNNNNNNNNNNNNNNNNNNNNNNNNNNNNNNNNNNNNNNNNNNNNNNNNNNNNNNNNNNNNNNNNNNNNNNNNNNNNNNNNNNNNNNNNNNNNNNNNNNNNNNNNNNNNNNNNNNNNNNNNNNNNNNNNNNNNNNNNNNNNNNNNNNNNNNNNNNNNNNNNNNNNNNNNGUUAAGUUAAUGAGGUAAUUGAUACUUCUUUUUUUAUUUUUUUUACGUAAAACACAAAAAUUUAUUAGAAAAAAUAAAUUAUUUGAACUACAUGUAAAAUAGAAAUAAAUUUAACUAAUAAAAAAAUUCAUAAUUAUCAUAUGUAAAAGGAGAAAAAAGUAGAAGUGAUGGGACAUUUGUGAAAAAAGAAAUUGUGGGUGGGGGACCACUGCUAUAAAAAAAUUAAGAACGUAACUUUUUGUUACGUUGAACAACUCUUUUUUAGUAACUUUUUAAUUGAUUUGACAAUUCAUUGCAUUUUUUUCCUCGGUUAUCGUGUAAAUCAUAAGAAUUUCUUACGUUUUAUAUUUUAUUUUUAUAAAACGUAAGAAUUUCUUACAUUUUACAAAAAAAAUGUAAAACGUAAGAAAUUCUUACGUUUUUGUAAAAGUCAACUCCGUUAGUUUACCGUUAAGAAAAAAGUAGAAAACGUAAUAAAUUAUUACGCUUAUCUUAUUUUGGUAAAUUUUUAAAUAAGUGGCUUAUUUUGAUCACUUUUUUAAUUCCAUGGCUCAUUUUGGUUCCGAGUUCUAUAUAUGUUGAAAAAUAAUUUAAAAUACUAAAGCUCAAAUAUUUUUAGGAGAACUCAAACAUUUGUCCCUUUGUCUAAGGUCUUGUAUUAAAGACCUGUCUUCAAUUUUAAUUAAAUUAAUUUAAUUAUUAUUAAUAAUUGCUUAAUUUGAAUAAACAAAUGACUAAUCUGUUAUAAACAUCUGUUGCAAUAGAUGACUAACUUGUUACAACAAAUAAAUAAUUUGUUGAAAAAUAAUUAAUAUACUAGGGAACUCAAAUAUUUUUAGGAGAACACAAAUGUUUGUCCCAUUGUCGUAGAGACGUUUUUAAUUUUAGCUAAAUCAAUUUAGUUAUUACUAAUAAUUGCUUAAUUUGAAUCAACAGAUGACUAGUAUGUUGCAUUAGAUGAUUCAUCUGUUGGAAAUUAUCAAACAGAUAGAAAAUCUAUUGUAACAGAUGGGUCAACUAUUAGAAAGCUAUUAAAAUAUUAGGAAACUUAAACGUUUCUAGGAGAACUCAAAUGUUUGUCCCCUUGAUCCUUUUGCAUUUGAUGUAUGUUAUAUUAUUUUUAUCUUCUUUACCUGUUUCAUGAAAUUUUUCAUGUGUUUUACUUAUUCAUUGUGCCCCUGUUGAAAUUUUUUUAAAAAAAUUUAGGUCAAAUUUUGUUCGUAUAUCACUUGGACAUUACUUCAUAGCUUAUUUUGUAAGUAAAAUUAUNNNNNNNNNNNNNNNNNNNNNNNNNNNNNNNNNNNNNNNNNNNNNNNNNNNNNNNNNNNNNNNNNNNNNNNNNNNNNNNNNNNNNNNNNNNNNNNNNNNNNNNNNNNNNNNNNNNNNNNNNNNNNNNNNNNNNNNNNNNNNNNNNNNNNNNNNNNNNNNNNNNNNNNNNNNNNNNNNNNNNNNNNNNNNNNNNNNNNNNNNNNNNNNNNNNNNNNNNNNNNNNNNNNNNNNNNNNNNNNNNNNNNNNNNNNNNNNNNNNNNNNNNNNNNNNNNNNNNNNNNNNNNNNNNNNNNNNNNNNNNNNNNNNNNNNNNNNNNNNNNNNNNNNNNNNNNNNNNNNNNNNNNNNNNNNNNNNNNNNNNNNNNNNNNNNNNNNNNNNNNNNNNNNNNNAAUUUGCGCAACAUAUUAGUCAUAUAUGUUGCAACAAAUACUCAUCUGUUGGAUUCAUGUUACAUGCUUUAUCCAUUAUUAAAAAACAACAGUAGCAGAUACAUCCAGAUGAGAAAUUCAACUAAAAAAUAACAAACAUUAAAAAAAAUAACAAAAAACGUAAAAAAAUAACAAACACCAACAAAUCAAGCUCCUCAUUUUCAUCAUAACUUAAAAGCCCUAAUUUUUUACUUGUGAAAAUCGAAAGGAAACGAUAAAGAACUCGAAGUUAUUGUCGCCGGAGAAUGUUGUCACGUCGACUAACGGUUGAAAGUAAAAAAGGAACGGGCAAGAACUCAAAACUAUUUGUUGCCAGAGGUUGAAGUUGCACAAGAUUGAAGGGAGAAAUUUAAAAAGUUGUUGGUUGGGAGAAGUUAGAGAGAGAAAUAUCGAGAGAAAGAGAUUGAUUUGCAGAGGGAGGAAAGUUUUGUGGGUGUGGGUUAAUUUAUAUUUUUGAAAAAAUUAAAAAGUUUAGAAAAUAUUAAUCAAGUUCACAAUUAACCUAAUCAAGUUUUUUAAUAAUGUUUGACCCUUUAAAUUGAUCAAUGUCACCAAUCUUUCAUUCAAAACUUAAAAGACACCUUUCCUUCAAUUUUGUCAAGUUCUAAGGUAUUUUUAUUAAAAUAAUUUAAACAAUAAUUUUAGAAAAAAGUGUUGGUGCAUUUCAUUAUUAAAAUAAAAAUACUAAAGUGCAUGAUAAUUUUUUUGUUCAAUUUAUUAUUUCAACUAUAAUUAUUGUAAUUUGUGGUAUAUUACUCCUACAAAAAGUAAAAAGAUAAUUUUGUCUAUUGCAGAAACUUUUAAUGAAAGACAAAAAGUUCAAGCAAUAUUUGUAAAACUCUUCACGCUUUUCAUACAGUAUAAAUAUAGAUGUCACACCCCUUUUUCGUCCAACAGUUCGAGUCAAAGGAUUUUUUCAAUUAAAGUGACAAUUUUGAAUAGGGAUUAAUUUAUUUAUAGAGUCGCCACUUGAAAUUGAGUUAUGGUGUUACAAGUCACCUUUUUGAAUCCCCAAUCAAAAGGAAGUUGACUCUUUCAUUAUUGGUCUGCGAAAACAGAUGACCGGGUAAGAAAUUUUGUUUACCGAGGGAAAGGUGUGAGGCACCCCUCGAGUCCCGUGUUUCUAGCACGGUCGCUUUUAUUGACUUAAACUAUUUUGAUAAAUUAUGUUAAGGCCUAAAAUCACUCAUUUUAUUAUACUAAAACUUGUCUAUUAUCUUAUAUUAAAUAAAUCGUGUAAAAAUUAGUUUUAGAAAAAAUAUUUGCCAAGGUGCAUUAUUGCAUCCUUGAAUUUUUAAAUAUCUCAGAAAGAUGUGUACGCCGCAUUCUUAAUUGAGACGAACAUUCUAAAUAUUCUUUUAAAAAAAUUUAGCGAUAAAUUAAUUUAGUUAAAACAAUUAUCAAUCUUUGUUAAUUAUAAUAUAAUAAAAAUAAAAUAAAAAUAAAUUGGAUAAUAAUAAUAAUAAUAAUAAUAAUAAUAAUAAUAAUAAUAAUAAUAAUAAAACGAUACACAUACACAAAAUUAGUCCUAUUAUAUUAAUUUUAUUAUUAUGAUUCCUUAUAUUUAUUUAUUUAUUUAUUUUUAAUAAUAAAUAAAUUUAAAAUAAAUAAAUAAAUAAAACUAAUUACUUCCUCCGUUCCAUUUUACCCGUCCCAAAUUGGGAUGAUACAGCUAUUAAGAAAACAAUGAUUGGUAAUGUAACUUUAUCAUUUUGCCCCUCUUAAUUGUGUCUUAUUGUUAGUUCCAAUAUUGAUGGGUGACUAAUAUCAAAGCAUUAUUUAUAUUUUUACUAUUGUAUUUUUAAUGAUACUUUUUUUUGCAAUAUUUUUCAAGAAUGUUAAUAACAAAGAGUAAUCAAUUAUACUAAGGGUAUAAUGGGAAAAACUUUUUUGUCUUGUCUUAAUAAGUAAAAUAGAAUAAGUAAAAUGAGAGAUUAAAUUAGGAAAUUUAGGACGGGUAAACUAAAACCGAUGGAGUAAUUAAUAACAAAUAAGGUAAAGGUCCUCCCUUUUCAAUAAACACGCACAGUAAACUUAAUUCUCUACAAACCAAUAAACGUACUACAUUUUUUUCAACUUUAUUAGCAAAUCAAGUAUAAAAUAUCAUAAAAUUUCAACUUCAACUAUUGCGAUAGAGAGAAAUUAGUAGCGGCAUAGUGAUGGUAGCGGCUGGAAGACUGCUCUGUCGGCAGCAGUAGCGGUUGCCGGCAGAUCUGGUCAAAAAUGGGAAGAAAAGGGCGGAUCUGGAGGUUGGCGGCGUUGUUGGCUUCCCUAUGUCUGCUGUCGGUAUUUUUGAUGACGGAAAAGGGAGAGAAGGGGCGGCACUGCUUUGAUGGUGGUUUCCGGUGAUGGUGGUUCCGGUGGGUGACGCAUUCCGAUAAGGGGACGGUUUUCGGUGGAUUUCGUCCAGAUCUGGCGCGGCUGGCGUUUUACCGGUGUGUUGCCGCCGGAAUAUACCACAAAAGGGUCAGAUUUGAUAAUUUUGGUGAUGGUCAAAAUAGAAAAAAGAGGGACGGUAGUCCCAUUUUCCGGCGGAAACUCAUGGAUUCGCUUGUUUCCAAGUGUGUAUCACCGUUUUUCGGCGUAUUUUUGGUGAACAGGUGUAUGGUAGUUUAGCCGCUGGUGUUUUGGAUUUUUCGGCAACAAAUUUUUACAAUAACUGUGAUGAACCAGUGGCUUGAGGUGCUUCCCGAUGGUUUUUCGGUCGCUGAAAAUGAAACAACCUUCUGCUUAUUUUCUGUUUUUAUUACUAUAUUUUUUACUGAUUUCACACUAUUUUCUUCUCCGUCUGUUAUCUAGAAUUUUUACUCCAUUUUACUCACUGUUUAAGUGUAUGUAUGUGUGUGAUUACAUGAAAUUCAGUGUGUGGUGAUUGUAAUUGUGAGUGUUAAUAUAUUUUCAGUGAGAGUGUGUUGAGUAUGACAAGAGAAGAAUGGAAAAUUGUGAGUAUGCAUGUGUAUCAGUGUGUAUAUUGUAAGGUGGGUGAAUACAUAAAUCAGUUGUAUUGCUACAUUUAUUUUUCUUGAUUCAGUGCAGUAAAUAAAUAAUAUCACACGUUAAACUACUACUACAACAACAUACCCCGUGUAUUCCCACCUAAUGGGGGUGUAUUCCCACCUAAUGGGGGUCUGGAGAGGGCAGAGAAGUAGAGAGGUGGUUUUCGAUAGACCCCCGGUUUAUGAUCAAUAACAGUAUAACAAAUACAAAAAGUAAACGGAUACAAGCUAGUAUGGUACAUAAAACAAAUUAACAGUAUAAUAAACACAAAAGAUAAGUGCAUAAUAAACUAGUACGGGAUGCAAAAAAGCCAAACACCACUAACCCAAAAAACUACAUCCCCAACACUACGAAUCAGAAACUUCAGACCUAAAGGAGCACUCCUCAAUUACUACCGCCGCGCUCCCAUCCCCUAACCCUCUACCUUAAUCCGCACCCUCCAAACCUUUCUAUCAAGGGUUGUGUCCUCUGUAAGCUGUAAUUGCUCCAUAUCAUGCCUAAUCACCUCCCUUCAAUAUUUCUUCGGUCUACCUCUAGCCCGCCUAAAACCAUCCAUAGUCAGAGUCUCACACCUCCGCACUGGAGCAUCAGAGCCCCUCAUCAUCACAUGCCCGAACCAAUGUAGCCUCACUUCUCGCAACUUAUCCUUCACCGAGGCAACUUUCACCUUCUUCCGAAUAAUCUCAUUCCUCACCCUAUCUUUUCUGGUAUGUCCACACAUCCAUCACAAUAUUCGCAUCUCUGCCCCCUUUACCUUUUGGAUGUGGGAGUUCUUAACUAGCCAACACUCCGCUCCAUACAACAUAGCUGUCCGGACUACCACUCUGUAAAACUUAUCUUUAAGCUUCGGGGGCACCUUUUUAUCACAAAGGACUCUCGAAGCGAGCCUCCACUUCAACCACCCUGCCCCAAUACGAUGCGUGAUAUCUUCGUCAAUCUCACCAUUACCCUGAAUUAUAGACCCCAAAUACUUGAAACUCUCCCUCUUUUGGAUGGCCUGAGAGUCUAGCUUCACAACCACUCCAUCUUCUUACGACAUAUUAUCGAACUUAUACUCCAAGUACUCCGUCUUUGUUCUACUUAACCGAAAACCUUUAGAUUCAAGCGUCUGUUUCGAAAUCUCCAACUUAUCAUUAACUCCACUCCGAGUCUCGUCGAUCAAAACCACAUCAUCUGCAAAUAACAUACACCAAGGCACCUCCCCUUGAAUAUGUCGCGUCAAAACAUCCAUCACUAAGGCAAAUAGAAAUGGGCUAAGAGUCGAUCACUGGUGCAACCUUAUAAAAAAUGUGAAGUGCUCCGAAUCUCCACCUAUCGUCCUCACACGAGUCUUCGCACCUUCAUACAUAUCCUGAAUCGACCUAAUGUAUGCCACGGGCACCCCUCUAGCCUCCAAGCACCUCUACAGAAUCUCCUUGGGAACUCUGUCAUAUACCUUCUCUAAAUCAAUAAACACCAUGUGCAAGUCCUUCCUCCUCUCUCGAAACUGCUCCGCUAAUCUCCUCACAAGGUGAAUGGCCUCAGUGGUCGAGCGGCCAGGCAUGAAACCGAACUGAUUCUCAGAGAUCAUCACGAUCCUCCUCAUCCUCAACUCUACCAUCCUUUCCCAAACCUGCAUAGUAUGACUCAACAACUUAAUACCUCUAUAGUUGUUACAACUCUGAAUGUCUCCCUAUUCUUAUACACUAGAAUCAUCGUGCUCCACCUCCAUGCUUCAGGCAUCUUAGCAGCUCUAAAAAUAAUGUCAAACACCUUGUCAAUCAUUCCAGACCUGCCCCGCUAGUGCUCUUCCAAAAGUCUACUGGAAUCUAGUCUGGCCCCGUCGCCCUACCCCGCCGUAUCCUGCGAAUAACUCCCUUGACCUCCUCAACCUCAAUACGCCUACAAUAACUAUAAUCGCGACCCUCCUCAGAUAUCUCCAAGUCUCCCAACACAGAACCUUUGUCCCCCUCAUCGUUCAAAAGUUUAUGAAAAUAGGACUGUCAGCUCUCCCUAAUAAGGGCAUCCUCAACCAACACUAUACCAUCCUUUCCUUUGAUGUACUUCACUUGGUUAAGGUCACGAGCCCUCCGCUCCCUGGCCUUGUCCAUCCUAUACAACUUCUUAUCUUCGUCUUUCUCCUCUAAAGCCACAUACAAACUCUCAAAAGUUGUUGUCUUAGCCGUCGUAACCGCUAACUUAAACUCUCUUCUAGCAACCUUAUACUCAUCCUUAUUCUUCUGUCUUUCCCCAUCAUCCUUGCUCCCAACCAGCUUAGCAUAAGUUACCUUCUUAGACUCCACCUUUCUCUUGACCUCUUCGUUCCACCACCAGUCUCCUCUAUGUUUACCAGAUCGACCUUUCGAAACACCCAACACCUCUCUAGUGGUAUCCCUAAUGCAACUGGCAGUCGUCUCUCAUAUAUUAUCCACCCCCUCUACUCUCCCAAGCCUCCUACUCUUCAACUUCUCUUCCAUCUCCAAAGCACUAGCCAAAGUUAGGCUCCCCCACUUAAUUCUGGAUCGCACCUCCCUACUUCUCUUCCUUUUUCCCUUAUUGAUUACCAAGUCCAUCCCCAACAAUCUAUGUUGAGUCGAGAGAUUCUUGCUAAGUAUGACUUUACAGUCUUUACAUAGCACUCUAUCCCUUUUCUAAGAAGCAAAAAGUCUAUCUGAGUCUUGGCCACUGAACUACGAAACGUAAUAAGGUGAUCCUCCUUCUUCGGAUAGCUCGAAUUUGCUAUCCACAACCCAAAAGCCCUAAAAGAAUCUAACAGAGAAGUUUCUCCUUCAUUCUGCCACCAAAACCAAAAUCGCCAUGCACAUCAUCAUACCCUCUCGACAAAGACCCAAUAUGCCCAUUGAAAUCCCCUCUCACGAAAAGCUUCUCAGUGCUCGGGAUACUCCUCACUACCUCAUCUAAAACCUCCCAGAAUUCCUUCUCCUCCUCUUCGUCCAAACCUACUUGCGAGGCAUAGGCACUAAUAACGUUCACCGUAAACCCUCCCAUGACCAACUUAAUAGACAUCAAUCUAUCACUAACUCUCUUUACCUCUACCACCUGCUCCCUAAGAUCUUCAUCUACUAAGAUACCUACCCCAUUUCUAUGUCUCACGCUAUCCGAGUACCACAAAUUAUAUCCAUCCACAUCUCUCGCUUUAGUGCCUACCCAUUUAGUUUCCUAGAUACACGCUAUACUCACCCUCCUCUUUCUAAGAGUCAUCACCAGUUCUAUAGACUUACCCUGCAAAGUACCAAUGUUCCAAGACCCAACUCGCAACCUUGAAGCUCUCUUAUCCCACCUAACCUUACUACCCCUAGCCCCUAACCCUAAACUCGAUCCUAGACCCAACCCAGAACCAACCCCCCUAAACCCCGGCCCAGACCCAAUAUCUCCUGACCCCGACCCCGACCUAUGACAUGCCCCUAGUCUACCCUCUCCAAUCACAGCCAUUAUGCAACAAAGGGAAGAAUGGGAAAAAGGAAAGAAAGAUAACAAAGGGGGAUCAAGAUAAAGUAAAAGGCACACUAGUUAAAAUAAAGUCAAUAAAGGAGCUAGGAACAAAGACAACAAUCUAUAAUAGAUAGGGAGCAAUAAAACCAAUAAUAUAACACAAAUUUUAAUACACAAUAGUCAAUAGCGGAAACUAAUACUAUCACACUUAAUGGAUAUGCUAGUAAAUCAAAUAACAGUAAUCAGAAAAGGUAACACACUCCAAAACUACUAAGAACAAUAAAAAGAUUCACACAUACAACACAAUUUCAAAGUAACUAAUCAACAAGAAAUUCGACACCCACAACCAGAUAAUCAGCCAAGAUGCUACGAAACAAGAAUCACAACAAAAAUAGUGCAAAACACUACCAGUAGCAGCCCCUACAAAUCAAGAAAGUUAUACACAACUAUAAAAGAUGGAUCGAGUGCACCUGAUCGAAGAUAGGUUGUGUCCUUAUACUUGAUUGAGUCGCUGGAUUUCGGCAAUUUACGGUAGAAAUUGGUCGCCGAAAUAGUGUCGCCGGAAUAGUGUUUCUGUCACCGAAUUUCAACGCGAUUUGCAUUCUUCUUCUUUGAGAUGAUGAUGAUGAUGGUGCCUAUCUUCUUCUUGUUGUUGUUCUUUAACUACGAAAGUAUGACCGGACGGUGAGCUAAAUCGCCGUAGAUACAUCGGAGAAUUGCCAGAAUAUCUUUUUGCCGGAGCACCGGUUCAAACUGUAAAGAAAUUUGACGCCGAUUUGAACAAGAAGACUACGACUGUUAAUGCUAGAAAGCUGACGAGGCGGCGGAACCAGCAGUGCUUGAGAAAGUGCCUGAAGUAAUAAUAAUUAUCGUCACAGAAAGGAGUUGGUAAUAAGAACAAAAGUAGAAGGAAAUCAAAAAAUGAUGGGACAAAAAUAGAGAGAGAAUUAGGGUUUUGCAGGUCGAAAGGAAGAAAUUAUCACACGUUAAACUAUGAGAUCAUUAACAUAAACUUGAACACGUUUUGAUUCAUUAUGAAAAAUCAGACAAAAAAUAACAUAAAGUUGAAUAAGAAUCUGUUGAUAAACUAAAGCAGAAGACAUGAAUAUUGUCACCGGAAACUCCAAAAGGAAAUUCAACUUCACUUUCCUCACAUCUUUUUAUGUUGUUUUUGAAUAUUUUCUCCGAUUUUCUCUCCUUUGAUGUUGCUCUAUUUUACUGAUUUUUUUUCUCUGAUUUUUAUUUGGUUCAGUAUGGGUGUCCACAGAAUGUAUGUACAUGAGAAUCCUUAAAUAAGGAUGUCUUGGGAGGGAACAGUUAAAAGAAAUAUCAGAUAAGGAGAAAUUUGAAAAAUUAUUUAUUAUAUUUUUAUAUUAUUAUUAUUAAUUAAUUAAUUAAAAUAUAGAAACUAAUUAUAAUAAUAAUAAUAAUAAAUAAAAUAAAUAAAUAAUUAAAUAAAAAUAAAAAAAAUGAUUUUUUGUAUAAUAAGAAUUUAUAAAUAGUCAAAAAUAAAUAUAAUUAAGGUAGUAAUAAAACUACUAGCAUUUUUGAAUUUUUUAUUUUAUUUUUAGAACAAAAAUAAAAAUAAGAUAUUUCAAAAUGUGAAUUUAUUUAGUUAUUUUUAACUAAAAUAAUUUUUUUAUUAAAAAUGAAAUAAAAUUUAAAAUAAUAUCGAACUAAUAUAAAUAUUUAAUAUCGAUAAAUAAGUUAAAAUUUAGGGAGGAUAAAAAAUCAUGUGUCUACAAUAGAUAUAAAAAACAAAAAAAACCGUCAUGAAUAAAAUUAGAUUAGGAAGGAAAAAGAAAAUCUAAAAAUUCCAGAAAGAAAUAAGAAACAAAAGAAUAGAAAAAUAUAAAGUUCAAAAAUAAAGAAUUCAAAUUUGACUAUGAUGAAAGAAGGAAAUAAAAAACGAUAUGAUCUCAAAUAAAAUAUAUAAACACUAAAGGAAUAAAAAGGAAAAAAAUAAAGAAAAAAAAACUUAAAAAUAAAAAUAGAUUUUGGGAUGGAAGAAGUAAUGCAUUAUACUCUUUUGGUUUCUUUACUCUUUUGGUUUCUUUUUACUUAUUCAUUAUUUUUGAAAAAUAGAUUUUUCAUAAUGCAAAUUUAAACACCUACUAAAAAUGAGAGAUUGUUAUAAAUGUAUUUACAUUAUAGUGAAUGUCUAUCAAGAUCUAGUUGAUAUCUAUCAGGAUUUGAAAUAUUUGUCUUUUAGUCAGAAACUAGGAAUAUUUUCUCCUAUAAAUAGAUGGAUUUUGUUAAUUAUAUAAUCAAUAAUCUGAUUAUCUCUCAUCCUUCAAAAGAAAUAGAAAGUUUUCCUCUUCUCUUUAUUUAUUUUUGUUCUUCUUUUAUAUUUUCUUGUUCUUACUUUUAUAUUUCAUAACACGUUAUCAACACGAAACUCUAUUGGUUACGGUAAAUUCAUGGUUGUGGAUAACUCGUUGAUCUUUUAUAGAAGUAACCAAUUAAUUUUUAUUUUUGGUGAUUUGCAGAACUUAUCUUUAUUACAUAAUGUUUUGAUCAUUUAAUCUCUUACCCUUGUUUUUACUAGACCAACCGAAUCUACAUACUCAUCAUAUGAGUUUUAUAGUUUUGUCUCUUUGAUACUGUACAUAGCAUGCAACACUAUUGACAAUAAAAAUGAUUUCUUUUGAUGUUAUUAAGUGGUACUCACUCCGUUUCAGAAUAAGUGAAUUGUUGGGGGUAUUUAUUAGUGUUUCAAAAUAAGUGAAUCAUUGAAUUUUUUUUCAAAUUUAUCCUUAUGAUUUGAUAAUCAAUUAACUUUUGAAAAGGUAUACAAGGUCAACUUUUUCUUUUUUGGGGGUAAAAAUAAAAAGUUGUGUUAAAUUUAUGUCUUUAAUACUUUUUUCUUAAUUUGUGUGUCAAAAUUUAAUAAUUUAUUUAUUAUGAAACGGAGGGAGUAUAGUUUAAGACGGAUAAUGCUUUUAACUACUGUACCGUUUCAGGUUAUACUAUAUCUAUAUAUGAAAAUUGCUACUAAUAUGAUGAUUAAGUUUCAGGAAUGAUGUUCGGGGAAAGUCUUUGUAUAACAUCUUAAAAUUACACUUUAUGUUGUCAGAAUUGGUUCUACAAAUAAGAACGGAUUGAAUUCCUCUAUUUCACUAAUGACUUGAACAUAAGAUCUAGCGUAUUUUGGCCGGUUGUGGGUAAGACGAUGGAUUUAGAUCUCAUUGUAUUAAAGAAUAAGACAUCGGGUUAGAGUCUCGGUGCAUUAUGAUAAUAAAAUAUUAUGUUUAAGUCUCAUCGAUUUAUGUCCAAGACACUUUUAUAUAGAUAAGAUAUUGAGUUUGAAUCUUAAUGCACCGAUGAUAUAAUGAUGGCUAAGGUAAACCAAUAUGUUUUUGGUGAAAGACAUGAAAUUUGUCUCAUUGAAUAUGCUUCAUUCCCCAAAGUGAAUGUGGUAGCAAUACAUCAUAUGUAUGCCUCAAUUUGCUCUUGUAAUAGCAAUAUUUUGAAAGAGAUUAUAAGUUAUCAUAAUUUGAUAGGCUUAAAAGCACGACAUAUUCCAUUUCAGGAGAAUGAAAAUUUUGAUUAUUUGAUUAUUAUAAGCACAGAUCCAUUCCCUGAGGUGAAUAUGAUAGUAUUUAGUAAAGCUUAUUAAUAUAGCACGUUAUCAAUAAACGUGCAUUUGAUUGUGAUAAUAUCACAACUCACCUCUAGAAGAGACAGAAUAACUAAGAAGAGUUAUUUUGAAAUCUACUUCUAAAGUAGUAACUUUGAAAUUUAUUCAUGUAAUAGUAAAUCUGAAAUUUACUAAAGAAUUUUUGCCCAUGAUAUGGUAACUUGGAGUUACUAAUACAAAUCAUUUAAUCUAUUGGCAUAAAUGAUUUGCCAUCAUGAAGAUGUGCAUAAUGAGUAUUAGACAUAUGUUGAAGAAAUAAAAGAUUCUUCAAGAAUUGUUUAUGUUGCUUGUUCUCAUGACAAGUUGGUUGGACCAACUAAUGUUGGAAUUUGAUCCCUCAAAAUCUGAAAAGUAUAAAAGGUGAAUAUGGGCCCGUUCAUCAGUCAUGUGAUCUAUUAAGAUGCAUCGAUAUAAGAUGGUCACAUGUGAGUUUAUUGUCAACCUGCAGUUUGACAUUCAUAAAGUUGUUUGCUCAAUAAAAUUGAGUUAAGAGCAUAACUUUCAGAUUGUGUAAUAAAUAAAGUUUGAUGUGCAGUAUAUGAUUAAUGAAUAUACCAUGAUGCACAAAGAUGGAUUCCUCAAAGAAGAUGAAGGAUGUAUGUUAGUUUCCUAACAUAAGGGGGAGAUUAUAAGCAGCUAUGAAAUAUGUUGGAAAUUAUCAUCCUCAUUCAAAAGAUAAUUCAAGUCAAAUACCGAAAACAUAUCAUAUUUAAAUUGCAAGUGCUCCUAUUUUGUGUCCCUAAAGGAUAAAGUCUAUGCAUGUGUGAAACGUGGUAGAUCAAUCGGUUCUAAAUAAAAUAAUCCUUGAAAAUGAUAAGGAGCAAAUAAUCAUAGUAAGAAGGUAAUGUGCUCUUGAAGAGCCUACAACAUAACACUUCAUGAAACCUUAUCAGAAGUUCAGGUACCUGAAAAUAAUGGAGUGAUGAUAUCUUAAAAUGUUAUGUCACAUUGCGAACCGAUACAAAAUGAGAAACCGUCGACGAUAUCUUUGAUACAAUAUUGGCGUUAUAUUGUGAAAGAUUAUGAGGAUCUGAAUUCUACGUUAAUUUAAGCAUGCUGACGUAGAAACAUUUAUCAAGUGACAUGAAAGGAUGCAUCUUGGUAAGCAUAAUACUUAUUUGAUUUGCAGUCUAGACACUCGAAGAUGUCACACAUAUUGAUAUUGUCACUUGACAAAAAUCCAUAUGAAAAUUUCUAAAGGAUUUAAAAUACCUGAAGCAUAUAAAGUUUUUGGGAAACUUGUUUAUUAUCCUUAUGAGGAAUAAAUUGAUGGUAUGAAUCUUGUUGAAACUCUUGGAGAGUUUUCAAAAGCAAUAGAUUAUUUGCUGAAAUCAGAAAUAUACCAAAUUAGAUUGGUUGUGAAGUAUCAUAUCUUAGUGCAAUUGAUGCACUCAUAUAUCUUGCAAAUACUACAAGGCCUGAUAUAGCCUUUUCAGUCAAUUUAUUAGCAAGGUAUAUUUCUGCUCCUACUAGGAGUCAUCAGAAUGAGAUAAAACACAUGAACUUAUUUUAUUCUAAAGAAUGCAGUCUCGAUCUUAUUAAUUAUACUAAUGUUGGGUAUUUAAUUAAUCCGCAUAGAUCUCGAUCUCAAACAGGCUAUAUGUUCAUAUGUGGGGAUAUUGCCAUGACUUGGAGAUAUACAAAGCAGUCUAUCAUAGCCACUUCAUCGAAUCAUACUGAGAUAAUAGCUAUUCAUGAAGCAAGCUGAGAAUGUGUAUGAUUGAGGUCCAUGAUACAUCUCAUUCGAGAAAAAUGUGGUGUGAAAUGUGACAAUGUAUCCACACUUUUAUAUGGAGAUAAUGCAACAUGCAUAGCACAUCUUAAUGGAGGAUUUAUAAAAGGAGAUAGAACGAAGCACACUUCAUCAAAGCUUUUGUACAUACACGAGCUACAAAAGAAUGGUGAUAUUAACACGCAACAGAUUCGUUCAAGUGACAUUAUGGUUGAUUUAUUCACCAAGUCUCCUUGCAACUUUCAAAAAGAUGGUGCACAAGAUCAGGAUGCAAAGGUUCAAGGAUGUUCUCAUUAGGGGGAGUUAAUACGUGUUGUACUCUUUUUCUCUUACGAGCUUUUGUCCCACUGGGUAAGGUUUUUAAUAAGGCAGCCUAUAUGCGUAUUGUUAGAGAUGUGUACUCUUUUUCCUUUACUAGAUUUUUUUUCCACUGGGUUUUUUCUAGUAAUGUUUUAACGAGUCACAUUAUUUAUGUAGACAUUCAAGGGGGAGUGUUAUAAAUGUAUUUACAUUAUAGUGAAUAUCUAUCAAUGUCUAUCAAGAUUUGAAGUAUUUGUCUUUUAGUCAGAAACUAGGAGUACCCUAUAAAUAGAGGGGUUUUGUUAAUUGUAUAAUCAAUAAUCUGAUGAUCUUUCAUCCCUCAAGAGAAAUAAAGAAGUCUCUCUCUUCUCUCUAUUUAUUCUUGUUGUUCUUUAUUUAUAUUUCAUAACAGAGAUUAUAAUUUAACCCCUUUUUUAUUCACUUAAAAAUGGGUGGAUUGGAUCGUGUCUUACUUUUACUCAAUUCAUUUUUAAUUCGUUCAAAUAAAACUCAACCGUCAGUUUGUCAUUACCAGACAAGAUAAUAAAGGGCCCGUUUUAUAUUUUUAAGUAUAUUUAUUGGUAUUAAUUAAUUUCUAAAAAAAUAAUAGAGAUCACACUUUACAAAAAUUAUAUUUUUUUUUUAUUUUUAUAAAACUGAAUAAUAGCUUACAGCUUAAAUUGUCCUAAUUAAAAUUAAAAUAUAAUAUGAUUCAAGACUUAUUUUAACAUCAAGUCAAACACAUUUUCUUGAAUUAAGUAACUAAUUUUAAUAUUUUUAUUUGAAAAUAUACAAGAGGAUACAUUCAAAUUAUAAGUGUCAGCAUAUUAACAUUUUUUAUAAAAUCUUACGAGCAAUAUUUUUUUAAAAAAUAUGAUCUUUUUACCUAAUAUAGUGUAUAAUGAAAGUAAAUAGUGUAUUACAUUAAGAAAAUAAGAGAUUUUUCUUAUCCAUAUAAAUUAAAAAGUACAAAAAGAGAAUUAAAAAAUAGUGGAAUACCUCUUGAGGUAUUUAGAGGUGUUUUUCAAAAAUAUAAAAAUAGUAAAAAAUGUAUUUCAAAAUAUUUGUGGCCAAAAAAAUAUUCUGAAAUAAAGUGAAAACGUAUUCCGAAAUACUGUGAAUAGUAUUUAUGACCAAUAGCCUACUUAGUUUACUUUAAAUUUCAAGCAUUUCAUCUGAUUCAUUUAUCUGUCUUGAUAUUUUUAUGAUCUAUUAAAUAGUAAAAAUAAUAAUUCAAUAAAUUAUUUUUAUUUAGUAUUUUUAGUUCAAUUUAAUAUAUACUAUUUGUUUUUAUCACACUAAUUUCAUUCAAUUUUUAUUAUAUUAAAGGAAAAAUAAAAUUAAAAAAUAAUUAAUUUACUUCAUUUCUAAAUUAAUAAAUAGUUUAUAAUCAUUUCAGUCCGAAAUGAGGCGAACAGAGUGUGGAUUUUCAUGGGAGGGUGGUUGACCUCUCUGUUUGGCCAAUGAUUUCUCCAAACUCAACAACCCUACCUUCCUCUUAUUUCCCAACAAGAACCAAAAAAAAAAAAAAAGUUUAUAAUCACAAUAGUUAUAUUAUGAAUUAAAGUGAAGCAAUUGGAAAGAGUAAUUAGAUUAAAUCUCAGAUUAAUUUAAAAUAAGAAAAAAAGUGUAUGAUAUUGAAUAUUACUUAUUGAAAUAAAGCUUCUCUUAUAAAAGUGAUAAUUGAUAAUCAUUUGAAGACAAAAAUUGAGUUCACAUUUUUACACGUACACCGGAUGUUUUUGUUGUUUCAAUGUGUGGUUUUUAUGUGUCUAUUAGAAUUUAGUACAAACUUAAAUGACUUUUCUUAAAUUUAAGAUAAUCUUUGCAUGUUGACAACAACUUGAAGCUGGAUUGUAUUAUUAAAUUAUAAACUUGUUGAAAUAAUAUUUUUACCCUUGUUGAACUAAAUUAGGUGAGUUCAAGAUGUAGCAAUUUAGUUCAUUUAUUGUUAGUUCUUAAAUUCUACAUAGGUUUUGUUGUUAUGGAUAAAAGGUGUCUUUUUCCUAUAUUUUGCUUCUGCUGUUAAAAGUGUUUUAGACCUAGGAUGUGUUUAGUAGGAAAAAAAAUAUUUUCUUAAAAAUAAGUAGGUUUCUUAAAAUAAGUUAUCACGUCAAUUAAGCAUAUAAAUUAUAGUAUUCUGAUAUAAAAUUUAAAAAAGCUCAUCAUUUGAAUCACAUUUUUAGAUCUAACAAAUCAUAAUUUAUAAUUACAUUUAGAUGUGUGAAGAUCAAAAAAUAAUUGUGCAAAUAAAAAAUAAUUCUACUUUUUUUCAGAUAUUUUUAUUAUAGUAAAACAAACUUUAAAAAUCACACCAUAAAAAAAAAUAAAAAUUUACAUGAAGUUGAAUAUCUCAUUGAAACGGCAAAUAUAAUUAAUAUACAAAACAUUUAAGGAAAAAUGUGGGAUCCACAUUAAUUUAGAAAAAAGUUGCAUGAUUAUUUUGUCAUUAAAAUUUGUGACCUACUUUUAAGAGAGAGUCAAAUAGGUCGGGAAGAAAGAGUCUGAGGUCGGAUCGGACGGUUAAGACUUAUAGUAUAAAAACAAACAUUUUAGAAUUUUAUGAAAUAACAAUUUUACCCUUGGUCGUCCUCUAACUCACUCUUCUAUAUAGUAGAAAUAGAAACUAGCUAGUAAAUGUCAGUAGAGCACAUAUGGGUUCUUACUCCCUGUGUCUCAAAUUGUUUUUGUGGACUUAGGUAACACGCCCCUUAAUAAAUGCUAGUAUAGGUGUACGUGUCUUGCGUGUGUACCUCACUUUAAUGAGUUCAAACAUUACACUAAAUAGAAUAUUUAUUUAAAUAACAAAUAUGAAUAUAAUAAUUAAAUUUAAUAUCUUUUGAGUAUGUAAAGAUGGAGAAUUUAUUUUUUAAAUCUACCUUUACUAAAAAUAUUUUUAAAAGUCGAUCAACAUUCAUCUACCAUCUGUAAAUUGUAACAAAAUAAUACAAUGAUAGAGACAUCAAAAUAAUACAAUUAAAUCUAAUCUUUACACACAAAAAAUUUCUCAAAAUCGUCCGACACGCAUCUACCACCUGUAAACAAUAACAAUAAUACGACAAUAGAGAUAUCAAAAUAAUAUAACUAAACCUAACCUUUGCAUAAAAAGAUUUCUCAAAGCCGACCAACAUUUAUCUAUCGCCUGUAAACUGCAACAAAAUAAUACGAUAAAUGUGAUAUAAAAACAAUACAAUUAAACUUAAAUUUUUACACACAAAAAUUUCUCAAAGACGAUCGAGAUUCAUCGGCGAACUAUAAACUAACACAAAAUAACAAACUAAUAAAGAUAUUAUGAUAAUACAAUUAAACCUAACUUUUACCUAAAAAAAAAUUCAAAGCCAACUGAAUCAAGCAUCAAUUAAUCUAGACAUGCAAUCGAAUCAAGUGAGAUGAGCAUCAAUCAUAUUCUCCCAAUAGAUAAACCGGUUUGUUCUCUAGUUUAACAUAUAUCUUAAUAUUUAUUGAAGUAUUUUCUUAGUAGAGUCCUAUUUUAGGAGUAUUUUUCUAUUGAACAGUAGAAAGAAAAAAAUUAAUUAAUUCUCCUACUAUAUAUUUUAGGAGUCUCAUAUAUUUUAAGAAGUCUAAUAAAAAAAAUAUUAAUUAAUUCUCCUACCAUAUAUUUUAGGAGUCUCAUAUAUUUUAGGAAGUCUAGUUAAUAUAAUAAAAAAUAAUUAAAUAAUAAAUUUUAAAAUAUAGUGAAAAGACAGUUUUGCCUAAAAAAGAGUCUUUUAAUGAAGGGCAAAAAGUUCAAAUCACUUUUCUAAGGGUCUUCACACUUUUAAUAUACUAGCUUAAUCGCACGUGUAAUACUAUUGAUUAUUUAAAAUUAAAUAAUUUUAAAUAUAUAUAUAUAUAUAUAUAUAUAUAUAUAUAUAUAUAUUACCACCAGAAGUUUUAAGUGGUUAAUGGAUCGUCACUUUUUCGUUUUUCAUGAAAUACCUCUAUUUCUUGUUGCUAGAGGUUGAGAGCAUCGAUUUCAACCAUAUUUGCAGUAAAAUUAUUUUUUCUAUUUUUUUUAUAUUUAAAACCCCUCCAUAUUUUUAAAAUUAAAUUUUUAGAAAAUCUUUGAUUACUUAUUUAAAAAAUUUUAAAAAUUGGUACUUCUUAUAUUUUUCUUAUUUUAACGCUUUCAUAUUUAUUUGUAGAUUUUUCAAAUCUUUUUAAAAUCAGCUUUAGUUGAAAUUCUUAUAAUAAUGAAAAAAAGUACUAAUUGUCAUUAAUUCUGAUGAUUUCUAAUAAGAAAUGUUUUACAAUAAAUAUUUAAUUGAUUUUUUACUCUUAAAUAUUAGAAUAAUAGUGAAAAGACGAUUUUAUCUAAAGCAGAGACUUUAAUAAAGCGCAAAAAGUUUAAAUCAAUUUUAGUUGAUUUGGAAUUCUUAAACUAAUUAAAAAAGUAUUAGUUGUCAUUAAUUUAAUACGGAAAGAUUUUUCUAUAAAUAUUUAAUUAAUUUUUAUCUCUUAAAUAUUAGAAAAAUAAUGAAAAGAUGAUUUUAUCUAAAUUAUAAAUUUUUGAUAAAGGGAAAAAAGUUCAAAUAAUAUUUCUAAGGUAUAGUAUAGAUUCACUCUGUUAGAUAUUUUGAUUUUUGAAUUCGAAUGAUGAUUUCAUAUUUUCGUUUAACCCUUUACAUAAACUCAAGCUUUUGUUAAAGCGAAACAUGAAUUGCCGAAAUUAAACCAAUAUCAAACAAAUAAAACCAACGCAAUUAGUAGUGAUGUUUUUAUGGUCACCAAAGUCUAGUAAAAUUAUGUAUCAUUGAAUAAAAAAAGUUGAAAGAACGAUAACAAUAGACAAAAGAUGAUAACAAGAGACUUUACCUAGGAUCUAUAAAUUUCACUCAGUUAGUAUUUAUGUGCAAUAAAAAAUCUUGUAGAAAUAAAAAUUAAUAUCAAUACUUGUCAUAUAUUAAACCUCAUUGCGCCUCAAGAGAUGUGAUAUAUACAUUCUACUCUAACACAAUCUUUAACUGCUUCCACUAAUAUGAUACCUGAGAAGUAAACAAAAAUGAAAGACAUGAUUAAAGUGUUUUAGUAAAGAGUGUUGGAAUUCCAACACAAAUACUAAUCGAAUGCUCCUGCAAAUAAAAAAACACAAUUAGAGUUUCAUGACCAUAAAGCAAAUAGAAGAACUGUAACAUAACAUCAUUCACAUAGAUUAUUGAUUAGAGGAAAUAUAAUAUUUGAAGAUUAAUUGGGUCGAAAUAUAAAAUCAAAACCCAAGUACAAAAUUAAAUCAAGAGCAAUUCAAGCUAAACUAAGAAAAAACAGCUUAAAAAAUAGCCUCCUAUGAAUGAAAGACAUAUAAGUCAGCUACUCCUAAUUAUAGAAAGAUUCACCUCUAAAAGAUUAGAAAAAAUAAAAACUUAUGGUGUAGUAAAAAAAAAAAAGGACUUCAACAUGAAAAGAAGACCAACAUUAAUUAAUGAAAAACUACUUCUACAUGGAAAGAAGACCAAAAAUUUAGGAUAUACAUCAUUAGGGUUUAUAUAUAAUAAUUAAAUAAUAAUUGAAGGAAAAUAGUGAAAAAAUAUUUUUUGUCUAUUGCGUAUCUUUUAAUAAAGGGCAAAAAGUUCAAACAACAUUUCUAAGGUCUUUUAUACUUUUAAUAUAGAUAUAGAUAUAGAUAUAGAUAUAGAUAUAGAUAUAGAUAUAGAUUAUAGAUAUAGAUACAAAUAUAGAUAUAGAUAUAGAUAUAGAUAUAGAUAUAGAUUAAUUAGAAAGGAUUUUCCACUACUAUUUUACCCUUAUUUAUUUUUUUGGAUAAUUAUAAUAUCACUCAUAAUUGAGGUAGAUAUUUGUAGUUUUCAAUAUUUUUUUCAUCUCAAAAUAGUUGACAUGUUUGCUAAAAAAUUUGUAUCCAAAUAAUUGGCAUGUUUAAAAGAUUAAGAGUUUGGAUAGACUGAAAAAAGUGGCUUUUAAUUUUUUUUUUUUAAAGUGCUGAACUUAUUUUAAAAAUAAACAGUUACGUUUUUGAAUAAAAGUGCUGAAACUGAAAAAAAGUUAUUGAUGUGUUUGGUAAACAAGUGCUAUUAAGUACUUUUUUUGGUCAAAAUGUCUGAAAUACCUUUAAAAUUGUUAACAAUAUAUAAAUUUGAUUAUUAUUAAUUUUUAUUUAUAAAAAAAGAGUUUAAAUCAUUAAGCAAAAUAUAUACGUUACUAAUCAUUAUAAUUACAUUAAUAUAUAAAUAGUUGGUCACAAAUGAUACUAUUUGUUUGAUAAAAAGACUCUUAAUUAGAAAAUAUAUUACUCGUUGAUUAAGUAAAGAAUAUCACUAUUAAAACAUUGACGAAUACAAAUGUUGCAUCAUAAAAUAUAGAUGGAUCAUUCACUAAUCAUCCAUGAAGUUGUAUAUCUUCAAUGAGUAUUCUCCAUAUAUUUUGGUUGGUGAAUUAUUUUAUUUUAGAGAAAUUCAUAUGUUGUACAAUAAUAAUUGUCCAAAUUUAAAAGAAUAUAUUAAAAAAGGAGAAUAAUUAAAUUAGAAGUUUUAUACAAAUGAAGAAGUACUAGUAUAGUUAGAAUUAAGUUCAUCAUAAAUACAAAAAGUGAAAAUAUUCAAUUAAUACAAGCAUUAAGCAUUGAAAGCUAUUUUGGGGCUACACAAGGGUAAUUUAUGAAUAAGAAAAAAUUUUGAGGGACAAAAAUGUCUUUUAAUUGAUCAAAAUACGGGCUUAUAAGCCAAAAAAAAAAAGUUGGGAAUUGGAGCUUUUAGUUUUUAGCUUAUAAAAAAGCAAAUUUUGGCUUUUUUAAAACAAUUUUGAAACUUGCCAAACAUUUAAAAAAAAAAUAGCUUAAAAGCUAUUUUGACCAAAGUAUAAGCCCAUCCACACUCACUUAACUAUUUUUUAAUUCUACCCUUAGUAAUUAUUAUUAUAAAAAUAAGAGACGCAUAAAUAGAUGAAAAUUUAAAAAUUAAUACGAGAUACAUUAGUCAAAUUAUAUUUCUAUUUUUUUUUUUUUAAAGUUGUGCAAAAUUUAUACAUACCAAUUAUUUCGAGACGGAGAAAGUAACAAUAGUAAUAGUACCUACUAAUGAUCAGAUGGAAAACGAUAUUUAUAUAUAUCAUAUACUUAUUUAUAUAUCAUGAUAUAUAUAUAUAUAGUGCUUGCUUAUGCGUAACAAGUUAAUUUGCAUUUUCACUUGAUUCUAAUUCUACUAAACUUGCGAUCACUUGCUAAAACAUUAAAAAUUAUUAGACUUCAAUUGGCUUGAAAUGGUUCAUGCCAACCUUAGGUCCGGCGAAACUUAUUUUUUCUCAAAAGCGGUUAUUUUCUUUUUAAAAUUAAAGUGCUUGUUUUUAAAAAAUUGCAGCAUUUGACCAAACUUCUAGAAACAAAUAAGUGCAUUUGGAGAAUAGCAAAAAUUGAUAGAAGCUAAAGAAAACUAGUUUUUUUUUUUUUAAAAGCAUUUUAAAAAGCAUUUUAAAAAAAGUACUUUGAAAAACACUUUUAAAGGCUUGAUCAAACAUUAAGAGAUAUAUACGAAUAUUUUAAAAAAUUAUUGAUCAAAUACAAAUCGCUUGUUAAUCUAAUAAAGUGAAACUCACUUUUACAAGAAGUUCAUUGGAAAGUAAAAAAUGAAGUGAUCUAAUUAUCAAACCUAGUACAAUUUGUGGUGGUUUAUUUUAGGGAAAAUUACACAAAUGACCAGUCGGCCAAAAAUGUUGCCAAUGGUCAUUGAUUUUGACAUUUUCACUAAAUAGUCAUUUAGGCUUUUUGCAGCUACUACCUCCUUUUAAAAAAAAAAAAAAAAAUUGUUGCUCCACUUUAUCUUUUUUAAAUUUUCGUUAGUUCUUUCUUUUUCUUUAAUAUUGGUGAUUGUUUUUCUUUUUUUUUUUUUUUUGUUGCUUCAUAUUUUUUAAUUUCUUUUCUUUAGCAGCAUAAAGGCACAUGACCAUCCGAAAAAGACCUAAUUGAUCCUAAGUUUAUCAUUUUGAUAUUAGUGGAGCACUACACUAAAGGCAAGCCUAUAGUUCAUUGUGUGUGAUUUGUGAAUUCCUUGUAAGAGUGAGCGUAAUUUGACUCUUGUACCCAUUAUGAUAAAUUGCAUUAUUGUGAGUGAUAUACAUAGCUCUCUUGUUGUGAGGGGCACAUGUUUGAUGAAUGUGGGUGAUUUGUAUGAUGUCCUUGAUUGAAUGAUAAGCAUGAGUUUAUCAACUAGUUGAGUCAAAUCUUGAGGCUAGGAUGUUUCAGAGUAGUAUUCAUGAACUUUCAAUCGUGUUUGUAACAUGCUUAGUUUAAAAACUUGCAUUUCGUGUAGUCAUUGUAGUACUAGCUUGAAUGUCUUGUAUUUAGUAGAAGUGUAGAGUCUCCUCAACUUAUGAUGCUUAGAAUAAAGAGUUGUUUGAGGACGAAUAAGGUUUUAAGUGCGGGGUGGUGAUGUUGGGUGUAUUUAUGCAUUCUACUGUUAAUAUUCUAGCUUAUUUACCCUUGUUUAAGAAUAAUUCAUGUGCUUUAUGUGUUAAUAUGAUAUAAAUAAGCAUGUAAGUGUCCAAGAACAUAUUUACAAUGUUCAACGUAUUUUUCAAACAAAUUUAAAAUUAAUUGAGUCAUUUAGAGUUCAACUCGAAAAACUAGUGUUACUAGCUUGAGCUAGUUGUGUAUCUAGUUGGUUUCAUUGGAUUCUAUUAUGUUUAAAAGGUUCCAAAUUGUUUUAAUGGUUUGCUUAUAUGUGGAACAACUUAUUUGUAGUGUGCAAAGUUCAAUUUGAUUAAGUUAAGUCGGAGCGAUAAGUUGAAGAUCAUGAAAAUUAACCUUAUUUUAGCUCUUGUUUAGAUUCACUAGUAUACCUUCCCGCGCGACGCCCGGACAAUAUUAAAGAAAAUUAAUUAUAUUUUUCUAAUUUAAUUUAUUUGAUAUAAUUUUUUUCAUCAAAUUGACGUAUAUAAAAUCAAUAAAUUUGUGAAGUAUGAAAUAUGACUAUCAAUAUUAUUGAAUUCAACAUUAUCAAUGAUAUGUACAUUAAUAUAAUAUUAAAAGUUUAAUAGACACUUAUGAAUCGUUUGAUACAUUGGAUGGAAUAACUAAGUAUAUCCCAUGCGGUGGGUUAUCUCAUGGGAUUAUUUUAUCUCUUAUCCCCAUUGGAUAGUAAUCUCAAUAUUUUAGUAUAAAUGGUGGGACAAAAUAGUUUCAGAAUUAAAUAAUACUUAUACCAAACAUGGGAUGAAUAUAAUCUCAAAAUUUAUCCCAAAAUUAUUCUUCUUAUUUCUUCUAUCAAACGACCCUUUAGGAUCAUAUCACAGUUGCAAUUACUUUAGGGCUUUUAGUACACUUAAUCUCAAACUAUAAAUUCUAUUACGCAAAAGUUUAUGCAGACUCUCUCUAUGCAUGGACCCUCAAUCCCCAAAUCAUGCUAAACUUAACAAUCUAAAACUUCACUGAGUAAUUCUAUAGUUUAAUAUUAAGAUGUAAAGUAAUAAAUCUAUUUAAUCUUUAUAGAUGACAGAAACUAAUAUACAUUAGCACUUCCUACUUCCUACUUCCUACUUCAAAUACAUCAAUGAAUAAAUCCAAAAUAUUUAGGACAUUAAUAGGCUAAAGUAAAAAUAAAAUAUAUUUAUGAUCAACACCAAAUUCAAAUAGUUCUAUAUAAUAAUCAAAAUAAUAAGUCACUAAGAAUUAGAAUUCUCAUAUUAUUCCAAAUAAAAUAGUAAUUGUGUUUUGUGAAUAUUAACUCCCACAAUGAACUGAAGGCGCUAAACAAGAAAAGUAAAUAUAGAUAUGAGUACAAAUAAUAGAGACAAUCAAAAAGAUCGAGAUGAUUAUUCAAAUAGAAAGUCAUAUUUCAAUUCAAAAGAUUGAGUCUAAGUUAAGCGGGAUUAAAAUAAUUUUGAAUUUAGUGUUGAAAAUAAUGAUUGAUCAAUAUUUUUACUGACUUUUGAAAGUUGGGUUAUUACAAUAUGUUAGAUUAGGAGUCAAAUUUAAAUAUUAAACACAAAUAUAGUUUAAUUUAGAGUAUACAUUUUGUAUACAAAUAUCUUAGAGUGUAUUGUAUCUUGUUUAGGCGCUAUUGAUUAUCCUAUCAAAUUAAAUUUAUAUUCUAAGUCAAAGAUUAUUUACACAUCGGACUUUAGUUUAGCAAAUCUUUCACAUAUAUAAAUUAGAACAUAUACUGUAUAUGUAGUUAUUUCAAACUGAAAUUUCUCUUUUAUUUUUAAUAAGCAAUUUUGAGUUUUGAUUUUAAAUUCGUUUAUUUCUUUAUAUAUGUUUAUGUACCGGUAUAACUAUAUAAUGAAAAAGAAAGACAAAAUUUAAUAUGUUAUAGGAGCUUUUAUGUAUUUUUGUGGUGUCUGAAUAACAUUAGACGUGUCUUUAAACACUUAUUUUUAAGAUGAAUAAUAAAAAUAAGUCAAAUUUAUAAAUUAAAAUCUUAAAUUAUAACUUUUGACUUAUAAAACAUUAGCUAUAAACAGGAGCAAUUCUAUACCUUUCAUCGGCUUAUGCCUUCAAAUUUGAGGGGCUCAUUUUCUUAGGACUAAUAGAAUUAUUAUAUGACUUAUUAAAAAGAAUAUUUUUUACUAUUUAUUGUAAUUUGUUUACCUUUUUUCUUUUUCGGCUUGUUUCAAAAGAAUUUUUUUUUUCUUGGCCAACUUUUUAAUAUUAUUUUUUCACAUGACAUUUGUAGCAUCAUAAAUUAUAAAUAUUUUGAUGUAUUCUAUAUAUUUUUAGUUUAAGACUGAAAGAUUCAAUAGACUUCUUUAUUUUUUUAAACUUCAAACUCCAUGUCAAGUCAAAUUGACAAAUAAAUUGAAAUUAAAAAAGUAUUAUUAGUAGAAAAAAUAAAAAAAAUGCAUACAAAAAAAAUAGAACUUUGCAUCUCAAAAAAUACAUAUUUAACAACUUUGCAUUUUAAAAAAUUAGAAAAAUAAACUUUGAAGUAAAAAAAUAUUAAUUUUUUUAAAAAAGAUUAAGGUCUUCAAUUCAUUUUUUCAAGCCACCAAUAGGCUUGAGCCGCCCCCAAUUAUAAAUCUAGUCAAAUGGGCUCUAAUUAAAUAAAAUUACUUAUCUUCAAAAAAAAAAUCAGAAGGAAACAAAAAAAUCAACAACCGUGCUCCAAGUGUAAUUCAUUUUGAAAUACUAUAAUUGCUUAUAUGGUUACCUACAACAUAAACAAUAACACAGAGAAAAUAUAAAUUAAGAUGACAAUUUAAGGUAUUUAUUUAUGUAUUUAAAGUAUGUAUUUAAACAAUAUAUACAAAAUUCAAAUUUAAAUUCAAAAUAAAAGAAGCCAAUUUUCACGUACAAUUCAAAAAGAAACACCGUAUUCUACAACCGCAUCAUUAGCAACAUUAACCACGUUGAUUAUUAAACUAACUUUAUUAUAUUAUUUAUUUAUCUUGUCUUAGUUUAAAUAUAAAUAAAUAUGUUAUUAUUUUAAUAGAAAAUCCUUUCCCAGUGACAUCUACUUUAAUAAAGGUAAAGUUACACAAAUAAUUAUAUUUACAUUUUGAAAAUUUUUAAUCAUUAAAAUAAUUAAUUUUACUAUUUCAUUCAAUAUUUCUUAAAUUUAAAUUAAGAUUUUUAAAUUUUUUUAAAUAAUCUUUCACGUUUUUGUGAGAUUUUGCAAGUCAAAUUUAAAUUUAAAAUUGAGAAACGGACCAAAAGAUCAUAGGCAUGUUGAUGAAAAAAUUACAAUAUUAUACAUGCGAAUAAGAGCGCGUGAUAAAAGAGAAUAAAAAUAUUUUAAUAUUUGACAGUCCCGUUAGCACAAAAGAGCACAUAAAUAAAAAAGUAAGUUUAGCGGUAAUAGAUUGUCAAAAAACGUAAUAUGCAUUUUAAUUAAAGUAAAAUUAUAAGGACAUAACUAUGAAAAGGACUAACAUAGUUACAGGUACACUCAAGAAGAAGCUAACAGCAAAAGCCAACUUACACUAUAGCAUAUUUCUUUCCAUAUAGCAAUUGUUGAUGAAGCUUUACCCUUAGCCCUUGUAGCAACCUCCCGUGUUCUUUGUCCUGACUAUUUUCAUUCGAAUAAUGAAAGACAACUUAUAAAAAGCACAUUGUGUAGUAUUUAUAGCAGGAAAAAAUGAGCUCAAAACUAUGAUAUAUGUAUGAAAUACUUUAGCACACAUUAAAUUCAUUAUAAUUGAGGGUUAAGUGUAAAUAAUUCAUCAAGAAAGCAAUAGCAGCUCAACAACUAUUGCAAAAAGAAAAUGUGAAAAGGAACAAUUUGUCAAUAUUCCUUCAUAAGAGUACUUUGCCACGGAUUCUUAGCAAAAACUACUCAAAUAAUUAUUCAAAGGUUAAUAUAUUUCAUAUCAAGUCUAUAAUCAUAUUUGUACUCGUAGUUUAGAAUUUCAUAAUUUAUUCUCUUUAAUUUAACUUAUUAAACUCAUAUCUAAUUAAAGGGAUGUAAUCCAAUGCAACACCAAAUCAUAAAAUUCAUCUAACCUCAAAAAGUUUCAAUCAAAGUAGAGGAGCAUAUGUCAAAACUUGUACUAUAAGAAUCAACAGUAAAUUCGAUCAUUUUAAUGACAAAAUAAGCACUAAAUUACACACAUUUAGAGAAAUAAUUAAGAUGUAGUUAACACAUUAUGAGUAAUGAUAACUUCUGGUUAACACCUUUGAGUAAAAUUUUGUGCUUUCAAUAAAAUUUUAGGUCGAUAUAUUUAUUAAGAUGUACUCAUUCAUGAUGAUACCAUAACAAAAAAAUAAUCAAUAAAUGAAACUUUUCAAAAACACUUUAUCCCAGAUGAUAAAAUUUUACAUUUGAAAAAAUAAAAUAUUUAAUUAAAUAGUCAAAUCAAAUUUCAAGUCGAUAUAUGAAAAGAUUAAAUAUCUGAGAAUCAUAACAAAACAAAACAAAUAAAUUGAAACCCAGAUGAUAAAAUUUGUUCAUUAUUAUAACUUUUAUAUUUUUAAGUGCAAAAGUUCAUAUUUUGAGAGAAAAAGAUAAUAGACACCUUUCGGGUUGAUUGAAGGAGAAGAUGCUAUCAAAUAAUUUCAUGUUUAUUUAAGAGUUGGAGACAUUUAAACUCCAAAUCUAAAUUAACUACGUUGUCAAAUGAAGUUUGCAAAGAGAUUCCUUUCUUGCAAAUAUGAAUAAUUGACUGAUGUUCAAGAAGACGAAUAUGCUAAAUUAAACGAUUUAAUUAUGAUGACAGGUAUGUAUGAUUUCCAAAUUUUAAAUUUUGAAUUUUGAAAUGACUUUUUUUUUUUUGAAUUUUAUGUUUCAAAAUAAUUUGUGUGUUGAAAUUUUUGGCGAAAUUUAUGUUAUAAGUUUAUAUUGAAAUUUUUUAAUGCAAAUGUUAUUGUGAAACACUGAAAGUAAAUUGACAAAUAACGUGACGUGGGGAGGUGGGAGGGUGCAUGAAGCAGAGUUAGUGUAAUGGGGCAGUUUAGUUAUUUUUUCUUUUUACAAAAAAAAAAACUUGAAUUUCAAAUGUAGGUAUUUGAAGGUUUUAGAAAUUCUUAUUUCAAUGUUUUUAUAAAUCAAAUAUCAAUUUAUUUUAUUUAAUCAGUUUUAUUUAAAAAUACGUUUAUCUUAGUUCAAUUUCAAACGGACAGAUAAACUCAUCUAAAUAUUUUCAUUUCAAAGUUAAUUUAUGUUAUAGAAAGUAAUAUAUAAUCUGAAUUGCUUUCAUAAACAUUACAUUUAUAGUUUUGAAUUUGAAUUUAAAAAUUCAUAUUAAAAACUUUAUAUUAAAACAUUUGCAUUUGUAUUUAAAAUAGGACAUUUGUUAUUUAGUAUAUAUAUAUAUAUAGAGAGAGAGAGACAUCAGUACAUAAAUAAUAUGCACUGGUAUGAAAGCAGACAGAAUAACAAUUGGACAAAUACGGAAGCUCAUAUGAGUCAAAUAAUAAAGUGAAAAAGUAUGAGCCAACAAAUAACACCUAUACGACAUGAAAUGAUAACCUAUGCACCAACCUUAUCAGCAUCAUAUAUAAUAUUUAUAAAAGCGUUCAUCAUAACAUAGGACCUAUACUUUGCCUAGGUGAUGCACUUAUCCAAUAAGUGGUAUAAAUGAUAACAAGAUGGCAUUUCGAAGGCAAUCUGAGGCAAGUAUAAAGCAUAUGUUGCUCAUCUACCCACUGCUAUGAUCCCAUAUGUGUAACGGUAAUCGCAGUUUGUAUCCAGGUAUGCCCCGCCCAGGGGCUCACUAUGAGGGUCUGCCCGCAGGCCAUAUAUGCCAUAUGUUGGCUCGAGUCAGGGAAAACCAGUACAUGACAUUUCAACUGACUUCAAAUACAAAUGGUGCCACAAAAGCGGGUACGCCCAAUGGUUGGGCUCGCUAUAGUGGUCUGGUCUCGAUCCUGUGCACAGAAUCACGUCGAGCGAUAUGCCAAGCCAAACCUAUGUAUCCUCCCGUCGUUAAUGUUUAUUAAAUAAUGCCUUGAAGGCCUAUGACAUAUGAGUUACGAUAAUGAUCUAGAUAGCAUAUACAAAUGCAACUAUGCCAUUACUAUUUACUUUUACUCCUAACGUGUGGUAUCCACAUAUGUAUUGUGGCCUAAAGGCUUCAAGUAUAGAAACUUAUGAUAAUAUAAAAGUAUCAUGGAAAUUUAACAUAAAGAGGGAAAGAUAGAUACUUAUAAGCUUGAUGGUAGAACAAGGGAAUGAUAUGGAAGGCAAUAUAGAGAUUCCACUUUCGUUUUUCAUGAGAAUUAUACUAACAUCAAAUGGGAAGGAGCACAUGACAUAGGGUGGUGACUUAUCGGCGAGGGAAGGUUUAACUUUACAUACCUUAGUGCUUUAUUAACUACGAUAAUAUCUCGAGCCUCAAGUUUCAACCCGAGAAAGUGUAGCCUUUACCUUUCCAACCACUAGUUCCGGCUAGCCGCUACGCGAUUCACUAACUACAAGGAUAACAUAUAUGUCCAUUAGUAACCCAUAAAUGCCUUUAACAAUUUAUUCCAUUAAUCUUCGAUUAUGCCCGAAAUUACUCAAAUUUCUUAGCAAGAAUCCAACAUAAAUUCUAUUUUUUCAACUUAUACAAGUCAACGUUAAAUCUACUCGAUUGAUAGGAAUCCUAAAACUCCUCUUUCAUCGAAAUUCUCCAUUUUCCCCCUUUGUUUUGAAACCCAAUUGAGCAAACCCACUUUAAGAACUAGUACCAAGAUUCAAAUUAAUUAUCUCUAAAUAUGCAUUCAUAAUUACAUUCAAUAACGGAAUAGAGAAUUUACCUUUUGAGAUUCAAUCCCAACUCCAAAUUUUACAAAUCAACUUCUCGAACUUCUUUAACAUAUAUGUAAGGACAAGGGUAUCCUUUCUCCGGCUAUAAUCAUCUUCUUAAUCUCUUUAAAUUGCUUAGACUAAUUUCCCCAGUUGUUACGAAUAGAAAAGGAACAAAGAAAGAGGGAAAGANNNNNNNNNNNNNNNNNNNNNNNNNNNNNNNNNNNNNNNNNNNNNNNNNNNNNNNNNNNNNNNNNNNNNNNNNNNNNNNNNNNNNNNNNNNNNNNNNNNNNNCCCCCCGGUGUUUUGCUUAAUAGCACUAGUUUAGAAAAAUUAUUAAAAAGGGUGGCCCCCACAUACUCCAAACAUUAACAAAUAUAAAUAAAUAUAGAAGAAGAAGAUAUACGAAAGCAUCACUAACGCUACUCUUCAUAAAUCCACUGUUAUACUAGUAUAUGGUAUUAAAUUUAAAUUCAAUUUUUUUUAGGUGCCAUAAUCAUAUUUGAUUGUUUGGUUAUUCUUGUUUUAAUUAUUUUAUGGAUUGAUCAUCCGUAAAAUACAUAUAUUGUCGAUCUUUUGAUCUCGGGAGAGGGAAUAGGGAUAUAGAACGUGGGAAUAAACAAAGUAGAGUUGGUAUUCUUUUAUAAUAUAAGGAAUUCAAAUUAGUGUCUAGGACAAGGAUGUACUUAGAUGCCUUACUUGAUUCAAACGUAGGAUGAUAGCUUAAAAAUGCUUAAUUGAAUUAUUACAUCCCGCUCAACGAUGUAGUUGUAAUGUCCAAAUUAGGUAAAAGAUUAGAGGUCGGGAGACCAUGAUCAUGCAAUUAACCCUAUGAAUCAACAACCAAGAUAAGCAAGUUAAUGAAUGAAAUUCAAUAACAUAGUAUGAUUGUUCGAAGUGCUUUAACCCUGGGCUUUACUCCAUUGAUUAUUCCAAGACUUUUAAAUUUUGCAUCGUUUACUUUUCUUUAAUUUACAAAUUACAAACUCUUUUUGGUACUCUUGCACUAAAUUAAUCUAAACUGUGAACUAGAAUUGAAUUGUUGUUGAAACAAGUCCUUGUGGAAUCGAUAACUCGGCUUUCUUGAAGGCCACUUUACUACUUGAUAAGACCACGACCACUUGCAUGUGCGCUUGGGCGUUGUCAUGUUACUGAGUCCUGCUGUGUAUGUUGUGUACUAUGUGGAUGCUUGACGAAGUUAAAGACAUGUAUGGGUUUCUCAUCAUAAAAAAGGGGAAAAUUGUGAAGUCCUUAGUUUUGAUAAUUAAUAAAUUUUAUGUUGGGGACCUAUUUCCUGAAGAUUGUGUGAUGACAAAGCUGCUACUACUUGGAAAAUAGGUUAGACUUACCUGUCACUAUCAGAUUCAACCUCAUAGCUGGACGCAAGUACAAAAGGUGGUGAAAAGAUGUUGCCACCUUUUUGUUUCAACCAAUGACAUUCCUCCUAGGUUUUCUUAUGUCAUACAUAUAUUGCUCAUCUUCUCCAACAAGAAAACCAAGAUUUAAUAUACUUACAACAUAUAUCUCUCUCAAAGCUCUUGGAUCAAAGACUCAUUUUGUAAAAGGGAACUGAUAACUCAUCAAGUUGUAAUUUACUUUCUUGUUAUAUUUGAGUCUUUGUAUUGUGAUUUUAAAUGUUGCCUACCAUUGUUUGUUUGAUUAUUAGUAGGUGUUGUGGUGUAACCCUCAUUUCUUUGUAAUCAUCUAGAGUUAGGUGAUUCUGAAGCUAGAGUUAGCUUGUCUUUCCAGUUAGAGUUAGCUAGUGUGUGGGUGCAGUAGAGUUGCUGUGCAUCUUCCUUGUAAUAGAGUUAUUACUAAGAGAACAAGAUUUGGAGUAUUUAAGUUUCUUGAAUAUAGUGGAGCUUAGAAAUCCUCGAGACAGGUCGUGAUUUUUCUCCCUUGUGCAAGGAAUUUCCAGAUAAAUUUCUGCGUCUGCUAUUUACUUUCUCCAUGCCCUUUAUUAUUAACUUUGUCCUAGUUCUUGCUGUUUGAGUCUGUCUAGGAAUAGGUAACAAUUCUUCUGGUAUUGGACUUGUCAUUACUGUGAUGGAAAUGCUUUCAGCAGCAAUUAUGGAGUGCUACAGGAUUAAGUACGCUAAAGAAGACUACACACACUGCGAAGGCUCAAGCUCUCUAAGCAUCUUAUGGCAGGUUCCUCAAGACUCUCUGGUAGGAGCAUCGGAAGUGUUCAUGUACGUAGGUCAGCUAGAAUUUUUCAAUGAAGAAGCACCGGAUCGUCUCAAAAGCUUCGGAAGUGCACUAUGCAUGACAUCGAUAUCACUUGAAAACUAUGUGAGCAGCUUAAUCGUGAGUGUAGUGAUGAAAAUUUCUACAACCGAUAACAUGUUCUGAUGGAUCUCGAAAAAUCUCAACGAGGGCCACCUAGACAGGUUUUACUUUUUGUUAGCUAGUUUGACAAUCUUAGAUUUAGUUUCUUAUAUAGCAUAGCAUGCACUAAGUGGUACAAGAGUAUAAAGCAUGGUGAAAUGAUUCAAGAAAUCAAGAAAGACAAAUAUGAAGUCUAAUGUAUCUUACAGUUUUGUCAUACUUUGUAAGGCAUAUUUGCCGGAACAAAUAAAUAAGAGGAAGAACUUUCUUUAUUAUUAGUGUUAUUAUCUGAUUGUUUUGCCACCUAUUCUUUCUUGUUAUUCUAUUACUCCUAUGUCAUUUUAGAUUGUUUUUCUCUUAAGCCAAGAAUCUAUCGGGAACAACCUCUCUAACUUCAUCCAAUGGUAGUGGUACGAACUGUGUGCACUUUACUCUUUUCAAACCCCACUAUAUAAGUACAUAUGGAAUAUGUCAGAUAAGUUUAAGUUGAUUGAGAAAUGACUUCAUAUCACAAACUCACAUUUAACGAAAAAAAAUUAUGCUAAUUGAGAGAUUCAUGAUAUAAAGUUCAUGGUGUUGACAACCAAUUUUGAUCCUCCUCAUUUUCAGUUAAUUGAUCAAGCCCGUUAAAACGAAGGAAAAAGGGUCAAAUUUACCCUCUACUUUAAAAAAUUAAUUAAAUAUAUCUUUAUUAUACUUUGCGGUCAAAUUUACCCUUGUUUUCAUACUUUGAGGGUAAAUUUACUCUUCUACUUUGAAAAAUUGACUAAAUAUACCUUUCGUCAUACUUAAGGUCAAAUUUACCUCCGAUAUCAUACUUUGGGCCAUAUUUAUCCAUGUUGUUAAGAAACUUUUUACAUGUACUCUUCGUUUGACAGAAAAGAUAAAAUCAGCAUUAAAUGACUCAUUUUUAAAAAAUAAAACACAUUCUAAUCUAACCCGCCCAAUUCGAACCACAAAAAUACACAAAUAAACUUACCCCUCCCUCAGUCUUCUUUCAACACUUAGCAAUAGUAAGUUGUUUACCAAUGAACAAAAAGUAAUAUUGAAUAGGAUUAAAGGCGUGCAUCGGUCGGUUCAGUUCGAUUUUAUGUAAUAUCGGUUUGGCUUAUAGAUUUUCGAUUUUUAAAUAUGUUAAACCAAUAAUAAAUUAAUAAAAUAUUUUUAUCGCUUUUCAGUUUAUUGAUUUUUGAUCUUUAACGAUUCAUUUUUCGAUUUAAUCGAUAAAAAAAUGCCCAUAAAAUAAAUAUCAAUUUGAUGCAAUAAUUUUCAAUGUCAUGUAAUAUUGGCAACUAAUGUGACAUCAAUAAAAAAUGCUCACAAAAUAAAAACAAUAGCAGCUAACAUGACAUAUGCCUUGCAGCCCUAAAUUUCACAAAAUAAGAAGUCUACCAUCCUGUCCACAAACUAUGCAAUUGUCGUCGUUGCAAGCCCCGUCAUCGGUUUAUCAGAGAGAAAAUUGAAAAUAUUUAAGUUUAUCAGGUUAUAAUUUUUCAAAAGAUUGAAUAGGUUUGUAGAAAUCAAUAACAUUUUUAUUGAUUCGAUUUAAUUUUUGCUCACCUCUAAAUGGGAUAAUGCAGAAACAUGAAACUAGAGAAAAUAUCUAUUAAAAGCUCUGCUCUUAUUCAAGUUAUGUUUAAAUUUCAAAACUUGAUAUACAAUUGUAUGUGCAUCUAGAUUCCAGAAUCAGUUGAUACUUUAUCUGAGCAAAUGAAAUUUGUGUAGAUCCAAAUUGUAUGUAAGGACAUAAGAAUGAAGAAAUAUCACGAUUGACACAUAAAGAGACUUCUUAACUCAAUCAUCCAGAUAAAUAUCCACAUUGAUGCAAUUUAAUUUUGAUUGCUAAAUGUUAUUUUUCAUGAGCUCUGCAUUGACGCAGAUCCAUAAACUGAGGGAGGGUAUGGCUCAAGCUGGGUCGGACAGAUGAGAUUAAAGUGUGUUUUAUUUUUAAAAAAUGGGGUAUUUAAUAUUGAUUUGAGUUUUUCUAUUAAAGAAAGGGCACAUGUGAAAAUUUUUAUAAUAAUGAAGGUAAAUUUAAUUACAAAGUAUGACAUCGAAGAUAAAUUUAACCUUAAAAUAUGACAAAUGGUAUAUUUGCCAAUUUUUUUAAAAUAAAGGAGUAAUUUGACAUCAAAGUAUAAUAAUAAAGAUAUAUUUAUUUUCAAAAUAGGACGAAUAAUAUAUUUAAUCAAUCUUUUAAAGUAGAGGUAAAUUUUACCCUUUUCCCGCCAAAAAAAAAAAGCACAUACCUAAAAAAGAACAUAGACCUAUUUUAAAGUCAAGUUUGAUCCGAUUCCCAAUUCUCCAAAUCAGACCCCUUUUUAUUUUACUUAUUACCCCGCUCCUUCCAACCGUUCAUAAUUUUUAGUAGCCGUUUGGCCAUAAAAAUUAUUUUUUUUCCAAAGUUAAAGUUGGAGUUGAAGAUAAAGUCGAAGUUGGAGUUGUGUUUGGCCAUGCCUUUUUGAAUUUUUUUUUUAGAUUUUUGAAAAAACUUUUUUAAAUAUGAUUUUAUGCCUUCAACUUUUAAAAAUUAUCAAAAUCACUCAACUACUAAUUUACCUGCUAACAUACAACCAAAUGUUAAGAAAAAUAAUUUAUAUGUCUUAUAUUUUUAAUUGAUAAAAUAAUUAAUAACAAACUAAUUAUUAUGAUUGUUAUUCUUCUAAAAUUUGAAUAAAAAUAUCACAAGCACAAACUAAAUAAAUUUAUCUAACCAUAAUCGAUUGAAUAGAGUAAAUAUAUUUUGAUAAAUAUGAUCGAUGGCUAUAAAUAUAUUUUAUAUAUUCUUAAAUUUGUUGAUGAAAAUUUUUAAUUACUUUCACUUGAAUUAAUUAUUUUAUUGAAUUUGAUCUUUUUAAAAAAAAUUUAUGGAUGAAAUAUUUCUGAAUAGAUUAGUACUAAUUUUUUGCUUUUUCUUUAUUGAUGAUAUUGAUUUUCCUUGAUUUUUUAUUUUUUUUGGUAAAGAGAACAAACUUUUGUUAAGCUAAUUACCACACUCGUCUCUGUUGAAAAUUCAUAAAACCAAAAUAAGGUAAUCGUCAAUAUGGAUCAUUACGUUCUGUUUGAUAGGGGACUUUAUUGACCACUUUUUAAUAAUUUAUUAAAAUCAUCAUAGUCGUUAUAUGACAUAUAUGGAAAAUUAGAAUGACAAGAAAAAAAUAUUAAAUUUCUCAUUUUAAAAUAACAUAAUGUACUAGGCCUUAUAUUUCUAUAAUAUAGUUCAUUCAAAAUAAAGUUGAUAUAUUUUCGCCAUAAAUUGUCAUUUAUUAUUUUUUACUUCACGUUAGUAAAUUUUGGUUAAAAGUAGAAAAAAAGACUAAAAUAUAUGUAACAAUUAAAAAUGAUGUUGUACCAUAGAAAAUAAAUAAUAAUUUUUUUUCUUGGUGGUUGAUUGUAGUUAAUAAGAGGAGUUUGUGUAAAAAUUUAAAGAUUAGAGUUAUAUGUAGUAAUAAUAAUGGAAGUUGAAAUUGGAAGUGGAAAAAAGGAAAAACAACAAAAAGUUGUUUUCACUUUUUGAAAUUUAAUUCCAGAAUUAUUUUUUGAAUUUUCAUGGUCAAACAACAUAAUUUUCAACUCUGGAAAAAACUUUCGGACAAAAAAUUCAUGGCCAAACAGGCCCUAAAAAUAAAAAUAAAAUUUAAAGUCUUGAGUACAAUAUAUCAGAAAAGAAUUCAAUAUUUAAAUUUUAUGGGUUCAAUCAUAAAAUUUAUCAGCGUUGAAUUUCUAAUUUUUAAACCUAUAUGAGUUUAUUUCUAUCAUUUCUUAAAAUUUUAGUAACCUUUUAUAUAUAAAUUUAUAUUGUGCAUCGAAACUUAUAGGUUCAACUGAAUCUGUACCUACAUGCUUUACCAGAUACGUCUGUGACAUAACUUCAUUAUAAAUAUUGUUUUAGUAAUAUAAUUUUGAGAAAAUAGCCAAAUACCCCUCCCCCUCCAUCCGUCUUUACACAAAAUUUCAACUAAACAGAUAUAAAUAUAUUUUAUAUAUUCUUAAAUUUAUUGAUGAAAAUUCUUAAUUACUUUUACUUGAAUUAAUUAUUUUAUUGAAUUUGAUCUUUUUUAAAAAAAUUAUGGAUGAAAUAUUUCUGAAUAGAUUAGUACUAAUUUUUUGCUUUUUCUUUAUUGAUGAUAUUGAUUUUCCUUGAUUUUUUUAUUUUUUUUGGUAAAGAGAACAAACUUUUGUUAAGCUAAUUACCACACUCGUCUCUGUUGAAAAUUCAUAAAACCAAAAUAAGGUAAUCGUCAAUAUGGAUCAUUACGUUCUGUUUGAUAGGGGACUUUAUUGACCACUUUUUAAUAAUUUAUUAAAAUCAUCAUAGUCGUUAUAUGACAUAUAUGGAAAAUUAGAAUGACAAGAAAAAAAUAUUAAAUUUCUCAUUUUAAAAUAACAUAAUGUACUAGGCCUUAUAUUUCUAUAAUAUAGUUCAUUCAAAAUAAAGUUGAUAUAUUUUCGCCAUAAAUUGUCAUUUAUUAUUUUUACUUCACGUUAGUAAAUUUUGGUUACAAUAAGAAAAAAAGAUUAGAAUAUCUGUAACAAUUAAAAAUGAUGUUGUAUCAUAGAAAACAAAUAAUAUUUUUUUUUUGGUGGUUGGUUGCAGUUAUAAGAGGGGUUUGUGUAAAAAUUUAAAGAUUGGGGUUAUAUGUAAUAAUAAUGAAAGUUGGAAAUGGAAGUGGAAAAUUGUGAAAACAAUCCAACUCCAAAAUAAUUUUUCGAAUUUUCAUGACCAAACACCACAAUUUUCGAAAAAAUGAAAAAGUGAAAAAAAAUCCGAAAAAAGGGAAAAAUUCUUAUGGCCAAACAGUCUCUUCUAAAUUUCAAAUUCAAAUAAAAGGCUUUUCCAUAUUCUUGUAUCAUUUCAAUUAAUUGCAUGUAUUGUAUUGUUACUCGGAUAACUGCAAGUUAGCGGAUACUCUUGGUGCCUAAAUAAUUUUUUCAAAAAUAUUAAUAGGAACCACUUACUAGAAAUUUCUAAACUUAAAAGGUUUUUUUUAUUUCGAAUCUUGUAAGUAAUAUUUUUAGUUUUUCUUGAUAUUUUUUCAAAAAUCAAGUAGCGACUCUGAAAUUUCUUAAACUAUUUCAAACUUUUCUUUAAGGUUUGAAAUAGUUUAAAAAGUUAAAAAAUAAUGUUUUCCAACCCUUCGAAUCAAAAAUGGGCAAAACAAAUAUACAAAGUAUUUUAUGAAAAAAUUGUGUUUGAAAAAAAUGUAGUGUCCACCUUAGAUGUCACAUCAUUAGACACAUUUGGAGUUAGACAAAGAUGCUUGCUUAUUUUGUCAUUUUGAUCAUAUAGCUAACUUAUGAAGUUAUAUCAUACAAAAUAAAUAUUCUAUUUGUUUUUAUGAAAUGAUAAUUUUGCCCUUGAUUGUCCUACAACUCACUCUUCUAUAAUAUAUUAAAAUUUCACUAUGUUAAUUUCAGAUUGCACUUGUAAAGUUACACCCUCAUUGAUCAUCAUCAUCAACAACAACAUAUCUAGUAUAUUUUCACCAAAUGAGGUCUGGAGAGGGUAAGCAUACGCAGUUCAUACCACUACCUUAAAUGUGAGAUAGAGAGACUGUUUUUGAUAGACCCGCGACUCAAAGUAAAGCAAUAUAAGAUAAGAUAAGGAACAAUAAUGGAAUAAGAUACACUAGAAAUUAACAUAUUCAAUAAUACCAGAAGCAAGAUACCCCAAGUACACGCUAAAACAUACAGCAUCCUAACUCAGCCUAACCUUCUACUCUAAUUCGCCUCCUCCACAACUUCCUAUCCAGGAUCAUGUCUUCGAUAAGUUAAAACUUGCUUCAUGUAUGGGCGAACCCACUUGCUUUUUUUGGGUGCUUUGGCACCCAUUAAACUCGGCGUAGAAUAAGUAUAAUUACAUAAGAAACAGUGAAAAAAUGAUAUAAUAUAUAAAAAAGCACCCAGAGAACAAAAACAUGACUGGGUGCUCUGGCUUUAGAUGUAACUUUCUUGUCUCCUAUCUUGGGUUCGAAUCCCUGCACCCUUUAUCUCACUUGAAACCAUCCGUAACCAACCUCUCACCCUCGCACUAGGGCAUUUGUGCUCCUCCUCACCACAUGAUCAAAACCAUCUCAACCUCAAAGCAUUCUCAUCUCCGUCACUUUAAUCUUUUAAAUAUGGACCUUUUUAACAGGCCAAUACUUCGCCUCAUACAACAAAAUCGAUCUAACCAUCACUCUGUAUAACUUUGGCUUUUAAUUAUAUCUUUCCUAAUACACCCACAUAUACACUGAAGCAUUCUCAUCUCCGCCACUUUAAUCUUCUGAAUAUAAACCUUUUUAACAUGCCUACACUCCACCUCAUACAAUAAAAUGAUAUAACCAUCACUGUGGCCUUUUUAAGUUUGAGAGGUACCUUUUUCUCACACCAUCUGAUUUUAUUUCUUUGUUGCUUUUCAUAAUCAUCAGACUGAUCUUUUCAUAGAAUCAUAGUAAUAUUGGUUUACUAGUUUCUAUGACAUGAAAAGUUUCUGCUUUUCAUUCCGUUUGUUAACUUUUCAAGAUUCUGUACAAUUUCCAUUGAAUGCUUCUCUGUAUUUUUUUCAUUUAUAUAUCUAAUGGGUAACACCAAAAAACCUAUUUUUUCUCUACACUAAAGUUGCAUCAUGAAAAUUCCUCCAAGAAAACCUCAUUUUUUUAAGCCUAUUUUGCCAGGGUUCAAGAAUGGAAUUGUAAGUAUGGUAACACUUUUCAUGUUUUUUGUUUUCCUUUAGUUUGUAUGCUGUAUGUGUAAUGUAGACUUUGAAGGAUUCAGAUUUGAAGUUCUUGGUUGUUGGAAUUUACUAUUAUGAGUUCAAAAUGUAAUCUUUCUUGAAGUUUUUGUAAGUUUUUCACAUUACUGAAACUUGGAAGUUGGAAAGGGGUGGCCUGGUAGUAGUUCAUCAUUGAAAAGAGACAUGUAUACUAAAGAUCAAAAGCAUAAUCUGAGGGUGUGUUCAAUAUAAAAUGUAUUUAGAGGAAAAUAACUUGUUUCUUACUUAUUUUCUUUGUGUUCGGUACGCGAGUAAAAAUUAUUAUCCUAAAAUAAUUUGUAAAUAUGUAACACAGAAUAAUGAGAAUGGGUAGGGUAGAGUGAUGUGUGUUUUAGUGGGGGAGGGGAAGGUUGGGUGGGGUGGGGGGUUAGGGGUANNNNNNNNNNNNNNNNNNNNNNNNNNNNNNNNNNNNNNNNNNNNNNNNNNNNNNNNNNNNNNNNNNNNNGGGUGGGGUGGGGUUAGGGGUAGAGUGAUCUGUAUUGUGGUGGAGGAGGGGAAGGUUGGGGGUAGGUGGGGUGGUGGAUGUAGGUGGGCUUGUUGGGUGGGGGUAAGAAAAACUAAAAAAUGACUGGGGGUGAAUGAGGUGGAGCUGGGGAGGUGUGGUGGGGUGAGGGUUGUCCAAGUCCAUAUAAGGAGGUCAUUGACCAUCCCGUUUCUGAUGUGUGACUCUUAACAAUUUGGACUGAGACGUAGUUACUAUUGUGUACUCCGUAUAAUAUAUGUGUAGAACCUUUUGAAUCUUCUCUGUAUAAAAGAUCUAAUCUUUUUGGUGUACUGUCUUUUGAAUCCCAUUUUAGAAUUUCUGGCUAAUUAGAAAGGACGAUAUCAUAUUGGGACAAGGUUAUUCUGAUUAUACAUAUUGUUGUAUUGCAGAAUGUUCCUAUAGGUUUCUUGAAGUAUUUGAAGGGACAUGAACACAUUGAACAUGCACUACUAAAAAGGGGUGGCAAAGAGUGGCUGGUGAAAGUGAACGGCCGUCGAUUUGAAGAUGGCUGGAAAAAGUUCGCUAAGGAGCAUGGUUUGCAGUUAGGAGAUUUGUUGAUUUUUAGACAUGACGGAGACAUGAAGUUUGAGGUUAUCACCAUCUUUGAUUCAACUCAUUGUGAGAGAGAAUAUGCAGAGUAUUUGCGGCAAGAAGAAGGGAAAGAUGUAGAAGAAGAACACGAGGAAGAAGAGGACGGCGAAGAGGAAGAAGACGAGGAAGAAGAGCACGAAGAAGAAGCUCAUAUUGUUGAAGAGAUUUCCAAGGAUUUUGAAUUCAAAGGUGAAUUUACAUAAUCCUAUUUGUGAUCUAUUCCGGUUCUAAACUUCUUUUAUAAUACAAAAAACUAGAUAAGUGAUAAAUUCAUUUACUAUGAAGUAAAUUAAUAUGAAGGAAAGGAAGUUGAAAAAUACUUGGUACGUAUUGACAAGAAGUAAUGAGUUGUGCAAGAAGUAAUCAGCCAAAAAACUUUGGUGGAUAUUUAAAUGCUGCUACUUGUUUUGAGUGCAAUUUUUCAUAUUUAAUUUCUUGAAGAUACAAACAGUUACGCCUCAAUACCCAGAAAGUUGGUGUUGUCUAUAUUAGUCUUCAUCAUCGAUGUACCAUUUAGUCCCUUUAAGAAAUUCAAGUUACUGAUGAUGUAACAGAAAAACCGAGGCGCAGCAUCGAGUCGUCAGACUUUGGAUGAACUUUUAUCAAGCCCUUAAUAGUUAUAGUAAGUUACUGCUACUGUUACGUGUGUUAUUUACAAAUAUUUGUAUCAGAUGGAUCUUUUUUCCUUUGGUUUGGUUGUCUAAAGUGUGUACUACAGUCUACAUACCUAUACAUUUUUUGCUUAAUAGAAAAAGGAAAUUGUGGCGUAAAGUAAUAUCUCUAUAUGUAUUUCAUAUCAUUUUCUUUGAUCGACAUACUCUUCAUUUUAUCCUUUGCUACUUGUAAUUAUCAUUGAACUCCGAUCUUGCAUCCUCUCCCAUACUAUAUCUUUUUUGAAGUCCUAACAUAUACGGUUCCUCACUGAGUAGUCUUAUCUUUUGUGUGUGCUUCAUUUACAUUUACUUGGCCUUAGUCACUGCUCCUCCGAAUUUUAUAAGUCUAUGCAUGUUCUGUUAACAGAACCACAGCCACAAAAUGUUCUGCAACUGGUUGCCCCGGUUCCUCUUUAUUUGGCAUAGCAUUCUAUUUUGGAUUGUUACUUUUCCGUCUACUGCCAUGCCUUCGUUUCAUUUUUCUUUUGAGUGCCAUGAAGGAAGACUGUUUCUGAAAACAAUAAAACAACAACAUCAUACCUAGAACAGUUCCACAAGUGGGGUAUGGGUUUGGGGUGUUUGCAGAACUUACCCCACUGCAUUCGUGGGAUAGAAAGGCUGCUAAAAAAUAAUGUUUAUUUGCUUUUUUUUUUUUCAUUUAAAGAAUUACAGUUACUGUGAAAACCGAAUAUGGUUUCUUGGUAGAUCUCAAAACUCAUUAGUUUCACACGAGCGCUCCAAAGGUCUCCAUGAACUGAUUAGGUACUUCUCCUUGUUCUAAGUAGAGUUUCAUCUUCAUUACUGUUAUUUCAAAAAUCUUGAAGACAAACACUACGUAAUGCAUGAAGUGUAGCUUUAAUAUAAUAUGUGGCAGGAUCUAGAAAAGAAGGGCAUUCCUUGUCUUCAUUUUCCUUCAAGAUCCAAGUUGGAUUUUAUUGUCCAUAGAUGAAUCCAAAUUCAAAUCCAAGCACACUGCUCUAAUGAUUGUUGCUCAUGCGUCCCCGUAUUAUCAUGCAACAAUGUAUAAUUCAAAAUCAUAAGCAUGUACUUCCUCUGUAAACACUACCUAGUACUAGACAAUAUGAAAAUAGUACUCCCUUUGUCCUAUUUUAUGUGAUGGUAUUACUAUUUGAAAAGUUGAAUAGAUUCUUCUUUUGACUGUGUGUACGUAACCAAUGCAACAGGAAAACCAAAGCCCAAGAUCAAGACAUCAAGAACGGAUUUCUCCAAUGUAGAAGCUGCUAAGCACAUGAAUCUGAGUCACUCUCAUUUCAUUUGUACUAUUAGACCAUAUUGCCUUUCAGCACACUUUCUGGUAAGUUCACAAGUACAUUGUACUUUAACAAUUACGCUGCACAAAAACAAAGAACGAACACAAAAAAAGAUGAACUCAUUUCCUGCAUAAGUUUAUGAGAACAAUUAUUUCUUUUAUAAUUUGAAUGUCUAAAACAAAGAUGCAUAGUGAUUGCUUAUUUGGCUACUGUUUCAGUGUAUUCCAAAGAAAUUUGCACAAGAAAACAGACUCCAUGACAGGAAAUGUAUGAUGAUUAUGAGGGACGAGCAACAGACAUGGACGUUUAGUGUGUAUACAAAUGGCAAUAACACUUGCAUUGGAAGUGGAUGGCAUGAAUUCUGCAUUACGAAGUGCUUAAAGGAAGGAGAUUGCUUAAUGUUUGAGAUAGUUUCCAAUGGAGAAACACCGAUAUUCAGAUUUCAUGGCAAGUUUCACAUCAAAGCCCGUGUUUUAAAAUUUCAUCCUGUUUUCUACUGUUUAAGUGUAUCCUACUUUAAAUUAAUUAAGUGGGAUGACUUUAUGAUUUGCAAGGAUCCUAUCUAGUUAUUAACUUUUGCAGGUUCUCGAUUUGUACAGUCUGAAUUAUAAUUGGGAUAAUACCUAAACAUGCAUUUCAACUUGGCUUCAGUUGGCAUCAUGCCCUUGUACUUCGGUGUCCACAAGUAGGCACUUAAACUAUCAUAAAGUUGAACAAGUAGACACACACGUCCCACAUAUAAAUUAGCAUCCAUAUUACCUCUUGUUGCUUUGGAGAGUCACCUACCAUCUUUUUGUGUGUGCCUUCAUCUACUUACUUUGUCUUUGUCACUGCUCCUCUGAGUUCUUGAGUCUAUCCAUGUUUUGUUGAAUGACAUUGAUUGAUAUUCUUUUCGAUGUAGAUCUGCAUUUGCUUUUUCUUUAGCUUUAGGAUUCUGCCACUAUUAAUUGCUUCCAUUUUGUUGCCAUAUAUAUUCUGCUGUGAAUCUCAUUACUUUUGUCUUAUAUAUUUUUCAAAUUCUUAUGUUGUUCUACAAAUGCAUGCCCAAUUCCCGUGGUUGAAUUGAGGACAAAGUCUUACAUUCUAGAGACUUAUCAUUUUGAAGAGUGUAAAGGAAAUAUUUUUCUUAGAAGCAAUGUACAAGUAAAUAAUAUCGCACUACUUUUGUCUUUAGAAAAUCAAUGCUAGUGUGAGAAGCUUUUGAUUCUGGUAUAAAUCCCUUUGAGCUACUCUGGGUAGCUCUUCAAAUGUAUCUGGCUAUUAAUCAUUUCAUCGAGUAAUAUUAGAAAAGCUACUAGUUAUAUAUGGCCAACCUAAGUUGCUCGAAGAUCACUUUCGGGACCGCACUGGUGUCGACAUAGCGUGGGUGUGGGAUCCGUACCAGGUUUGAUAUACCAAUUUUGGGUACUUUGACCAAAAUUGACGGAGAAAUUCGGGACAAAUACAAUGAUUUAUGUAAUCAAAAUAAAAGCUAAGGUGGCAUUGAGAAACGGAAUCUCCUCAAUUUUCUCCCUGGAAUACCUUUUAAAUUUUUCACCUAAUGUCUCAUUAUUUAGACAUAUACUCUAUUUUUAGAUAUUAGAAUUAUUUUUAGCUAAAUCCCCAGAUCCGUGUCUAUACCCUUGGAUCUUAAAAUUUAGAUCAUGAAGGAUCCAACCUUUAGAUCUGCACCUGAGUCUGAGUAACUUGUUGCCCGGAUAACAGUUCCUUCUGUUAAAAUUGGUCUUGGGCCUAACUCACACCCCAAAAGCUAGCUCAUGAGCAGGAGAAUUGCCCAAGACUUAUAAAGAGACCACCCAUUUCAUUAACCACUAACGUGGAACUUUCUUUUCAAUCUUUUUAACACCCCACCUCACGCCCAGACCUCAAUCCUCAAUUGGGGCUCAGACCUCAACUGGGCGUGGACAAUCUCCCCGACAUCUCAAUUCGGGGGCCCAACAUUGGGUAAGAAUGGGCCCUGCUCUGAUACCAUGUUAAAAUUGGUCUCCUUAUAUGGUCUUGGGCAAUCCUUCCCGCAUGAGCUAGCUUUUGGGGUGUGAGUUAGGCCCAAGACCAAUUUUAACGUGGUAUCAGAGCCAGGCCCACCCAGUUCAUUAUUUCCGAUGUUGGGCCCCCCGUCUUAUAUUGUCCAUGCUCCAGAUGUCCAGCCCUGGGCGUGCGGGGUGUUGGAAUCCCACAUCGGUGGGUUAAAAUGUCCUUGGUCUCCUUAUAUAGUCUUGGGCAAUCCUCCCCUCACGAGCUAGCUUUUGGGGUGUGAGUUAGGCCCAAGAUCAAUUUUAACACCUUCGUACUUGAACUUAAUGUUUUUUAUUUUGGUUUUAAAUUCAUCUUCAGUUUCAGUUCUGACAUUGUUGUUUCAAUCAAUAAAACUAGAUUUGAGAGGAAGUCCAUCCCUCCAGGCUGAAGUAAAGAAGAAAAAUUUGGAUGCUGAAAGAAUGUCAGAUAAAGGUUUGGAGAAAAAACCUUUCUACUUGUUUCAAAUAUCCCGUGUUUUUUCGUUCCAUUUCUGAUUGUAAUGUUUCUUCUUUCUUCUUUUCUUGGUUACUCUAAAGCAAUAACAGAUGAUAGGCUUAAGACCUCAGACGUGACUACACCGAAAUCACAAGUAACUGCUUCAACAUCUGCUGAUGCCAACUCUCAUUUUAUAUCUACUAUUAAACCUUACACCCUCGUAUUUUUUGUUUUGUUAACAGUGAUUCUAACAAAUGUAACAGCAACCUUAGCUUACAAUUCUUUACUUUUUUUGUGAUAAUGCUGUAUUGAUAUAUACAUAUAUUGGGAUAAAUUUGAGCAGUAUCUUCCAAUGUCAUUUGUAAAAUCAAAAGGCUUACAGAAGUGCUUCCUACCAAUGUUUUUCCAUUCCAAAAUCACUCAAAUCCUAGAUAUCUUCUGAUUAAGGUUGGAGGGAUCUCAAUCACGAUACCACACCCAUUGAGGCCUUGACAUUAGAAGGCUAAAUAGCAUGUAUAAAAAAAUAACGCCUUAAGUAGUUGACUUUUAAUCAAUUGUAAGCACUACCCAGUGCUAGUCAAUUUGAAAACACUGCUCCCUCAUCCUAUUUGAUGUGAUGGUAUUACUAUUGGAGAUAGUAUCCAACUCCAUAGGUUAUGCAAAAAUUGCAUUUAGCUGAAAGAUAGCCUUUCAAGACAUGCUCUAUCUCAUUGAAGCUAUUAUUUUAGUAAUUUUGUUGGUGAAGUUUUACUUUUGAGAAAUUAACUUCAAUAGUUGUUUGCCCCUGAAAAAAUAGCCAACAGAUGUAUAAUAUAUGUAUUAAGACUAGCGACUAUAAAUAUUUUUGGCCGAGUGGCCAAAUGUGUAACUUCCCUUUUAUCUUUGUAUUCUUUUUUUGACAUGACUUUGUUUAGCUAACAAAUUCAACAGGAAAACCAAGGCUCAACAUCAAGACAUCAGGCAAGGCUUUACCCAAUGUAGAAGCUGGUUAUAUGGACAUGCAUCUCAGUUACUCUCAUUUCAUUUGUACUAUUAGACCUUAUAGCCUUUCAAAGUAUUGUCUGGUAAGUUCACAAGUACAUUAUACGUUUACCAUUACGUUGAAUAAAAAAAAAAGGAAAAAAGAUACUAGUAAAAGAAAAAGGAAAAAAAGCUGAACUCAUUUCCUGCACAUCUUUUCGAUAAUUUGGAAGUUUAGAACACAAAUACAUAUUGAUUGUUUACUUGCAACUGGUUAUAAACUGUUUCAGUGUAUUCCUAAACAAUUUGCACAAGAAAACGGACUCAACGACAGGAAAUGUAUGAUAAUUGUAAGGGACGAGCAACAGUCAUGGACAUUUGGUGUGUACACAAGCGGCAAAGCCACCUUCAUUGGAAGUGGUUGGCAUGAAUUCUGCAUUACGAAUUGCUUAAAGGAAGGAGAUCACUUACUGUUUGAGAUAGUUUCCAAUGGAGAAACACCUAUAUUUAGAUUUCAUGGCAAGUUCCUCGUCUAAACCCUUGUCUUAAAAUUCCAUCAUGUUUUCUACUCUUUAAAUAUGUCCUACUUUAAAUUAAUUACGGGGGGAUGACUUUAUGAUUACAAGGAUCCUAUCUAGUUAUUAACUUUUGCAGGUAUGCGAUUUCUAUGGUCUGAAUUAUAAUUACUAAACACACAUUAGAGUCGAUAUCCAUUGUUCACAACAAUUGGAGGAAUAGGGGUCAUUGUAUAUGAUAGAUUUGGAACAUUCAAAGUAGAACCCGUAUUACCUACCAUCUAUUUGUGCGUGUGCUUCAUUUACUUACUUUGUCUUUGUCACUGCUCCUCCGAGUUUUUGUGUCUAUCCAUGUUCUGUUAUCUGAUCUUGAUUGAUAUUCUUUUCAACAUAUAUCUGCAUUUGCCUUUUUUUUUUUUUAGCUUUAAGAUUCUGACACUGCUGAUCGAUUCCCUUUUGUUGCCGUGGUUUUACAUUAUCCUCUGCUUCUUUGGCAUAGCAUUCUGCUGUGGAUUUUACUACUUUAUCUUACAUAUAUCUCAAAUUCUUAUGUUGUCCUAGAAAUGCCCCAUUUCCCUGGUUCAAUUGAGGACAAAAGUCUACAUUCUAGAGACUUUUCGUUUUGAAGAGUGUGGAAGAAGGAUAUUUCUUAGAAGCAAUGUACUCUGGGUAGCUCUGCAAAAGUAUCUUGCUAUUAAUCACUUCAUUGAGUAAUAUCAGAAAAGAUACUAGUUGUAUAUGCCCAGCAAAUUCCUCUGUUAACCAAAAAAAAAAAAAGUAUAUGCCCAACAAAUAACAGUUCCUUUCUACUUGAAUUUAAUGUUUUUGUUUUGCUUUUAAAACUAGAUUUGAGAGGAAGUCCAUCCCUCCAGCCUGAAGUAAAGAAGAAAAAAUUGGAUGCUGAAAGAAGGCCGGAUAAAGGUGUGAAGAGAAAAAACUUUAUAGUUGUGCCUUUUCGUUCCAUUUCUGAUUGUAGUGUUUCUUUGUUUUUCUUUUUCUUGGUUACUUUAAAGCAAUAACAGACGUUAGGCUUAAGACUUCGGACGUGACUACUCCUGAAUCACAAAUAGCUGCUUCAACAUCUGCUGAUGCCAACCCUCAUUUUAUAUCUACUGUUCAACCUUACACUCUCAGAUUUCCUGUUUUGGUACGAGUGAUUUUAACAAUUUUUUACUUGUUUUGUGAUAAUGCGGUAUUGAUAUAUGCAUAUAUUGGGAUAAAUUUGAGCAGUAUCUUCCAAUGGCUUUUGCAAAAUCAAAUGGCUUUCUGAAUAAAUGUGAGUUGAUUCUCGUGGAUGAAAAACAGAGAUUAUGGUCAGUGUGUCUAGGGAGAAUUGGCAAUACUCACUUUGGAAUUAAAAGGGGAUGGCCGCAGUUCAGACUAGCAAAUGGUGUUCAAGUAGGAGAUACUUACAAGUUUGAACUCACCAACAAUGACACAGUACCUAUAGUGCAUUUCCACUGUAAGUAUUUUCUUUAAUCUUCUUUUCGUUUCAUGACCAUACUCUGAUGUUGGCAUAAUACAUAAACAAACACUCGGACUUGGCCUCAACUGACAAGUAAACACUCCAAUUUUGAGUAUGCUCAUGUAGACAACUUAACUUGUCUCUAUUGUGUUAAUUGAACACGCCAACUUACAAAAUAAUCAUCUAAACACCUCCAAAAUUUAUGUGUCAUGUCAGCUUUGGAUAUCUACGAGACAUAGUUGAGACGAGUUGGAGUGUUUAGUUUCCAGUUGAGACCAAAUUGAGGUGUCUAGUAGCGCACUCUCAAAGUUGAAGUGUUUACUUGCCAGCUGAGGCCAAAUUUAAGUACUUGUUUAUGUAAGAUUUCUAUAAUGUUUUAUACAACUCAUCUUCCAAAAUUUAGAUACAGAACUGAGGUUAUGUUUUUUUGAACAAUUGUAGGUAAAUAUACUGGGAAUUAAGGAAGUCAAGCAUACUGGGAAUGAUUGAAGUUAUCAGAAAUUUUGUGAGCUUAUGGUAUCCAUCACUGAGACGACAAGGCAUAUUUUUGUUUCCAAUGAAGGUGAAGCUUUCAGUUGCAGUGUUGGCAACGAAUGAUAGUUGUAAGACAACCUUAUGAAAUUAGGAGUGUCUAAUUCAACAGCAAUCACAUUACAACCUUAUCAGAACUUGAAAUCUUCAGAGUUGUCAAUGUGUGUAAACAAAGUAGGUCAAACUUUGUCAUAGUAUUAGAAGGCAAUUCAAUGUUAAAUCCAUUCACCUUCAACACAUGUAGGUCUUUCGCAUUAAAGAUCGCCUCUGGCAAUUUGUAACGGGAUUUUAUUGCUAGGUCAAGUUCUUUGAUGUUACAAACUACGAGUGUAUCAAUCCAGUAAUUGUAUAUUUCAGGAGAUUUCCAUAACGAACAUGGUAACGGAAGACAACACUACAGUAUUUCCAUCUUCAACUUUCGUCGACUUUGUUAACGUUUGAUGCACAACAUCAACCAGCAUUGCUAUAUCUUUAAAUGACAAAACAGAAAAAAUAAUCACCAAAGUUUAAAGAGGAGGGUGAUUUACAUGCAUUGUUCCAAGUCUUGGACAAUGUACUCAAAGGUGCAACAUCUUUGUAAAGAAGCCAAGAUGUACUGUAAAAUUGGCUCUGGUAAUUCGGAUAUUCGAUCUGCUGCAGCAGCCAUAUUACUAAGGAAGACAACAAAUAUGAUACAGAAGAGCCAACACACAUAAAAUAAAUAACCAAAAGCAACUAGCUAAAAGGUUUGGAUGGAGUAAAAAUAUGAUGGAAAAGGGUAAAAUAUAUCCCUUUAUUUUUGUUUAUUAGUUAAGUUUGUGCCUAGUUAUGUAGGUCAAAUAUUUCUCUAUUCUUUUAAAGGAUUCAAAUAUACCCCUUUUCCGAAGGGAAAUCUAGGUAGUUACCCACAAUACAUAGUUGCUCCUUGUGGGCAACUAUGUAGAUUUCCCUUGUUUUUUCAAAUUUAACAAAAAAUAUUGAAUAUCUAUUUUAGUAUAAUAAACAACUAUAAAUAGACGGAACGAAUAAAUAUUUUCAUUUUAUUGUUACUUUCUCCGUCUAUUUUUACUUGUUCGUUAUUAACUUAACAUACAUCUUAAUAAUAAAUCAUAGAAUAAUUUUACUAUAACAUCAUCUGAAUAUAAUAAAUUUAAUGUUUUGAAAAGUACAUUGCAUAAUGAGUAAUAUUUAGUAGCAAGAAUAAAUGAAAAUAAAUGAAUAAUUAUUCAUUGAUAUUUUUAUUAAAAUAAAAAAGUAAAAUUAGCCAGGGAGUACAAUGUUUUUCUUUGAUAGAAUCAUAGUGUUGUAUUAAAAAUAAAUAUUUUAAUUAUUUAUCUCUUUCCGUAAAUUUUGUUGCUCUCCCCAUUUCAAGUGACUUAUUUUUCUUGUAAUCCGUUUAGAAAAGAAUGUUCUUUUCGCUUUUUAGCAACUCUUUAAUUUUAACUUUUCAUAUGAUAAGUUUACAAUCUUAAGAUUGAAGGAUAUUUUGAUACAAUUUACAUAUUUUUAAUGUAAGACUACAAGAUUCAAAAAUUUCUUUAUUAUCUUAAACUCUGUGGCAAGUCAAAAUAAUAUCAAUCAAUUUUGAAAUAGAGGCAAUACUUUUUUCUUUAUAAUAUUCCAAGUAUUAAGUAACUAUAUAAAGUAGCACUUCCCCAACUCAUUUUUACUUGUUGCAUUUCGUUUUACUAAUGUUAACUUGACUAAAUUUUAAAGCUAAAUCGAAGAGGAUUAAUUAAAUAUUUUAAAUUGAAAAUUUAGAUGUUAAAAAUACAAAAUAGUAUAAGUUGCAAUCCUUCUCAUAUCAAUAUAAUAAAAAAAUAUAUCUUAAAGUAUUAGUCAAUGAUUAUGCAGUUUGAUUUUCAAAAAGCAAAAAAUGACAAAUAAAAAUGAACGAAAGGAAUAGUAAUUAAAUUUAUAAUUCUAAACAUUAUUUAUACAAAUAAUUUAGUAAAACACAAUUUUAAUCAAACUUUUUUGAUGGAGUGUGUAGGUAACCAAUAUAAAAAGGAGUUCCCUUCAUAAAUGUUCUUGUUUCUUGCGGUUAAGAUUUAUGAGUUCAAAAUGUAAUCUUUGUUGAAAUUUUAGUAAGGGUGUGUUUGGUAGGAAGGAAAAAAUAUUUUCUUGGAGAAUAUAAGUAAACAAAACACUUUUCUUACUUUUUUCUUGUGUUUGGUAGGUAAAUAAAAAAAUUAUCCUAAAAGUAUUUAUAUGUUAAUUCAGACAAAUUUUUUGAUCAAUCGAACAUGAGAAAAAUGAAAACACACUCUAACUGCCUAUCCUUUUAUCGGGUAGAAAAUAGUAUUGUCGUGUCCUCAGUGACCAAGCUGUGUAUCCUCAAAACUACUAUAUGUGAACUUUGUUUAAUAUAACUUAUUUUUUACUUUUGUUUUAGUUAGUAUAUAUGAUAAUGAUAGAUAUAUGAAAUGAGCUUAAAUGAACAAGCGGAGAUUCAAAUAGCCCAUCCCAACUUGUUUGGGAUUGAGAUUAGUUAUUAUUGUAUGUGGGGACAUGUACAACUUAUUGAAUCCCCCUUUUUUUAGAGUUUUUGACAUAUUUUGGGACAAAGUUUUAUUGGUUCUGCAUAUUUGUUGUACUGUAGAAUAUUUCUAUAGGUUUCUUGAAGUAUUUGAAGGGACAUGAACACAUUGAACAUGCAAUACUUAAAAAGGCUGGUAAAAAGUGGCAGAUGAAAGUGAAUGACCGGAGAUUUGAAGCAAGGGCAGAGCCACAGUGAAUUACGGGGGUUUGGGUUUGGAUGAAUCCAGUAGCUUUUGCGCAUCUGUAUUUGCAUUAAAAAUUUCAGGAAAUGUAUAUUUAUUAUUAAGUGGAACCUCCAACAAAGGCUGAAGUAAAGGCUUAGUGGCAAGUGGCAAGGAAGGAGGUUUAAAGGUUAUAUGUCAUCCUUGGUUGUGGGUCGAACCCAACUACAAACAUAUAUUUUCUAUUGGUAUUUCCUCCUUUGGAAUUUCUUUAGGAAAAAAACGUUAUUUUCAAAAAUAGCAUAAGGUGACCAAUUAGGAUAAAUUACUUCAAGUUUCUAUUAUUACUUAAAAUUUCAUCCAAUUAAACUAAUUACAAAAAUUUCUUUUUAAUCAAAAUAGUUGCCUCUUUUAUAAUACAUCUAAACAAAAUUCACCCACAUCGCCUAAUGUGCCACAAAUCUCGCCCAAAAAUCAAGAAAUAUAUCCGACGAUUUUCAAAAAUAGCAUGAGGUGACCAAUUAAGAUAAAUUACUUAUAACCACACUUUAAGUUUCUAUUAUUACUUAAAAUCCCAUCCAACUAAACUAAUUACAAAAAUAUCUUUUUACUUAAAAUAGUUGCCUCUUUUAUGAUACAUCUAAAAAAAUUCACCCACAUUAUUGCCUAAUGUGCCACAAAUCUCGCCCAAAAAUCAGAAAAUAUAUCCGACGAUUUUCUCAACUCACCCAUUUUGAAUUUCCACCAUGUUCUCAUCUUUUACUUCAACAUUCAAGUUACAACUUCCAUUAACUUUCUUUUUAAAUUUUCACCAUGUUCUCAUCUACUACUCAAUUAGGUCUAACAACUCCACCUGUCCACCAUUAACUUUCUUUAUGAAUUUUCGCCUUGUCAUUAUAAUAUGAACGACAUUGAUUUUCGUAAAAAUAGAUUGAAAUUUCAAAAUGACUCGGCUAUGAUAAAGAAGUUAUAGAAGACUACUGGUAGUGAUAGUAAAAAGUCGAUUAUUGCAUCUGUAAAGAGGAAGAAGUAAGUUACAAAAAGAGACCCUCUACGAAAGAUAUGAAUAACAUAUAUAUGACAUAUCUAAUUUGUAAAGAUACAUAAAAUUUAUGUAUUUUAAAAUAAAAUCAAACAUAUUUUGAAUGGUCGGAUUGUUACUGAUACAUAGUUAUACAUAGUUCACAAAAAAAUUAUUUAUCAAAGGCAACAUUAUAUGUAUUUGGAAUAUAUACAUUGUACAAAUACAUAAGAUUUAUGUAUCUGGCUAUUAAAUUACAAAUAUAUGAAUUAUCGAACUGUUACUGAUACAUUGAUAUAACCUAUAUAAGUUAAAAGUUUCUUCACUCAUACAUAGUUGACAAAAAUAAAUAAUUUUAUCAAAGGUGUGAAUUAUAUUGUAACGCCCCGAGUAUGAACUUCGGAUGCCAUACGGUGCUUACGAUCCCGAAAGACCACAAGCUAACCCAUAAGUUAGUUCCUACUGUGAGCACUGAAUAAUAAUACUGAAAGUAAUGCUGAAAUUAGGCUGAAUUGCCAUAAGGUUCAAAAUAUGAAAUACUGAUAAAUAAUAACAUCUGCUAAAACAUUUAAUAUCUGAAUACUGUCUGCACUAGACUAGUCUGAAAAGCCUCUAACUGAACUGUCUGAAUAUGGAGUUGACGGGACAAACCCCUAACUAACUCCAACUAAUGAAAUACUGAACCUACUGUAAUACUGAAUUAAAAGCAUAUCCUCGAUAGAUGAGGACUCAUUACUGAAUUUGAUACUGCUGACGGAAUCUGGCUAAGAGUGGGCAGGAACCUGAGCGUACGAAUCUAUGAUAUGAGACAUCAUAACACAAAGAGAAAGUAUGUGUCAAUACGUGCAAUGUACUGGUAUGCUAGAUGAGGUAAGGCUGAAUGCAAGGGUUCAUAUGCAUGAACAGUAACUAAAUAUGAGAGUACAUAGAUAACCGAAACUACUGUAAAUACUGAGUAUGCAAUACUAUGCAUAUACGUGUAUACUGUAUCUGAGCUUUUACUGAAGCUGAGUACUAAGUUCUGAUAACUGAGUAACUGAUAUCUGAGAUUACUGAUAACUGGGUGACUGUGUCUGAUGGUCUUGAUUCUGUAGAACUGAACCGAGUUCUAUACUGAGACUGAAAUUGAAACUGUGGGAAGUAAUCAUCUAACCAACAAGUCCCUUUUUUGUAUAGAUUUGGGGUCCAACUUGUAACCCCAGCUGGAAGGGUGUCAAUACCAUGCCACGGGUAAAGACAAGAUGUAGAGUCACCCUUAUCUAAUAGGUACUCUAAUGAGAACAGUAGUACCCUCAACUGACAGGUUAAAACACCUUAUCAACCCUCAACUGGCAGGUUGAUGUCUCAACCUACUCUAGCUAUGUAGUUCUGGAAUGCAAGGACUGCUUUUAAGGAUUAGACCCUCUACUGGAAGGUGAGCCCCCAUCCUUGGAUUCACUCGGUGCUGAAUCCUGCUCCAAUCUGAAUAACACUGAUUGAACUUGACUGAUACUGAGUUUUACUGAGUUCUAUAACUGACUGAGUUUUGUUAACUGACUGAAUACUACAAUUUCGUGACAUGACCAAGACUAUUCUGUAACUACUGUAGCUUUAGGUAAACAACUAAAUUUUUGGGUAUUGAAUACCCCUAGAACUCGAUAGCAUUGAAAAUAAAGCAUGGCAUAAUCUUGAAAGCAUAAUAAUAUUACUUGCUUGUUAAUAAUGCAUUCAUUUAGACAUUUUGUCAAACAUUUGAUAUGCAUGAGCUUGUACAUGAAUGGGACCACAUAAUGACAUAUCUUGAUUUCACUAUUCAAUUUUCAUAGGCAUUUUAGCAAACACUUGGGGAGCAUGAUUGUUUCACAUAAUAAUAGUCAACACAUGAACAUCAUGGAUACAAUAAUCAAUUGUAUAUUCAAGGGUUUAGCAUGCAAAUCACAUAAUUCAUCAUUCAUACUAUUCUAAUUUCACGAAACUCAUAAUUAAUUAUGGAUUGAAAUCUAUUUAACAUCAUGAACAUGAAUUCAAUCUAUUUCAAGCAUAAAAAUCACAAAUCUAAGAUCUUGUAUGUUUAAAAAGAAGUUCUUGGACUUCAUGGGUGAAAGGAACCCAUGAAUGAACACCUNNNNNNNNNNNNNNNNNNNNNNNNNNNNNNNNNNNNNNNNNNNNNNNNNNNNNNNNNNNNNNNNNNNNNNNNNNNNNNNNNNNNNNNNNNNNNNNNNNNNNNNNNNNNNNNNNNNNNNNNNNNNNNNNNNNNNNNNNNNNNNNNNNNNNNNNNNNNNNNNNNNNNNNNNNNNNNNNNNNNNNNNNNNNNNNNNNNNNNNNNNNNNNNNNNNNNNNNNNNNNNNNNNNNNNNNNNNNNNNNNNNNNNNNNNNNNNNNNNNNNNNNNNNNNNNNNNNNNNNNNNNNNNNNNNNNNNNNNNNNNNNNNNNNNNNNNNNNNNNNNNNNNNNNNNNNNNNNNNNNNNNNNNNNNNNNNNNNNNNNNNNNNNNNNNNNNNNNNNNNNNNNNNNNNNNNNNNNNNNNNNNNNNNNNNNNNNNNNNNNNNNNNNNNNNNNNNNNNNNNNNNNNNNNNNNNNNNNNNNNNNNNNNNNNNNNNNNNNNNNNNNNNNNNNNNNNNNNNNNNNNNNNNNNNNNNNNNNNNNNNNNNNNNNNNNNNNNNNNNNNNNNNNNNNNNNNNNNNNNNNNNNNNNNNNNNNNNNNNNNNNNNNNNNNNNNNNNNNNNNNNNNNNNNNNNNNNNNNNNNNNNNNNNNNNNNNNNNNNNNNNNNNNNNNNNNNNNNNNNNNNNNNNNNNNNNNNNNNNNNNNNNNNNNNNNNNNNNNNNNNNNNNNNNNNNNNNNNNNNNNNNNNNNNNNNNNNNNNNNNNNNNNNNNNNNNNNNNNNNNNNNNNNNNNNNNNNNNNNNNNNNNNNNNNNNNNNNNNNNNNNNNNNNNNNNNNNNNNNNNNNNNNNNNNNNNNNNNNNNNNNNNNNNNNNNNNNNNNNNNNNNNNNNNNNNNNNNNNNNNNNNNNNNNNNNNNNNNNNNNNNNNNNNNNNNNNNNNNNNNNNNNNNNNNNNNNNNNNNNNNNNNNNNNNNNNNNNNNNNNNNNNNNNNNNNNNNNNNNNNNNNNNNNNNNNNNNNNNNNNCAAUCAUCACACUUCCUUAAAAUCUACCCCUUUUGAAGCCUUAUACGGCUAUGUCCCUCCUCAGAUUCCACUGGGUUCCCCUUCACAAUCAACUCACAAUCCUAUUGGCCUUUGCCUUGCUCAACGACAACUAAUGAUUCAAGCUCUUGAGGACUUUCUUCACCAAGCUCAAGCUCGUAUGAAAUUUUUUGUAGAUCAAAAUCGUACAGAGGGAACUACAGGUCGGGGAUUUAGUUUAUCUUAAACCACAGUCCUAUCGAAAAACAUCAGUAGUUGUUCAUGGGAAUUUAAAGCUCACUGCUAAAUUCUACGGACCCUACAAGGUGUUACAACGUAUAGGGACAGUGGCUUACCAGCUAGAGCUUCCAAUAGGAUCCAUCAUCUAUCCUGUAUUUCACAUCUCUCAACCGAAGCAUCGUAUUGGGCCCUCGAUCAUUGCUUAGCCAUUACCUCCUACUUGUGAUACAGAUGGAUGCAUCUUAGCGCAACUACUGUCCAUUUUGCAACAUUGCUUGGUUCAAGAAAAUAAUGUUGCCACUGUUAAGCUUUUGGUUCAGUGGUCGAAUCUUGGCCUCGAGAAAGCCACAUGGGAAGACUGGGGCUACUUGAAGAGUCAAUUUCCAGCGUUUAUGGCUCAACACCAAUCUUAAGGACAAGGUUGUUUUUUAAUCGGAGGGGUAGUGUAAAGUAUAAGAGAAUAAAAAGGACAAAGAAAUAAAUUGCGGAUUGUGGCAAGUGAAAUUAGGAAAGUAUCUGGAGUAACUGAGAUAUGAGGAUUUAAGGGUAGUGGACUACACGUGUAAGUCAUCUAUAGAAUAAUAAGAGCAUAUGCGGGUCACGUGCGAGUUGAUCUAACGGCAAAAAAGAGGUUACAACUGGCAAGAUCAACGCAGCAGACUCAUAGAGCAGUUGAGAAUAUCUGUUAUAUUCCCAUUCAGAGAAGGGAGGGGAAUUUUUAACGAACUUUGGGUAUUUUCCUAUCUCUCUCAAAAAAUUCUCUCUCUUCCUUCUUCCUUUUCUUCCUUCUUCUGAAUUCUUCUUCUCAACCUCUCAGUUUUAGGUGAAUCACCAUGGAUGGACGCAAACAAGCUUCCGCCAUUAGAGUAGUUGAAUGUAGCAGUGGAUUGUAGUACUGUAAUAGUUACUAAAAAACAAUAAAAAGCCUCAAUUCUACUUGUAUUGUGCAAUUUGAGUAUUUUCAUUACAAUUUCAGUGGUAAUCCAUUACACUAAUACACUAACGAAUACCAAAUUUUAACAAAAUUCAUCUGUAUAUGUAUAAACUAUGAAAAAGGGCCUAAAAUGCCCUUCAACUAUGGAAAAUGGUGCAAGAAUGUCCUUCGUCUAUCUAUUGGGCCUCAAAUAUCAUUUUCGUCUACCUAUUGGGCAUAAAAUACCCUUCUCACCUAUUUAUUGGGCCUAAAAUGCCCUUUUUAUCUACCUAUUGAGCCUAUUUUGCCCUUUUAUUUAGGCAAAUUAUAUGAAAAGGUCAUCCAUAAAACUUAAUUACAUAAAUAAUAGAACUUUUUCAAUAUUAAAAAAAUAAAAGUUUUUUUUUCAUAUAUAGCAAUUUAAGAAAAUCAAAAAGAUGAUUAUAAUUCUUAAUUCAAUACAAUAACUAAUUAUUAAUUCACCUUAAUUUAAGAGAUAUAUUUUCAAUCUUCAAAUUAAAAGUGGAAAAGAUAAUCCCUUCUUUCAAAAAAUUUUCUCUCUUAUAUUCAAAAUUUAAAUAUUUAUAAAUAAACUAAGUAUUCCAUUAUUUGCUCAGAUAUGUGUCAUUUUAUUUUCAUGUAUGUUAAUCAUCUAGUAUUAUUUCAUUAUUAUGUAUUUUUAAUUCUAAUGUAAUGGGUUAACCUUAAUUUUUUAUGAAUAAAUAUUUAUGAAAUAUAAAAAUCAUUAUGUUGGAAGCACAGAUAUAUCAUAUAUUUUUGUUGUAUCAACAACAACAACAAGCCCAGUGUAUUCCCACACAGUGGGGUCUGGGGAGGGUAAAAUGUACACAGUCCAUACCCUACCACCGAAGAAGUAGAGAGGUUAUUUCCGAUAGACCCCCGGCUCAAGAUAAAUAAAUAAAUUAAUAACAAAAAAGUCAUAUUGAAAUGUGAAGCAGGAUGGGUGGCUUAACAGAAGUAAAGAAUCAGAAAUAGUAAAAUAGAACUUAGACCAAUACAGGAUAGGGGAACUAAGAGCAAUAAGAUAUAAGAAAUAAGAAAAAUGAAAUCUGGAAUAGGGUACCCGCCUAGUAGUAACCUACACUCAUAGACCAAAGCCACCCACCACACCCAGUCUCCCCUGACUAGCAGCUCCUACCUAUCAAUACAGUCCUACGAUAACUGCCCCGGCUAAACAGGGACUCUCCUAAUUACAUGCUACAACCCAUGUACUCACCUAGCCUUCUACCCUUAUCUGUGAACUCCACACCUUCCUAUCUAGGGUCAUGUCCUCGGUAAGCUGAAGUUGUUCUAUGUCAUGUCUAAUCACUCCCCUCUAGUAUUUCUUCAGCCUCCCUCUACUCCUCCUGAAUCCGUCGAAGGCUAGCCUCUCACACCUACGAACUGGGGCAUCCGCACCCCUCCUCAUCACAUGCCCAAACCAUAUCAGCCUUCCUUCCCAUAUCUUGUCCUCCACCAAAGCCACUUCCACCUUCUCCUGAACAAUUUCAUUUCUAACUCUAUCCCCUCUUGUAAGCCCACACAUCCAGCACAAUAUUCUCAUUUCCGCCACCUUUAAUUUUUGAAUGUGGGUAUUCUUGACAGGCCAACACUCAGCUCCAUACAACAUGGCUGGACGGACUGCCACUCUAUAGAAUUUGCCUUUAAGCCUAAGGGGCACCUUUCUAUCACACAACACUCAAGAGGUGAGCCUCCACUUCAUCCAACCAGCUCCGAUACGAUUAGAGACAUCCUUAUCAAUCUCACCAUUCCCCUGAAUCAUUACCUAAGAUACUUAAAACUAUCCUUCUUACAUACAACUUGGCAAUCCAACCUCACCACCACUUCGUCUUCCUUCCUUAAGUCACUAAAAUUGCACUCCAAAUACUCCGUCUUGGACCUCCUUAACCUGAACCCCUUAGAUUCUAGGGUUUGCCUCCAUACCUCUAAUUUUUCAUUCACACCCUUCCCCCCCUCCCAUGCAUCUCAUUAAUCAGCACUACAUCAUCUGUAAAUAAUAUAUACCAAGGUACUACACCUUGAAUACUCCACGUCAACACGUCCAUCACUAGUGUAAAUAGUAACGAACUAAGAGUCGAACCCUGAUGCAACCCUGUCUCUACCAAAAAGUGCGCCGAGUUUCCUCCCGUCGUUUGCACCCGAGUAUUCACUCCAUCUUACAUGUCCUUAAUAGCUUCGGUGUACGCUAUUAAAACCCUUUUCACCUCCAAGCAUCUCCAAAGAACCUCCCUAGGAACUUUGUCAUAAGCAUUCUCCAGGUUGAUGAACACCAUGUGCAAAUCCCUCUUUCUUUCCCUAUACUACUUCACCAAUCUCCUCACCAGGUAGAUUAUCGUAGAGUGACCAGGCAAAAAAUAAAACUGAUUCUCUGAAAUGGACAUGAUCUUCCUCAAUCUCUGCUCAACCACCCUCUCCCAAAUCUUCAUAAUAUGACUCAACAACUUAAUACCCCUAUAGUUAUUGCAACUCUAAACGUCCCCCUUGUUUUUAUAUAACAGAAUUAUCUUGUUUUUCUAUAACGGAAUCAUCGUACUCCAUCUCCAGGUCUGAAGCAUUCUUGAAGUCUUAAAAGUAUCAUUAAACAAAUCAGUUAACCACCUUAAGCCUACCCUACCCAUAAACUUCCCAAAAUCUACUGGAAUCUCAUCAGGCCCGAUCGUCCUACCCCUCUUCAUCCUACAAAUAGCCUCCCUGACCUUCUCCUCCUUUAAACGUCUACAGUAACUGAAAUUAUGACUCUCCUCCGAAUGCUCUAGUUCCCCUAACUCAAUGUCUCUGGCUCUUUCCUCGUUCAAAAGUCUAAGAAAAUACUCAUGCUAUCUCUUCUUAAUAUGAACAUCCUUCACCAAAACUCUACCAUCCUCUCCCUUAAUGCACUUCACUUGGUCGAGGUCAUGACCCUUUCGCUCCCUAGCCUUAGCAAGCCUAAACAGCCUCUUUUCCCCGUCUUUGUCCUCUAACCUCGCAUAUAAGCUCUCAAAAGUUAUUGUUUUAGCAGCCAUCACUGCUAACUUAGCCUCCUUCUUUGCCACUUUGUCAACCUCCCUAUUCACCCGCUUCUCUUCUUCAUCUUUACUCUCAAUCAACUUAACAUACGCCCCCUUCUUAAUCUCUACUUUCUUCUUAAAAUUUUUAUUCCACCACCAUUCUGCUUUAUGCCUUCCUACCCGCCCCCUUGAAACACCUAACACUACUCUAGCGGUCUCUGUGAUGCAGCUGGCAGCCUUAUCCCAUCUAACAUCCAUGUCCUCCUUACACUCCUACACCCUCAAGCCUUCCACCUUCUCUCCUAUCUCCAGUGUGCUAACUGGCGUUAAGCCACCUUACUUAAUUCUAGGUCGACCCUCCCUAACCCUUCUCUUUUUUCUCUUCUUGAUAAUCAAGUCCAUAACCAGAAGGCUGUGCUAGGUCGAAAGAUGCUCACUCAGAAUGACUUUAUAGUCCUUACAUAAAAACCUAUCCCCCUUCCUAAGUAGCAUAAGUCAAACUGAGUAUUGGUUAUCGCACUUCUGGAAGUAAUCAGGUGAUCGCCCUUCUUCGAAAAGCUCGAAUUCGCCAGCACUAGCCCAAAAGCCCUCACAAAAUCCAACAGAGUAGCUCCCUUACCAUUUCUAUCACCAAAACUAAAAGCUCCAUGUACAUCAUCACAACCUCCCAGAAGAGCCCCAAUGUGCCCAUUAAAGUCUCCCAUAGUCACAAUCUUCUUCAAGUUAGGGACGCUUCUCACCACCUCGUCCAAUGCCUCGUAGAAUCUCACUUUCACCUCCUCUUCCAAACCCAUUUGCGACGCACAAACACUAUACACAUACAGCGAAAACCCCCCAAUGACUAACUUAAUUAUCAUCAGCCUAUCACUGAUCCUCUUAAACUCUACCACCUACUCUCUAAGCUCCUCAUCUACUAAAAUUCCUAUUCCAUUCUAACUCUCACUCCCUGAGUACCAUAACUUGUCCCCUUCCACAUCCCUAGCCUUAGACCCUCCCCACUUAGUCUCCUGAACACACACAAUGUUAAUCCUCUACUUCUUAAGAAUCUUGACCAACUCUACGAACUUACCCUGAAGGGUCCUUAUGUUCCAAGACACUACCCUUAACCUAUCUUUUUUACCACCCUCCUAACUCUACCACCCCUUACCGCACUAGCCCUACCACCCGACCUGGACCGCAUAUCCCCCCUACCCUUCCCUCUUUACCCCCACCCAAAACAACCCUCAACCCUAGCUCCCCCGAACAUGACCCUAUAACACCAUUAAUCCUCAUAGCCACCACUCAAAAAAUAAAAAAAACCCAAGUUGACAAACAAAUAGAGCAACCAUAGGAAAACAAGGAAAAACAGAAAAAUAGUAAGAAAACAGAAGGCACACACAAAAUAUUCUAUCCGACCUAAUAUCUACAACAAUAAAACACUAUCUACCAAUAUGCAAAAGCAACCCAUCAAAACUAAAAUCACAAGCAACAAAGUAAUACAGAGAAUCAAAAUGGUAAGAAAUAACUAAAUAUCAAAGUUCAGAUGUCAUUGGGGUACUCCUGCGUGCUGUUGGUUCUAAAAAUUUUGGAGUCGAAUCUGGUUGCUAGAAAAAAGUCACCAACAAGCAGCUGCCAGUGCGUCGCCGGAGUUUACCGAAGCUUUUUCUGGCUAUUGUCGCAAGUCUAGAAUCUGCAGGCAUGUUGUACGUUAUCGUCCUAACCUGUUAUGACCGGUGCUUCCCUUUUACAUGGUUGUUAGAGUAGAGACGGCAGGAACCCUGAGUCUUGCUAGCCAUAGCAGUGGGGAAAGUGCAAGAAGGAAUGGAAGAGAGAGAGAAAAGGUAGAGAGAGCUUAGGGGAGAGAGAGAGAACAAGGGGGAAAGCACCCUACCUGUUGCCAGUGCGUCUACACCGGUGUCAGCGUCGGAGACAACCGGCUAGUCAACGCGAGUUGUACGGUUCAGGCACAGUAAACGUCAGGUUGUAGAGUGAAUGUUAGAGAGAGAACGUUAGAGCUUCUAAAAAUUCAUAUAUUUUUGUUGUAUGAAUAUAAUUAAUGUCAAAUUCAGAUUAUUAUUAUUAUUAUAUUAUUCAAAUAAUUUUUGCACCAUUUGAUAUAAUAUCAAAUGGUGUGUGAUAUUAUAUCAAUUAGUGCAAAUGGUGUUUGAUAUUAUAUCAAAUGGUGCAAUUGGUGCAAAAAAUAUAUAAAAUAUAUCAUAAACAUUUAUCUCACAAAUUCUAUAAAAAAUAUAAUAAUAAUAAUAAUAUGAAUUUUAUAUUAAUUAUAUUUAUACAAAAAAUAUAAUAAUAAUAUGAAUUUUAUAUUAAUUAUAUUUAUACAACAAAAUUAUGUGAUAUAUUUGUACUUUCAAAAAAAUUAUUCAUCCCAUAAAUAUUUAUCCAUAAAAAAUUAUGGUUACCCCAUUAUAUUAGAAUUAAAAAUACACAAUAAUAAAUAAUACUAGAUGAUUAACAUACAUGAAAAUAAAAUGAAACAUACACGAGCAAAUAAUGGAAUACUUAGUUUAUUUAUAAAUAUUUAAAUUUUGAAUAUAAGAGAGAAAAAUCUUUGAAAGAACCAGCUCCGAUACGAUUAGAGACAUCCUUAUCAAUCUCACCAUUCCCCUGAAUCAUUACCUAAGAUACUUAAAACUAUCCUUCUUACAUACAACUUGGCAAUCCAACCUCACCACCACUUCGUCUUCCUUCCUUAAGUCACUAAAAUUGCACUCCAAAUACUCCGUCUUGGACCUCCUUAACCUGAACCCCUUAGAUUCUAGGGUUUGCCUCCAUACCUCUAAUUUUUCAUUCACACCCUUCCCCCCCUCCCAUGCAUCUCAUUAAUCAGCACUACAUCAUCUGUAAAUAAUAUAUACCAAGGUACUACACCUUGAAUACUCCACGUCAACACGUCCAUCACUAGUGUAAAUAGUAACGAACUAAGAGUCGAACCCUGAUGCAACCCUGUCUCUACCAAAAAGUGCGCCGAGUUUCCUCCCGUCGUUUGCACCCGAGUAUUCACUCCAUCUUACAUGUCCUUAAUAGCUUCGGUGUACGCUAUUAAAACCCUUUUCACCUCCAAGCAUCUCCAAAGAACCUCCCUAGGAACUUUGUCAUAAGCAUUCUCCAGGUUGAUGAACACCAUGUGCAAAUCCCUCUUUCUGCUCCACUAAUCUCCUCACCAUGUGGAUUACCUCUAUCGUAGAGUGACCAGGCAAAAAAUAAAACUGAUUCUCUGAAAUGGACAUGAUCUUCCUCAAUCUCUGCUCAACCACCCUCUCCCAAAUCUUCAUAAUAUGACUCAACAACUUAAUACCCCUAUAGUUAUUGCAACUCUAAACGUCCCCCUUGUUUUUAUAUAACAGAAUUAUCUUGUUUUUCUAUAACGGAAUCAUCGUACUCCAUCUCCAGGUCUGAAGCAUUCUUGAAGUCUUAAAAGUAUCAUUAAACAAAUCAGUUAACCACCUUAAGCCUACCCUACCCAUAAACUUCCCAAAAUCUACUGGAAUCUCAUCAGGCCCGAUCGUCCUACCCCUCUUCAUCCUACAAAUAGCCUCCCUGACCUUCUCCUCCUUUAAACGUCUACAGUAACUGAAAUUAUGACUCUCCUCCGAAUGCUCUAGUUCCCCUAACUCAAUGUCUCUGUCUCUUUCCUCGUUCAAAAGUCUAAGAAAAUACUCAUGCUAUCUCUUCUUAAUAUGAACAUCCUUCACCAAAACUCUACCAUCCUCUCCCUUAAUGCACUUCACUUGGUCGAGGUCAUGACCCUUUCGCUCCCUAGCCUUAGCAAGCCUAAACAGCCUCUUUUCCCCGUCUUUGUCCUCUAACCUCGCAUAUAAGCUCUCAAAAGUUAUUGUUUUAGCAGCCAUCACUGCUAACUUAGCCUCCUUCUUUGCCACUUUGUCAACCUCCCUAUUCACCCGCUUCUCUUCUUCAUCUUUACUCUCAAUCAACUUAACAUACGCCCCCUUCUUAAUCUCUACUUUCUUCUUAAAAUUUUUAUUCCACCACCAUUCUGCUUUAUGCCUUCCUACCCGCCCCCUUGAAACACCUAACACUACUCUAGCGGUCUCUGUGAUGCAGCUGGCAGCCUUAUCCCAUCUAACAUCCAUGUCCUCCUUACACUCCUACACCCUCAAGCCUUCCACCUUCUCUCCUAUCUCCAGUGUGCUAACUGGCGUUAAGCCACCUUACUUAAUUCUAGGUCGACCCUCCCUAACCCUUCUCUUUUUUCUCUUCUUGAUAAUCAAGUCCAUAACCAGAAGGCUGUGCUAGGUCGAAAGAUGCUCACUCAGAAUGACUUUAUAGUCCUUACAUAAAAACCUAUCCCCCUUCCUAAGUAGCAUAAGUCAAACUGAGUAUUGGUUAUCGCACUUCUGGAAGUAAUCAGGUGAUCGCCCUUCUUCGAAAAGCUCGAAUUCGCCAGCACUAGCCCAAAAGCCCUCACAAAAUCCAACAGAGUAGCUCCCUUACCAUUUCUAUCACCAAAACUAAAAGCUCCAUGUACAUCAUCACAACCUCCCAGAAGAGCCCCAAUGUGCCCAUUAAAGUCUCCCAUAGUCACAAUCUUCUUCAAGUUAGGGACGCUUCUCACCACCUCGUCCAAUGCCUCGUAGAAUCUCACUUUCACCUCCUCUUCCAAACCCAUUUGCGACGCACAAACACUAUACACAUACAGCGAAAACCCCCCAAUGACUAACUUAAUUAUCAUCAGCCUAUCACUGAUCCUCUUAAACUCUACCACCUACUCUCUAAGCUCCUCAUCUACUAAAAUUCCUAUUCCAUUCUAACUCUCACUCCCUGAGUACCAUAACUUGUACCCUUCCACAUCCCUAGCCUUAGACCCUACCCACUUAGUCUCCUGAACACACACAAUGUUAAUCCUCUACUUCUUAAGAAUCUUGACCAACUCUACGAACUUACCCUGAAGGGUCCUUAUGUUCCAAGACACUACCCUUAACCUAUCUUUUUUACCACCCUCCUAACUCUACCACCCCUUACCGCACUAGCCCUACCACCCGACCUGGACCGCAUAUCCCCCCUACCCUUCCCUCUUUACCCCCACCCAAAACAACCCUCAACCCUAGCUCCCCCGAACAUGACCCUAUAACACCAUUAAUCCUCAUAGCCACCACUCAAAAAAUAAAAAAAACCCAAGUUGACAAACAAAUAGAGCAACCAUAGGAAAACAAGGAAAAACAGAAAAAUAGUAAGAAAACAGAAGGCACACACAAAAUAUUCUAUCCGACCUAAUAUCUACAACAAUAAAACACUAUCUACCAAUAUGCAAAAGCAACCCAUCAAAACUAAAAUCACAAGCAACAAAGUAAUACAGAGAAUCAAAAUGGUAAGAAAUAACUAAAUAUCAAAGUUCAGAUGUCAUUGGGGUACUCCUGCGUGCUGUUGGUUCUAAAAAUUUUGGAGUCGAAUCUGGUUGCUAGAAAAAAGUCACCAACAAGCAGCUGCCAGUGCGUCGCCGGAGUUUACCGAAGCUUUUUCUGGCUAUUGUCGCAAGUCUAGAAUCUGCAAGCAUGUUGUACGUUAUCGUCCUAACCUGUUAUGACCGGUGCUUCCCUUUUACAUGGUUGUUAGAGUAGAGACGGCAGGAACCCUGAGUCUUGCUAGCCAUAGCAGUGGGGAAAGUGCAAGAAGGAAUGGAAGAGAGAGAGAAAAGGUAGAGAGAGCUUAGGGGAGAGAGAGAGAACAAGGGGGAAAGCACCCUACCUGUUGCCAGUGCGUCUACACCGGUGUCAGCGUCGGAGACAACCGGCUAGUCAACGCGAGUUGUACGGUUCAGGCACAGUAAACGUCAGGUUGUAGAGUGAAUGUUAGAGAGAGAACGUUAGAGCUUCUAAAAAUUCAUAUAUUUUUGUUGUAUGAAUAUAAUUAAUGUCAAAUUCAGAUUAUUAUUAUUAUUAUAUUAUUCAAAUAAUUUUUGCACCAUUUGAUAUAAUAUCAAAUGGUGUGUGAUAUUAUAUCAAUUAGUGCAAAUGGUGUUUGAUAUUAUAUCAAAUGGUGCAAUUGGUGCAAAAAAUAUAUAAAAUAUAUCAUAAACAUUUAUCUCACAAAUUCUAUAAAAAAUAUAAUAAUAAUAAUAAUAUGAAUUUUAUAUUAAUUAUAUUUAUACAAAAAAUAUAAUAAUAAUAUGAAUUUUAUAUUAAUUAUAUUUAUACAACAAAAUUAUGUGAUAUAUUUGUACUUUCAAAAAAAUUAUUCAUCCCAUAAAUAUUUAUCCAUAAAAAAUUAUGGUUACCCCAUUAUAUUAGAAUUAAAAAUACACAAUAAUAAAUAAUACUAGAUGAUUAACAUACAUGAAAAUAAAAUGAAACAUACACGAGCAAAUAAUGGAAUACUUAGUUUAUUUAUAAAUAUUUAAAUUUUGAAUAUAAGAGAGAAAAAUCUUUGAAAGAAGGGAUUAUCUUUUCCACUUUUAAUUUGAAGAUUCAAAAUAUAUCUCUUAAAUUAAGGUGAAUUGAUAAUUAGUUAUUGUAUUGAAUUAAGAAUUAUAAUUAUCUUUUUUGAUUUUCUUAAAUUGCUAUAUAUGAAAAAAAAACUUUUCUUUUUUUAAUAUCGAAAAAGUACUAUUAUUUAUGUAAUUAAGUUUUAUGGAUGACCUUUUCAUAUAAUUUGCCUAAUUAAAGGUCAAAAUAGGCUCAAUGGUUUAUGGGAAGGGCAUUUUAGACCCGAUAGAUAGAUGAGAAGGGCAUUUUAGGUCCAAUAGGUAGACGGGAAGGGCAUUUUAGGCCCAAUAGGUAGACGAAGGGCAUUUUUGCACUAUUUUGUAUAGUUGAAGGGCAUUGUAAGCCCUUUUCCAUAUAAACUAUAAUUUAAUCACUUCAUUAAUUUGGUUAUAGUCCUUAAUCAGUGGUGUAGUUUUACUUAUAUGAUGUUGGGGGAUUUUAUUUGUGUUAUAUAAGUUGUGGCACUCUGGAUAGCUAACAUGCCUUUUUUUCUAUUAUUCUACUUGUUGAAGUUAUUAAACUCUGUAAAUGCACUAACAAAUAGAAGACUUUGUUAAAUAGACCUUUUAAGUCUACUAUUUAAUUAAAUGGACCAUGAGUUUUUUUAUUUGGGGAGAUGGUUUAUUUUGUUAGGGCUAUUUAUCAAACGGAUCGGAUGGACCAUUACACUUAAUGAUUUGGCCUAUCGGUUAUCAGUUUUAAAAUAUAUAAAUUCACUAGCCAACCAAUUAUAAGAUAUCGAUUGGUUCGGUAAUGGAUAAAUAAUUAUCGGACGGUUAUCGGGCGGUGUAUCGAACCCCCACAAUUUGACUACAAAAAUAGACAAAUAGUAGUAAUAUAUCAUGAUAAAGAGAAGGCUUUUCUGACUUUCUAUACAACAUGAUUGUGCAGGGAAGAGACUACUAAGUCAUUCUACUACUUGUACUUGGAACCUCCAAGAAAAAAGCACAAUAUAGCUUUAGUUUUGUUAAUUUCUAAACCAACGUAUAUAUUGUUUAAAAAUAUUGUCUCUCUUGGUUGUGUUACUUUGCCAUAGUAAUUUGCACUUUGGAAGGUUAAAAGCACAGAAACAGUCAAUUAAAGUCUUUGCUUUGCAGAGAUCUAAAAGUCAAAAGUUUAUAUUAGUCAAUUUUAUUAGUUUAUUACUUUUACUCCUAAUAACUUUUGCAAAGCACAGAACCAGUCAACAUAUUACUGUCGCAGAAUAUGUUAGAAUAUUACUUUUAUUCCUUAUAACUUCUCUUUAGUUUUUAUUAGAUUUAGAGUUAAUUAGUAAUGGGCUUUAGGUUAUUACGCUAGAAUUAAGAUAUAUUAGGUUUAGAGUUUAUAUUUUAUAAUAAUAUAAUAUGUAUUUUAAUUUUUAUAUAUCUAGGUGGAAAAGUAUAAGUAUAUUUGGUAAUUCUUAACGGGUUAACAGUUUAUUCGAUAAGGAAAUUAAGUAAUCCAUCCGCACACCGAUAAGCCAUUAAUUAUAAAAUUCUAAUCCGUUCACCAACUGUUUAUCCGAUAAGCCAACACUAAUAAGCCAAUAAGUCAAUUUUACGGUUGGCUUAUUGGAUAUGGUUCGGUUUUGAAUAGCCCUACAUUUUGUGAAUAAUUGAUUUAUUUUGUGAUUUAAAUUUUUUUAUAAGUUUUAAUAAUUACAAACUAGUCCACAAAGGGAAAAGACAGCAACUGAAUUAAAAGGUGAAAAAUCUUCCAUGAGAAUUCAUGACCAUAUGAGAAGCUGACGCAUCUCUCCUAACAAACAAAUUAUGUAUCUAUCCGACAGAUUUAGAUUUGUGGGUGAUUAUACGAAAGAAAAUAUGAGGUACAUUCAUUUUUUCAAAAAUAAAGAAACAACAUAAUAUAUUAAAGAGUAUGUUGGACUUAUAAACAAGAAUAUCAAGAAUUCAUGACCAUAUUCAAAGAUGACACAUCUCUCCUAAUAAACAGAUUACAAAUCUAUCAGAUAGAGCUUAGACUUGUGGGCGAUUAUACGAAAGGAAUUAUGAGGCACAUUCACUUUUACAAAAAUAAAGGAAUUAUAUGAUAUAUUAAAGAGUAUCUUGAACAUAUAAGCAAGAAAAAAAAAAUUCAAGACCAUAUGCAAAGAUGAGGCAUCUCUCUUAACAGACAGAUUACAUAUCUAUCCGACUGAUUACAGACUUAUAUACGAUUAUAUGAAAGAAAAUAUGAAGUACAUUCACUUUUUCUAAAAUUAAAGAAACAAUUUGAUAUAUUAAAGAGUAUUUUGAACUUAUAAGCAAGAAAAUCAAGAAUUUCUGACCAUAUUCGAAGCCAGCGUAUCUCUCCUAAUAGACAGAUUACAAAUUUAUCCGAUAGAGCAUAGAAUUGCGGGCAAUUAUACCGAAGGAAAUAUAAGGUACAUUCACUGUUAUUAAAAAUAAAAUAAUUAUAUGAUAUAUUAAAGAGUAUAUUGGUAUUAUAAGCAAGAAAAAUCAAAAAUUCAUGACCAUUUGAAAAGCCGACGCAUCUCUCCUAAUAGACAGAUUAUGUAUCUAUCUGACAAACUAUAGAUUUGUAGGUGAUUAUAUGAAAGAAAAUAUGACAUACAUUAAUUUUUAGCUCCCAUACUUUUUAAUAUAUUAUUAUGGUCUAUUUGUAAUUAUUUUUUUAAUUUUUAAAUGAUAAAAAGACAAGGGGCUCAUUUUGCAAAUUGAGAACUCAAAGAGGCUUUUCAACCAAAAUUUUCCCUAAAAAAUAUAAUAGUUUAAUGUAGUGGAUCUAAUGUUACAAAAUUUGGAUCUAUUGUGCUCUUGGUUAAAGAAAACACGGUAGAUUAUAUUCUAAUGUCAUUUCAUUAAAAAGUUAAAACAUCGGUUUAUAGUCCUAGUGCAUUAUGAUGAUAAGAUGUUGGAUUCAUGACCUUAUACGCCUUUAUAUCGAUAAGACAUUGAGUUUGAAUCUCAAUGCAUCAUAUUAUUGAGAUAAUUAUGGAUAAGGUAAAAUAAUAUAUUUUUUGUGAAAAGAAAUGAAAUUUAUUUCUUUGAAUAUGCUUCAUUCCCUGAAAUGAAUGUGAUAGCAUUACAUAAUAUGUUUGAAAGAAGACAAGUUCUUAAAUAUACGAAUAUAAGCGUGGAGAGAUAAUAUGAUAAUAAUCAUUAAAAAUAAUAUUAUUUUCACACGCUUAUUAUGAUUAUAAGAUAUGUUAGAGAAAAAUUCUCUACAUUAUAUGUAUGUCUUGAUUUACUUCUGAGGUAGCAAUAUCUUAAAAGAGGUUAUAAGUUAUUAUAAUUUGAUAUGCUUAAGGCAUGAAUAUAUUCCAUUCCUGAAAAUGAGAAUUUUGAUUAUUAUAAAUACAGAUAUACAUCCUGGGGUGAAUGUGAUUGUGUUUAGUAAGCUUAUGAUGAACUUGUUCGUGAUGGUAAAGAUAUCACAAUUCACCUCCAAAUGAGGCAAAAUAAUUGAAAGAUUGAAUAUCUCCAAGCUACUAUGAUAAAAAAACACGAAUGUGAAAAUUUAUUCGAGCAUGGUGAGAUCACAUGCUAUAAUAAACUAGGAGUUUAUUGAUAAAAAAAUACAUGUCAUAGUAAACCAGAAGUUUACUUAGCAAAUAUCACAUGCCAUGGUAAACUUGAAAUUUACUACUAUAAAUCAGUUCAUAAGUUUGCAUGAACGAUUAUGGCAUUUCGAGAUGUACAUAAUAAGUGUUAGACAUAUAUUGAAGAACUAAUAGAUUCUUCAAUAAUUGUUAUGUUGAUUGUUCACAUUAUAUGUUUGCUGGACUAGCGAAUGUUGGGAUUGGAUCUCCUAAAUUCUGAAAAGUGUAAAAGGUAAAUAUGGGCCUGUUCACCUAUCAUGUGAUAUGUUGAAAAGAUGCAUUAGUAAGAUUAUUGCAUGUACAUUUAUCAUCUACCUACGGUUUGAUAUUAAUAAAGUUGUUUGCUCAGUAUAUUGAGUUAAGAAUAUAAUUUUAGAUUAUGUAAUCAAGAUAAUUCAUCUUGAUAAUGUUGGCUUGACAUUGAAUGCCUUUGAUAAAUAGUUGAACCGUUGCUAAUGAGAACAAAGAUUCAUGUGUUGGUUUGAAAUAUGAUAUGUUAUAUACAAAAGUAUGUGUACACAUCAAACCUAUAAAUAAUGAUUAAUUCUCCCUCAAAGUUGGUUCUAAGUCAGGAACUACACAUUUUUUAUCUAAUAGUUUUAAUGUAUGGUAUAUAACUAAUGGAUAUACCAUGAGGCACAAAGAUAGAUUCCUCAAAAAAGAUGGAGGAUGUAUGUUAUUUUUCUUAAGGGGGAGAUUAUAAGCCUUAAUGAAGUAUGUUAGAAAUUACAAUCAGAUUCUCAUUCAAAAGAUAAUUCAAGUCAAAUGUCAGAAGUAUUUGAUAACUCAAAUUUAAUCUCAUAUUUAAGCUGCAAGUACUUCUAUUAUGUGUCCCUAAAUAACAAAGUCUACGCAUACUUAAAGUGUGGUAGAUUAAUCGGUUCCAAAUUAAAUAAUCCUUGAAAAGCAUAAGGAGGAAAUAAUCAAAAUAAGAAGGUAAUGUGCUCUUGAAGAGACUAAAACAUAACACUUUAUGAAACCUUAUGAUAGAUUUAGGUACCUAAAAAUAAUGAAGGGGUCAAAUCUCAAAAUAUUAUGUCACUUUGUGAACCGACAUAAAAUGAUAUAUCAUUGAUGAUUUCUUUGAUAAAAUAUUGGAGUAGUAUUUUAAAAGAUUUUGGGGAUACGAACCCUAGGAUUAUUUAAACAUAUUGGCAUAGAAAUAUUUAUCAAGUGACAAAAAAGGAUGCAUCUUGGUAAGCAUAAAACUUAUUUGAUUUGCAUUCUAGACAUUUAAAGAUAUCACGCUUGAAAUGUUGAAUAUUGCUACUUGACAAAAUUUAUAUGAAAACUUUUUUAUGCAUUCAAAAUGUUUGAUGUAUAUUAAAGUUUCUAGAAAAUUUAUUUAUAAUACUUAUAUUGCAUAAAUUUAUAACUUAAAUAUUAUUGAAACUUUGGAAAAAGUUUCAAAAAAAAAGAUUAUUGCUGCUAUAGUGAAAUUUGCCCAUGUGUUUCUAUGAAAAAAAUAAUAUCGGAGUUUGUUGUAUUUGUUGUCUAUGUUGAUGAAAUAAACCUUAUUGGAACUCUAGUAGAGCUUCAAAAGGAAAUUGAUUAUUUAAAGAAAGUUUGAGAUGUAAGAUCUUCGAAGGACAAAAUUGUGCCUUGGUUUGCACAUUGAGCAUAUGACAAAGAGUAUCUUUGUCCAUUAAUAUGCCUAUGCAGAGAAGGUGUUUACAAGAUUUUAUAUAGAUGGAGCACAUCCAUUAAGUACUACGAUGGUUGUUCAAUCACUUGAUGUGAGUAAGGAUCCAUUCUAACCUCAAGAAAAUAAUGAGGAACUCCUUGGUCCCGAAGUAUUAUAUCUUAGUACGAUUGGUGCACUAAUGUAUCAAGGCCUGAUAAAAGAUUUUUGAUUAAUUUGCUAGCAAAGUAUAGUUCUGAUCAUCCUAGGAUACAUUUGAAAGGACUUGAUUCUGUAUAUUUUUCUUUUGUGUAUUUUGACCAUUUAACCCCUCUUAAUAGCUGCUAUGUGAUAUUUCUGGAGUGUAGAAAUGGUUGGAAUGCUUCCUAAUGUGAUUCAAAAUGAUUUUUGCGAGUUUGCGAUUUUUAGAGGUUAAAAAGGGCUCAUAGUUGACUAUUAACAAUAUUUGUUAUUUUGUGUAUUGGAUGGCAAAAUUGACUACACUAGUACAUCCCAAAUGUCAAUUUUUAAUUGGCAGCAUGGUGGGUGUGAUUUUUUGGCUUUUGGAUCUCACACUUGGUUUAGAAAAUUAUGAAAUUGGAUCUUGGGGGCCAAUUUUGUGAAAACAAUCUCCUUACAAAAGUCUUAUGUCGCCUUUGAGUUCGGAACGUCAAAUUUAGUCUACUAGCAUAUUUUGUUUUCCUUUAUGGGACUCUGAAAAAAAUCCCUCGGGAUUGAUCCAUAACUUUCCAAUAUAGAAAAUUUGUUGAUACAACAAAAUCUUAUGCAGCCACUUUAGCAGCCAUGGGACUACUAAAGCAGUAACUAUUUUAGCGACCUAGGCAUCGUUUAAGCGGACACCUAACUGGCAGCUCACUACCUCUAAUGGACCUUGAACUCUUUAGCGGUCUCCACUUUAGUGAUAGGGGACAGCUUAAUCACCCCAACGCAAUUGGGAUGGACCUCUAAAGCGGUCAACCCACACUUAAGUUGUCAGUGCUGGGAGUGUAAAAUAAGCUCAUUUUUCUCCCAUUUUUGAGACUUUGAGCUUUGGGGAUUUAUUUCAUUUGUAGCUUGGAUAAGUCCAAAUCACUAUUUUAAUUGUUUUACUUCAAUUUAGCCAUCUAAAACUCGUUAAAUUAUGAUUUCAAAAGUGGAAUUAAGGAAUCUUGGCCUAGAAGUCCUAAAAUGAUUUUUCUACAAUUUUAACCUUGUUUUUACUUGGUUUUUCUCCUAUGGGUUCCUUUAAUCAUGGGUAAAGUUUUUAUUAAUAAAAAUUUUGGUUUUUCCCUUACUUUUUGAAAAUCUAUUUGUAGGGUCCGUUUUAACCCUUACUCAAAAAUAGUCAACAUGAAUGUUGUUGGCUUUCUUUUGACACGUGAAUUGUAUAAUUCUAUAUUUUAGUUGAUUCCGAGGCCAUUCGAGAAAGAAAGUCUUCAUGUAGAAUGACUUUAGGCUUAAAUUUUGUCGUCACGGGAUAGGUUAUGGCUUAACUUUGUUCAGAAUAGAUUGAGUAGUUAAAAUUUAUAUAAGAGCAUAUUAUGGGUAUGGGUAAUAAUCAUGGAAAUAAUAUUACACUAUUGUGUGCCCACGUGGGCCUUGUAUUAUUAUUGGUGGUGAUUUGAGAUGAUAUUUACUAUGUAUGGCCCGUGUAGGGGCCUUAUCUGACAUUAUUGGCCUUGUGUAUGUGUUUGGUUACUUCUUACAUGAUUAAAAUGCCUAAGCUGAGGAUAAUGUGAUAUUAAUGAUGUCUUACUUGAGUUUUUACUCUAAUGGGACAUUGCUUAUACAAAAUCAUGGUUGGUUGAGAUAUUGAGUGGAUUCUAAGAUCACGUUUGCAUGUAUUGAAUGGAUUUUGAGAUCCUCAUAUUGUAUUAAUUGUGAUCACUACAUUCUCAUAUCAUAUAUACAUUCAAUAGAUAUUGGUACUAUUGUGGAAACACUAAUUUUGACAAAAAUAAGAUAUUUUGAUAAAACCCUCUGACAUAGGCUAUGAGUUAGAGACAAGAUAUGGAUAUUGAGAUUACAAUUGAGUAUUGAGAUAGUAUAUGGAUUAUGAAACCACCAUGGGUCCUACCUGUAAGCCUCGGGCUUGGUAGGGGUAUAUGGAUGUUAUGUGAUAACCUUAGUCACGUCACAUCAUCAUUAUCAUCAUCAUUUCAUUUCAUAUAUUAUGUAUCUUCAGUGCUGAAGUUUUGUUUUUAAUUCAAUGCAUAUUUAUUUUGAUUCUUUUAUUUACUUGUUUCCUUGCUUAAAUGUUAUACUUAGGACUGAUUGACGAGACGGUGUGAUCUAAUAUUUAGGGCAUUUUUAGAUUUAAGGUAACGUGCUCAUAGUAUGUAUUUAUGUAUCUUAUUUUCUACUUUGCUCAGUUAGCCUAUUAUACCUACUUAAUAUAAGUGGAUCAUAUUUAUCCCUACUAUGCCCUUUCAAUAUAGAUCCAAGCACAAGUGCAUUGCAUGGUAGCUCAGUUGGCCACUCUACGCCUUUAAAGUCAACCUUAGACCUUCUCCUAUCUAGUUAUGUAUUUUUUAGAUUCUGAGACAGAGUUGUAGUUUUUUGAAUUUUCAAUUGUACUUUAAAAGUUUGAGUUAUAUCUAGAUUGUUCUUACACUGUGACACCAUUUUUUGGGAUGAUUUGUGGUAUUUAUUGUUAUUUAGAUUUCUGAUGCAAUUGAAAAUGUAUGGUCAAUCUUUACUCUAGAAGUCUCGCCUUGGGAAUUAUAUUAUGAUUUCUUAUUACAUAUCGGUUUGGGUGAUAAGUGACAUCAUGACCUUGGUUUUUGGGUCAUGACAAAUCGGUAUCAGAGAUACUUUUAUCUGUCUCAUAAGUAUAAGGAUUGGGUACCAAUUAGAGUCUCGUAGAUUAAUAUGUAGAUGUCUGUAUCUAUCUUCGAGAGGCUAAAAGAUAUCUUUAAGAAACUUUCUUAUUUUUGUUCCUUAUCAUGCAAAUUUCUCCAUGCCCUAUAUUCUAAAUAGAGUUUCACUCUUUUUUACACAGAUGGUGAGAACUAGAUCCUAUAAGGUUAGGAUACUAAGCUAGCAUCCGAAGGGAGAGCCCAGCUAGGGGAUGAGUCAAAGGUUGUGGACAGACUCGAGAUAGAGGCUGAGCUCAUGAAACUUCCUCUUUCAAAGGUAGUACUAGAAAGAUCUCCCCUGAGCCUAAGGUUGAGUAUGCCAGAGAUAUGAGGCGUACUUAGGUUUAUCAAUUCUUUUACUAACUCAUUUGGAGGGUGUUCCUUUGAGUUCUCCUGGUAUUUCUCCAGCUUUGAGUAUUGUACCUCCAUCUGCACUAGAGACUACUUAUAAAGUUCCUUUGGUUUUAAAUAUAGUUCCUUCUUUGGUAUCGAUAUCUGCUUAUGGUAUUCUGUAGUCUUUGAGUGUUGUUCCUCCUUCUAUUCCAAUAUUUGAAUGUGGUAUUCUGAGUCUAGGAGUUUAGCCUUUAUUUAUGUUGCCUCCUCAGCUAGGAUAAAAACAUGCCAGAUUCGCUAUGCCUCCUAUUGCUUUGGGUCCUGUUAUGUUUUUUAAGAAUCAAAAAAGGUUUGAGAGAUUUACUUGCUUAGAUCCACCCACGUUCAGUGGUGCUGUGGGCGAGGAUGCCUAUGAGUUUUUUAUUGAUUAUCAAUAGAAGUUGUAUAAACUUGACUCACUCGAGUUGCAUGGAGUUUCUUACACUGCCUACCAGCUGAGAGAUAUAGCCAUAGAUUAGUGAAGAUUACUUGUUAGUUACAGACCUCGUGGUUCACUCAAGAUGACUUGGGAUCAGUUUGCUGAGACAUUUAGGGACAGGUUUGUGCCCUACAGUUUGAGGGAUCAGAUAAAAGAUGAUUUUAGUGCAAAUUUAGUGCACCCUUUAAGAAAGAGAUUUCAGAGGCUCUCAUGGGUGCCACAGUAAACCAGUGUAGGAAAAUUUGUAGGGUUCAAGUAAUAGGUCUUCGAGGUCAUCCUAAAUUUGUCGUUCCAGCUUAAUAGUACUUCCUUAAAUUGAGUCAGGCCAUAUAGCCAAGGAUUUCCCCUGUCAUGCUUUUAAGCCUACUCCUAUAUUGGUAGCGAGAGGUGAACCUUAUAGAGGUAGAGGUGCUAUAAGGGGUACGUAAGGUAAAAUUAGUGGUGCCUGUGGUAGUGGUCAUAGGGAUAUUAUUCCAAUAGCAAACGGCUAUACAAGCCAGACCUAACACAGAGGCUUCCAACACUGUUAUCACAAGUAUUAUCCUUGUUUGUUUUAGAUCUAUAUUUGUGUUAUUUAAUUCGAGAUCGACUUACUCCUAUGUUUCUACAAAAGUUACUUUGGGUUUUAGUUCUACUGGUGAGCCUCUUUCUAUGCCUAUUCAAGUAUCUACCCCGUAAGAGACACUUUAGAGGUGAAUCGGGUACACCAAUCCUAUGUUGUGACCUUUGUUGGGAAUGAGACUAGGGUAGAUCUGAUCGUCCUAUAUGGUAUAUUUUGAUGUCAUCUUCGGUAUGGAUUGGUUAGCUCCCUAUUAUUCUAUUCUAGAUUUUUAUGCUAAGAUUGUGACUUUAGCUUCAUCGGGUGUGCCAAAGAUAGCUUGGAAAAGUCUGCUUCAUUGGGGUCUAAAGAAAUUUAUAUUUGUCCUUCAGGCUUGUCGCAUGGAAAAUAGGGGAUGUUUGUCAUAUUUAGCCUAUAUUGGUGAUACUAGUAUUGAUUUACUGCCUUCUUUGGAUUCCAUCAAUAUUGUCCGUGAGUUUACGGAAGUCCUUUCGACGAAUCUGCCUAUAUGCCUCUUUAUGGGAUAUUGACUUUGCUACUGAUGUUGAGUCGAGCACCAAGACCAUUUUCAUUCCUCUUUAUAGGAUGAACCCAGCAAAGUUGAAGGAAUUAAAGGAUUAGUUUCAAGGACUAUUGGAUAAGGGAUUUAUCUAACUUGCUGUAUGACCUUAGGGUGCAUUUGUCUUAUCUAUGAAGAAAAAUUAUGGGUCUAUGCAUACGUGUAUUGAUUAUAGAUAGUUAAAUAAGUUAACAGUUAAGAAUAAGUAUCCUCUUCCUUGUACUGAUGAUUUUCUUUAUUAUCUUUAGGGUACUUUGAUGUUUUUUAAGAUUGAUUUGAGGUUUGGGUAUCACUGAUUAAGAAUUAGAGAUAUGGAUAUUUUGAGGAUAGCUUAUCGGACUGUGUAUGAUCAUUAUGAGUUCUUGGUCGUGUCAUUUGGUUUGACCAAUGCCCUAGCCAUGUUAAUGGAGUUGAUAAAGUAGGUAUUUUGAUGGUAUCUCAACUCUUUUGUCAUUGUAUUUAUAGAUAACAUCUUGUUUUACUCUAAGAGUGAGGCUGACCAUGUGUAGUAUUUGCGGAUUUUACUUUAGAGAUUAUUAGAUGAGAAUUUGUUUUAUAAGUUCUCCAAUUGCAAUUUUGGCUAGAAUCUAUCUCUUUCUUGGGUCAUGUUAUGACCAAUGAUGGGAUCAUGGUCGAUUCGGCCAAGAUUUCAAUGGUUUAUGAUUAGACUAGGCUACUUCUCCUAUCGAGAUUUAGAGUUUUAUUAGUGUAUCAAUAUACUAUCGAAGCUUUGUUAAGUGUUUUUCAUCUAUUGUGGCCCCAUUGACCAGUUGACUCAGAAGAAGAUUUUGUUUUAGUGGUCCAAUACUUAUGAGGCGAGCUUUCAAAAGCUCAAGGAUUUAUUAACAACAGCUCCUAUCUUGACUUAUCCAGAUAAGGGUGUGGGAUUUAUCAUUUUUUGUGAUAAUUUUGUGUUGGGUUAGGUGUCAUAUUGAUGGAAGAGGGUAAGGUGAUUGUAUAUUUUUCAUCUCAGUUAAAGCCCCAAGAGAAAAAUUACCCUACCCAUAAUUUAGAAUUAUGCACAGUUGCAUUUGCAUUGAAUUUGUGGAGACACUAUUUGUAUAGAGUCCAUUGUGAUAUUUUCUCGGAUCACCGUAGCCUUCAGUAUUUCUUCACCUAGUGUGAUCUUAAUAUGAGUCAAUGUCAUUGGCUUGAGUAGCUUAAGUAUUAUGCCUUACUAUUCUCUAUCAUCUAGACAAGGCUAAUGUGGUUGCGGAUGCCUUGAGGUGAAAGCCGACUAGUAUGGGUAGCAUAGCGCAUAUUUUGACCUAAGAGAGACCUUUGGCCUUAGAGGUUUAGUAUUUGGCUAUCCAAAUGGUUAUGCUUGAUAUUCAUCUCUUGAAUGUGUUUUGGGAUUUGUGGAAGCUAGGUCUUCCUCGGUGGAGCAGAUUCGGGAUGAUUAGUUUGAUGAUUAGAUAUUGUGAGGUUUGGAUAAGGAAGCCUCACUUUAUUCUGAUGGUGUUUGGAGGAUUGGAGGCCGAGUAUAUGUGCCAAGAGUAGGUGAUUGGGUGAGGUUAAUCUUGUAGGAGUUCCAUUUUUCUAAGUACUUCAUUUAUCCGAGAGUAAUCAAGAUGUAUUGUGAUUGGAAAUAACACUACUGGUGGGGUAGUAUGAGGAAGGAUGUGGUGGUUUUUGUAGCUUGUUGCCUAUGUUGUCAGCAGGCUAAGGCUGAGCAUUUGAGGCCUAGUGGUAUUCUUCAGAGUUUACCCAUUCCUUAGUAUAGGUGAUAAUAGAUGAGUAUAGACUUUAUGAUGGGGUUGCCUUAUAAUUUUCAUAGUUGUGACAGUGUUUGGGUCAUCGUGGAUCGAUUGACCAACUAUGCCUAUUUCAUCCCUUUUUAGGUUUUUGUCAGUACUGAGAGAUUGCCUUUUAUCUAUGUUCGUGAGAUAAUUUAUAUCCAUGGUAUAACAGUGUCUAUUAUCUUAGAUAAAGGUUUAGUUUUCACAUCUCACUUCUGGAAGGCGUUCUAGGAGGAGUUGGGUACCCAGGUUGAUCUUAGCACACCAUUACUCCCAUAGAUCGAUGGGCAGUCGGAGUGAACUAUUCAGGUAUUGGAGAAUAUGCUCCAUGCCUGUGUCAUAGACUUUGGAGGUCAGUGGGAGAAGCAUUUAGUCUUGGCAAAGUUUGCAUAUAAUAAUAGCUACCAUUUCAAUAUUAAUAUUGCACCUUUUGGGGCUUUAAAUGGUAGGAACUGUCGCUCUUUAAUUGAUUAGUUUGAGGUUUUAGAGAUUAAACCUUGAGGUAUAGAGUUGCUUCUGAGUCUCCGGAUAGAGUUCGGAUCAUUCAAGACAGACUUCGAGUGACUCAGAGAAGCAGAAAUGCAAUGCGGAUCAUAGACUUUGUGCCUCAAGAUUUAGUGUUGGUGAUCGAGACUUCCUUCAUGUUUUGCAUAUGAAGAGUGUGAUGAAGUUUUGGAAGAGGAUCAAGCUUACCCCAAGUAUAUUAGGCUAUUUGAGAUUCUUUGGGCUAUUGAGGAUGUCGCUUAUGAGUUAACAUUGCCCCCAAAUUUAUCAGAUGCUCAUCCAAUUUUUCAUUUAUCCAUGAUAGGGCGUUAUACAUUAGAUUAGUCUCAUGACAUUUGCUGGGACAGAGUCCACUUAGAUGAGAGGUUGUCCUUUAUUGAGAAUCCAGUCUCUAUUUUAGCUCGGGGUGUUAGAUGGUUGCAUUCUAGAGAUAUUUCAAGGGUUAAGGUUCAGUGGAGACACCGUUUUGUAUAUGAGGCUACUUGGGAGGUCGAGUCUGGCUUUUGUAGUACUUAUCCCCAACUUUUUGUUGAUUCAGGUAUUUCCCUUGCCAUUAGUUUUAGUACGAACUAGAUUAUUAGUGGUGGAUAUUGUAAGGAAUUGAUUCUAUGAAUUUUCCCCUUUUAUGUGUUUUGACUAUUUUUCCUCCCCGUGUUUGCUAUAUGAUUUUGUGGGGGUAUAGGAAUGGUUGGCAUGGUUCCUAAUGCAAUUUGAAAUAAUUUGUGCUAGUUUGUGGUUUUUAGAGAUUUAAAUAACCUAGGAAAGUAACAAAUAGUAAAUAUAUAACAACGGACAGUUUUAUAAAUUAGUGUUCGAUCUGUAAAUAAGGAGUGCAUUUUUUUCACUAUCAAUUACACAAAUAUCGUCAUGAUCGAUUAUUGAUCCAAAAAAAAUUGAGGAGCAUCCAUCUAUUCUUCAAGAUGAAAAUAUAAACAAAGUAACUAUUAUAUCAUUACCAGAUGACUACGUAUUAUACAAACUUUAUUUAAAGACUAGUGAAAUACUACUAACGGGAAUAUAAACUAAUACAACCAACAGAAAAGUAAAAGACUCAGAGUAUUGCACAUUCAUCACUAACAAGGUGCUAACAUUUCCUUCAGGGAUUGUAAAGAAAUCUGUAAAAUCUAAAUCUAUAAGCUCAAUAGUAUCUUCAGAGAUAAAGUUUGGUUCUACAUUGUUAUCUAUUUUUUUAAGGGACGGCUGAUAGAGAUUAAUUAGAUGACUUGGUGUAUACAGGUAUGUGACCAGUGCCCCUUUCCUCCACACUGAUAGUAUUUAUUUUUGUGAAUUUUUCCUUUGCACAACUUCAGUAUUUUCACCCUUCCUUUUACACUGAUGGUGCUAAGUUCAUUAUUUAGUUCAAUAGGAUCAUUAAAAUUUCUUCCUCGACCACGACCAUGACCACGACUGGAGCCAGUACCAGUACGUCAACUUUCAUGAUUUUUCAUCAAAAUAUCAUUGUGUUGUUAUGCAACAAGAAGACGCGAAAUCAGUUCAGAAUACUUUUUGAGUCCCAUCUCUCGGUAUUGUUCCUGCAGGAGCAUACUUGAGGCUGGAAAUGAAGAGAAUGUUUUCUCCGGCAUGUCAUGAUCGAUGAUAUUUUCUCCACAUAAAUUUAACUAUGUUUUAAUUCUAAACAUAGCAGAAUUAUAUGAAGUUAUAUUUCACAAUCUAGCAAUCUCAAAUGGGUCCAUUCAUUAUGUGCCUGUGGAAGGACGGCCAUCUUCCGGUGGUCAUAUCUCUCAUUUAGAUUAUUCCACAAUAUAAGAGGAUCCUUAAUGGUAAGAUAUUCCAUUUUUAAGCCCUUGUCAAUAUAAUGAUGAAGAAAUAUCAUAGCCUUGGCAUGGUCUUAAUUCGAUGCCUGAUUGUUAUUUUUGAUACUGCCUGCUAAACCCAUCGCAUCCAAAUGGAUUUUGGCAUCAAGUACCCAAGAUAUAUAGGUUUUGCCCGAUAUAUCUAGGGCAACGAUUCACAUUUAUAUAUGUUUGACAUUAUUUUAAGAAAAAUUAAUUCUAAUUUUUAAAUAUCGUUGAAAAGUUUUUUGCAGAAACUUAUGUUGAUAACGUGAUAUAAAAUAACCUAGGAAAGUAACAAAGAGUAAAUAUAUAAAACUCUCUCUUGUUAUAUAUUUACCCUUUGUUACUUUCCUAGGUUAGGACUCAUAGUUGAAUUUGAUCAAUAUUUGAUUUGUGUAUUGGAUCGUAAAUGAACUGUGCCAACAGAUUUGGAACGUUGAUUUUGGGUUGGUAGUGUGGUUGUUGUGAUCUUUUGGCUUUUGGAUCUCAUUUUGACCCUUUGUUUGGAAAAUUGUGAAAUUGGGUAUUGGGGUUAAUUUUGUGAAAACAAUCUCUUUCCAAAAAACUGAUGUCACCAUUGAGUCCAAAACUUUUAAUUUAUUCUAGAAGCUUAUUUUGUUUGCCUUGAUGGAAUUUCAAAUGGAUUUCAAAGUAUUGAUCCAUAAAUUUGCAUUUUAACAAAGUUGUUGAUACAGAAAAAUCAGGUGCAAUCGCUUUAGCAGCCAUGGGACCUUUAAAGCGGUAGGCACUUUAGUGACCCAAGCAGCACUUAUGGUGGAGGCACGGCUGUCAUCCCACUACCGCUAAAUCAGACCUUAAUCUAUUUAGCGACCCAACACAAUUCGGCUGGACUACUAAAGUGGUCAACCCACACUUACGCAGUGAUCGCUUAAACAGUCUGCAGUGGAAGUGUAAAAAAAAUAAUUUUUCUACCAUUUUUGAGACUUUGACCUUCGAGAUGAGAGGGUUUUGGAUGAUUUUUUUUAUUUUUGAUCUUGGAUAAGCUCCACAUUACUAGUUCAAUAUUCUACAUCUGAAAUGGUUUUUCUUCGAUUCUAACCUCGUUCUUAACAUGUUUUCACAUAGGUUUUCUACUAUGGGUUCCUUAAUCAUGGGUAAUGUUUUUAUAAACAAAAGUUUUGAUUUCACGCUUUUAUUUGAAAACCCGAUACAAGAGUUUUUUUACCCUAACUUAAAAAUAGGCAAUAUAGUUGUCAUUGGUUUUCUUUUGAUGCGUACAUUCUAUAUUUAAAUGUUUUAGUUUAUUCUGAGGUUGUUCGAUAUAGGAAAGCUCCACAUUGAAGGAUAUGGCUUAACUUUCUUCAAACUGAGCUGAGUAAUUAUUGUUUAUAUAAGAGCAUGUUACGGAUAUUGGCAAUAAUCAUGGAAAUGAUAUUAUACUAUUGUGUACCUGUGUGGGGGCUAUAUUGCUAUAGGUAGUAAUAUGAGAUGAUAUUUACAGUGUAUAGCCUGUGUGGCGGCCUUAUCUGAUAUUAUUGGUUUUAUGUAUGAAUUUGGUUUCUUCCUUCAUGAUAGAAAUACCUAAGGUAGGGUUUAUGUGAUACUAAUGAUGUAUUAAUUGAAUUUUUUACUCUGAUGGGACAUUGCUUACACGAAAUCAUGGUUGGUUGAUAUAUUUAUUGGAUUUUAAGCUCACGUGUACAUGUAUUGAAUUGAUUUUGAGAUCUUCAUACUGGUUUGGUUGUGAGUAUUACAUCCUCAUAUAAUACAUACAUUCAUAAGAUAUUGGUACUAUAUUAUGGAAACACCAAUUUUGACAAAACUGAGAUAUUUUUACGAAACCCUCCACCAUAGCCCAUGAGUUGGAGAAGAGCUAUGGAUAUCGAGGUUGGGAUUGAGUAUUGAGAUAUUAUAUGGUUUGCAAACCCACUAUGGGUCUUACCUGCAAGCACUGAGGCUUGUUAAGUAUAUACGGAGGCUAUACGAUAGCCUCAAUCCCACCGUAUCAUCAUUAUCAUCAACAUGACUUGUCAUACAUCAUUCAUCUUCAAUGUUGUACUUUUGCAUUUAAUUUUAUGUAUAUUUAUUCUGUUUCUUUUAUGUACUUGGUUCCUUACUUAUGUGCUAUAUUUAGAACUAUUAGUGGAGAUGGUGUGAGCUACCGUUUAGGACAUUUUCUAACUGUAGGUGAUGUACUCAUAGUAUGUAUUAUGCAUUUUAUUUUUUACUUUACUUAGUCGGCCUAUGAUACCUACUAAGUACAAGUGGACUGUACUCAUUCUUACUGUACCCUUUCAGUGUAGAUCAAGGUACGAGUGCACCACACGGCAGCUGAGAUCAUACGAAUAUUUUUUGAUACUUCGAGUUAUUGGCUGCUCUACGCCUUUAGAUUUUACCUUAGACCUCCUCCUACCCAGUAUAUGUCUUAUUUUGGAUUUUCAGUCAAGCUCUUAGUUUAUAAAAUUUUCAAUUGUACUUUCAGAGUUUGAGUUGUAUCUAAAUUAUUCUUACAUUGUGACACUAGGUUUUGGGACCAAGCAUUCUAUUCGAUUAGAUUUUAAGUGUUCUGAUGUUUUUGAAGAUUUAUUAGAGGUUCGGGUAUCACCAAUUGAGGAUUGGAGAUUCGAAUAUUCUAAAGAUAGAUUUUUAGACUCGUCAUUAUGAGUUCUUGGUCAUAUCCUUUAGGUUGACCAAUGCCCCAGCCGCAUUCAUGGAUUUGAUAAACUGGGUGUUUUGACAGAAUCUCAACUCUUUUGUAAUUGCAUUUAAAGAUGAUAUCUUCGUUUACUCCAAGUGUACGACCGAUCAUUAGGAGUAUUUGUGAAUUGUACUUCAAAUACUAAGAGAUUAGAAGUUGUAUGCUAAGUCCUCCAAGUGCGUGUUUUGGUUGGAGUAUGUCUCUAACUUGGGUCAUGUGGUGAUAAAAGAUGGUAUCAUGGUCGAUCUGUCCAAUAUUACAGCGGUUCGUAACUGGGCCAGGCCAACAUCUCUUACCAAGAUUCAAAGUUUUAUUGGUUUAGUAGGCUACUAUCGGCAUUUUUUAGGGUAUUUAAUCAAUCACGAUUCCUAUGACCAAGUUGACUCAAAAGAAGAUUUCCCGUUUAGUGGUCUGAUGGUUUUGAGGAGCUCUUUUAAAAGCUCAAAAAUUUAUUGACCUCAGCUCCUAUCUUGACUUUACCCAAGGAUGGCGUGGAAUUCACCAUCUUUUGUGAUGCUUGUAGUUUUGGGUUAGGUGUUGUGUUGAUGUAGGAGGGUAAGGUGAUUGUAUAUGCUUAUCGUCAGUUAAAGCUUGAUAAGAAGAAUUACCCUACCUUUGAUUUAGAGUUGUGUGCGGUUGUUUUUGCUUUGAAGUUGUGGAGGCAUUAUUUGUAUGGAGUCUGUUGUGAGAUCUUUUUAGAUCACCAUAUCCUUUAAUAUUUCUUUACCCAACGAGAUCUUAAUAUGAGCAGCGAUGUUGGCUUAAGUUUCUUAAGGAUUAUGAUCUUGCUAUUCUCUAUCAUCCAUCCAAGGAUAAUGUGGUUACGGAUGACUUGAGACAAAUGUACCUAGGAGAGGCCCUUGGCUUUAGAAGUUCAGUCUUUAGCUAACAAGAUGGUUAGUCUUAAUAUUUUAAUAUUUCGACACCUGAUGUGUGUUGGCCUUUGUGGAGGCUAGAUCUUCAUUUAUGGAGUAGAUUCAAGCUCAUCAGUUUAAUGAUAUUAGAUUUUUAGUAAUUUGGGAUAAAGUGAUGAGUGAUGAGGCUAAGAAAGCCUCACUUAACGCCAAGGUAUUUGGAAGAUUGAAGGACGGGUUUGUGUGCGAGAGUAAGUGAUUAGGUGAGAUUGAUUUUGGAGGAGGCUCAAUGUUCUAAGUGUUCCAUUCAUCCAAGAGUGACUAAGAUUUAUCAUUUUAAUACCCCAUAAUUAUCAUAGCUUAAUUCAUCCCAUAGUAUAUGUACAAGAGGCCUAGAACAUGAAAAUUUGGCUAAGUGUUGGAGACUUAGUUUUAUUUUUGGCCUCUUAACUUCGUUGAUCUUUUUAAGUGACUUUCCUGACUCCGAGACAUAAGUU
rnacentral:lncRNA from 1 species